rnacentral:lncRNA from 1 species
AAGAUCCCGAAUAAGAAAACAGAAACCGAGGAAGAGGAAACCACAAGAGUGAAGACUAGUAGAGUCUCGUCUUUUGUCAUUCUUUGCUCCUUUUUCACUCAAUGAUUCCUUCGAAUUUGCCGACCAAAAAUUCUAUAUGUCUAUUCUAUCUAUGAUAUUUCUAUAUAUAUAGAAUAUGAUAUCUAAUAUGACAUCCGAUUUGUCAAAGGGAUUGGAUUGGUGACUUACCCAUUCAGUGACUUUGGCACUGGACGUUCCAAAAACGGGUACUAUCGGAUCGGGUGAAUUAGAGAAUAGACAGAGGUCCGUUGGCAUUUCAGCCUUUCUUCUCCUUUCAGGGCCUAUCCGAAAGAGAAUCCAGUACCUCUUGGUCCUGAAUAUCAGAAUAGGACGAACGAACCGGCCUCCGCGGAUAUCUUUGCUUCGGAACAAAACCCUGCAAUCAAAUAGAUUGUCCCAAGGGCGCCAUAUUCUAGGAGCCCAAGUUAUGCUAUUGAAAAUUCGUUCCUCUAGCAGUUCCGGUUUGAGCAUUCCGUUCCCUUUUUCAAACUCCACUUCUUUUCAUAUAGCAAUCCCUGAUCAAAGAGAGAACAAUAUCCAUUUCAAAACAUUUAUAACAGAUUCCUUAGUUCGGACCGACGAAGUAAUGUCACUCGACUAUUAUCAACCUGACUGCAAUCUUUUUCUGUCGGUAAGGAUUGCACCAGAGCACCUUCUACUUCUAAUAGGCCAUGAACUAUAGAUAGAGAAGAAUCAUUCUGAGCGAGUACAUAAGAAGCGAUCCACUUUUUUUCAUCGGUUCCAGGGGAAGACCAAAGAUCUUGCGCGGCAGGUCCGCCAGAAAAACUCAAAAGAGAAAGAAGUCUCGUUAAUCUCUUCAUGCUCGUUCCAAGUUCGAAGUACCUUUUGGCCAAAGAAAAACCCGCUUCCUGACACGAUUGCCUCUUUAUCUUUAUAUAGAUAGAUUCUAUGGGGUUAUUACUUAGUAAGUCUAUUUUGUACAAGAGCCCCUCCUAUCUGAUAGAAAAGGGUCCCAUGAUCCCGAGCCGAUCUUACCUUGGCUCGCAAACCCCAAGUUUGUCUAUGAAGAGCUAAUCUAAUUGUAUUUUUUUCUAGAAUGGAUUUCUUAUGUGGAAUACUAAUGGAUAGGGCCUCGUUGCUAAGUGCUACAAGAUCUAGUGCACUGGAACUCGUGGUUAUGGACCCGAAUCCUUUAGUAUGGAACAUUGUCUUUUCCAAGUAAAAACCCCUAGUAUAUGAAAGAAUGAAAAGGUGCUUUCGUUCUUGUGGAAUAAGAAGCCCUCGUACCUUAAUGAAAGGAAAAUCGUAAUUUUUCGUUAGGUAUUUGACCAAAUAGGAUCGUCCAGUUCCUAUAGAACCUAUCACUAAAAUACCCGAUAGGGCUAAGCGGAACGAAAAGGGUUUUCCAUGAGAUGGUAAAUGAAAACGAUUAGUCCCACACGAGGUUUGGGAAUAAGUGAUUGUCUGAUAAUGAGCAAGGAAUAUACGUCUUUCUGCUAAAGAGGAUCUAUUAAACUCAUAAUUCAUUAGAUCCUUGUUAUCAAUGCCAACUAGGUAUCAUAAGGAAAUGGAUCCCGGUUGUUCAAUCCUUUGAUAACCAAGGUCAUUCUUUGCUAAAGAGAAAUGAUCACUAUGAGUCAGACUCAAUAGAAUUGGAUCCAUUCCAAAUAGCGAGAAUUAGGAUUCUUGAUCCCUCUCAAUCUCUCUUUCAAUUCGAGGAUCCAGAGAGGUGUUUUCAUAGUCAUCUCCGAAUAUUUGCCAUCUCGGAAUAUUUUCGAUUUCAUUUUUCUAUGAUAUGUCUUUCUAUAUGAAAAUUGGUUAUUUACGAUGUACGAUGAUCCCUGUUAAGCAUCCAUGGCUGAAUGGUUAAAGCGCCCAACUCAUAAUUGGUAAAUUUGCGGGUUCAAUUCCUGCUGGAUGCACACGAACGGGAACAUUCCAUAAGUCUAUUGGAACUGGCUCUCUAUCCAUGGAAUCUCAUCCAUCAUCCAUACAUAACGAAUUGGUAUGGUAUAUUCAUACCAUAACAUAAGAACAAUAAGAACUCGAAUUCUUAUCGAUACUGGAACUCAGAGCAUAGGAGGGAAAGUCGAUUUAUGGAUGGAAUCAAAUACGCAGUAUUUACAGAAAAAAGUCUUCGUUUAUUGGGAAAGAAUCAAUAUACUUUUAAUGUCGAAUCGGGAUUCACUAAGACAGAAAUAAAGCAUUGGGUCGAACUCUUCUUUGGUGUUAAGGUGGUAGCUGUGAAUAGCCAUCGACUACCUGGAAAAGGUAGAAGAAUAGGACCUAUUCUGGGCCAUACAAUGCAUUACAGACGUAUGAUCAUUACCCUUCAACCGGGUUAUUCUAUUCCACUUCUAGAUAGAGAAAAAAACUAAAGGAGAAUACUUAAUAAUACGGCGAAACAUUUAUACAAAACACCUAUCCCGAGCACACGCAAGGGAACCGUAGACAGGCAAGUGAAAUCCAAUCCACGAAAUAAUUUGAUCCAUGGACGGCACCGUUGUGGUAAAGGUCGUAAUUCCAGAGGAAUCAUUACCGCAAGGCAUAGAGGGGGAGGUCAUAAGCGCCUAUACCGUAAAAUAGAUUUUCGACGGAAUCAAAAAGACAUAUCUGGUAGAAUCGUAACCAUAGAAUACGACCCUAAUCGAAAUGCAUACAUUUGUCUCAUACACUAUGGGGAUGGUGAGAAGAGAUAUAUUUUACAUCCCAGAGGGGCUAUAAUUGGAGAUACUAUUGUUUCUGGUACAAAAGUUCCUAUAUCAAUGGGAAAUGCCCUACCUUUGAGUGCGGUUUGAACUAUUGAUUUACGUAAUUGGAAGUAACCAAUUAGGUUUACGACGAAACCUAGAAAUCGAUCACUGAUCCAAUUUGACUACCUCUACGGGAUAGACCUCAACAGAAAACUGUUGAGUAACGGCAGCAAGUGAUUGAGUUCAGUAGUUCCUCAUAGAAAAUUAUUGACUCUAGAGAUAUGGUAAUAUGGAGAAGACAAAAUUGUUUGAAGCACGCACAGAACCGGAAGCGCCCCUUGUUUCAAAGAGAGGAGGACGGGUUAUUCACAUUUAAUUUGAUGGUCAGAGGCAAAUUGAAAGCUAAGCAGUGGUAAUUAAGACCCCCGGGGGAAAAUAGGGAUGUCUCCUACGUUACCCAUAAUAUGUGGAAGUAUCGACGUAAUUUCAUAGAGUCAUUCGAUCUGAAUGCUACAUGAAGAACAUAAGCCAGAUGACGGAACGCAGAGACCUAGGAUGUAGAAGAUCAUAACAUGAGCGAUUCGGCAGAUUUGGAUUCCUUUCCUAUAUAUCCACUCAUGUGGUACUUCAUCAUAUGAUUCAUAUAAGAUCCAUCUGUCUAGAGAUCGUCAUAUACAUCUAGAAAGCCGUAUGCUUUGGAAGAAGCUUGUACAGUUUGGGAAGGGGUUUUUUGAGAGAAAAGAAGAAUCUACUUCAACCGAUAUGCCCUUAGGCACGGCCAUGCAUAACAUAGAAAUCACACGUGGAAGGGGUGGGCAAUUAGCUAGAGCAGCAGGUGCUGUAGCGAAACUCAUUGCAAAAGAGGGUAAAUCGGCCACUUUAAGAUUACCAUCUGGGGAGGUCCGUUUAGUAUCCCAAAAUUGCUUAGCAACAGUCGGACAAGUGGGUAAUGUUGGGGUGAACCAAAAAAGUUUGGGUAGAGCCGGAUCUAAGUGUUGGCUAGGUAAACGCCCCGUAGUAAGAGGGGUAGUUAUGAACCCUGUGGACCACCCCCAUGGGGGCGGUGAAGGGAAAGCUCCCAUUGGUAGAAAAAAACCCACAACCCCUUGGGGUUAUCCUGCGCUUGGAAGAAGAACUAGGAAAAGGAAAAAAUAUAGCGAUAGUUUUAUUCUUCGUCGCCGUAAGUAAAUACGUAACUAGGAAUAUGGAAAAUUGCAUUUUUGGAAUUUGCAAUAAUGCGAUGGGCGAACGACGGGAAUUGAACCCGCGCAUGGUGGAUUCACAAUCCACUGCCUUGAUCCACUUGGCUACAUCCGCCCCUUAUCCAGCUAAAGGAUUUUUUUCUUUUUUCCGUUGAUCAUUAUUCUAUUUAUUCUGACCUCCGUACUUCGAUCGAGAUAUUGGACAUAGAAUGCCACUCUUUAAAAAGGAAAAAAGGAGUAAUCAGCUGUGACACGAAAAAAAACGAAUCCUUUUGUAGCUCAUCAUUUAUUGGCAAAGAUAGAAAAGGUCAAUAUGAAGGAGGAGAAAGAAACAAUAGUAACGUGGUCCCGGGCAUCUAGCAUUCUACCCACAAUGGUUGGCCAUACAAUUGCGAUUCAUAAUGGAAAGGAACAUAUACCUAUUUACAUAACAAAUCCUAUGGUAGGUCGCAAAUUGGGAGAAUUCGUGCCUACUCGGCAUUUUACGAGUUAUGAAAAUGCAAGAAAGGAUACUAAAUCUCGUCGUUAACUGAAUUCUGAAUAGAAAGAUUAAGAAGAAAAAAAAGAUUCAAAAUAAAGUAAAGGUAGGCGGGGAAUAAACUUAUUUAUGACAAGUUUCAAACUAGUAAAGUAUAUCCCUAGGAUAAAGAAGAAGAAAAGUGGGCUAAGGAAACUCGCAAGGAAAGUUCCAACCGAUCGUCUACUUAAGUUCGAGAGAGUUUUCAAAGCACAAAAACGUAUCCCUAUGUCUGUUUUCAAAGCACAAAGAGUUCUUGACGAGAUUCGGUGGCGUUACUACGAGGAAACUGUUAUGAUACUGAACCUCAUGCCCUAUCGAGCAUCUUAUCCCAUCUUAAAGUUGGUUUAUUCGGCAGCCGCAAAUGCAACUCAUUAUAGGGAUUUCGACAAAGCGAAUUUAUUCAUUACUAAAGCCGAAGUCAGUAGGAGUACUAUUAUGAAGAAAUUCAGACCUCGAGCUCGAGGACGUAGUUUCCCUAUAAAAAAAAGCAUGUGUCAUAUAACAAUUGUACUAAAUAUAGUAAAGAAAUCUAAAUAACCUUUAGAUCCAUCUAAGAUUUCGAUUCCCAGUAAAAAAAAAUAUAGAAUAGAAAAAUAUGGGACAAAAAAUAAAUCCACUCGGUUUCAGACUUGGUACAACCCAAAAACACCAUUCCUUUUGGUUCGCACAACCAAAAAAUUAUUCUGAAGGUCUACAGGAAGAUAAAAAAAUAAGGGAUUGUAUCAAGAACUAUAUACAAAAGAAUAGGAAAAAGGGCUCGAAUAGAAAAAUAGAAUCAGACUCAAGUUCCGAAGUAAUUACACAUAAUAGAAAAAUGGACUCAGGUUCAAGUUCCGAAGUAAUUACACAUAUAGAAAUUCAAAAAGAAAUCGAUACGAUCCACGUCAUAAUCCAUAUUGGAUUCCCAAAUUUAUUAAAGAAAAAAGGAGCAAUCGAAGAAUUAGAGAAAGAUCUACAAAAGGAAAUUAACUCUGUAAACCAGAGAUUUAAUAUUUCUAUCGAAAAAGUUAAAGAACCUUAUAGACAGCCUAACAUUCUUGCAGAAUAUAUAGCUUUCCAAUUAAAAAAUAGAGUUUCAUUCCGAAAGGCAAUGAAAAAAGCCAUUGAAUUAACUAAAAAAGCAGAUAUAAGGGGAGUAAAAGUAAAAAUUGCGGGUCGUCUCGGAGGAAAAGAAAUUGCACGUGCCGAAUCCAUUAAAAGGGGCAGACUUCCCCUCCAAACAAUCCGCGCUAAAAUUGAUUAUUGCUGCUAUCCAAUUCGAACUAUCUAUGGAGUAUUAGGUGUAAAAAUUUGGAUAUUCGUAGACGAAGAAUAACUAAUCUUGUCUUCGAAUUCUGUCCAUUGAUAGAAUAAAAAAUGACAAGAGACUUUUUUCCUGAAAUCCCUGCAAAAGAAGAAAUUCUACCUCUUUCUAUAAGAUUUAAUGAAAAUUGAUAAAUCAUUUAAUAUAAUUGCUAUGCUUAGUGUGUGACUCGUUAUUUUUUUUUCUUUUUUAAAGAAAAAAACUUAGUAAUUAUAGAAAAUUAACUAAUACUAAUAACCAACCUAUUGCUUCGUAUUGUCGAGAUCCUAACUAAGAAACAGUCACUAUAUGAAUAAAUACCUCUAUCAUAAAUGAGUAGAUGUGUCAUAUAGUUGUAGCAACUGCACUUUUUUAUCUAAAAAAAAAAUGGGAUUCUAGGUUGUGAAGCAAAACUAAAGGGAUGUGGAUAAAGGGAGGGAUGAUAGAAAGAAGGAAGAGGAAAUAAAUAAGAUAUAGAAUUCCACUGUGUAUGGUCUAUGAAUUACAUCAUAAAAGGCAAUGUGAAAAAGCAUCAAUAUAAUAAAACUAAUAGAGAAUGAAAAAUUGUAACUUGAAAGAAGAACUACAAAUUUUAAGCAAUAAUAAAGAGCCGCCCGGGUUAAUAAAACUGAGAAAAUUAACUCGGAAAGAAAUUUUUUGGAAGCUCCGUUGCGGGAUUCAGACCUAACCAUUCAAGGAGAAGCAGUGGGAACGACAGAACCUAUGAUUCCAUAGGAUUUUAUUGAAAAGAAUCCUAACACUUCAUUGGGUGGGAUGGCGGAACAAACCAAAAAAAUUGUCUUAUUUGGUAAGUUUAUAAAUUAACAAAUAAGACAGGAAAGAGUAAAUAUUCGCCCGCGAAAUUCUUAUUGAAUUAGAAUACUUUACCGCGAUUCAAUAAGAGUAAAAAUAAGGAUAUUUUUUAGAAGGACUACAUUAUUAUCUAUAAAUAUAGAAUUUAGAUAAAUAUCCACACACAUCUGGAUAUAUUCUAGAUCUUCUUUUUUGACUAUAUAUUAUAUUUUUCUGUUUUAACAAAUUCAAUAUAAAAAUAAAAAAAAACCUAACUUUUUCUAUUAUCUAUUAAUGUGUAUCUAUCCGUACCGUAAUAUUUUUAAAUAUUAUGGAAUUAGAGAAAUUUAUUUACAUGCUUUCUCAUUCCAUUCGCGAGGAGCUGGAUGAGAAGAAACUCUCAUGUCCAGUUUUGGAGUAGAGAUGGAACUAAGAAAGAGAACCAUCGACUAUAACCCCAAAAGAACCAGAUUUCGCAAACAACAUAGAGGAAGAAUGAAAGGAAAAUCCUUCCGAGGCAAUCGUAUUUGUUUUGGUAGAUAUGCUCUUCAAGCACUUGAACCCGCUUGGAUCACGGCGAGACAGAUAGAAGCAGGACGAAGAGCAAUAACACGAUAUGCACGUCGUGGUGGAAAAAUAUGGGUACGUAUAUUUCCCGACAAACCGGUUACACUAAGACCCACGGAAACACGUAUGGGCUCGGGAAAGGGGUCCCCCGAAUAUUGGGUAGCCGUUGUUAAACCAGGUCGUAUACUUUAUGAAAUGGGGGGAGUAUCUGAAACUGUAGCUAGAGCAGCUAUCUCCAUAGCGGCCAGUAAAAUGCCCAUACGAAGUCAAUUUAUUCGAUUAGAGAUAUAGAACCCUAAAAGGGGUAUGGAAGAAAAAAAAUGCCCGGUUUUUCUUUCUGGAAAGACAAUAUUUCUUUCAUCCUUUUGCAUUGAAAUAACAAAUUGAAAUCAAAAUAAUAUGAUUCAACCUCAGACCCUUUUAAAUGUAGCAGACAAUAGUGGAGCUCGAAAAUUGAUGUGUAUUCGAGUCAUAGGAGCUGCUGGUAAUCAGCGAUAUGCUCGUAUUGGUGAUGUUAUUGUUGCUGUAAUCAAAGACGCAUUGCCCCAAAUGCCUCUAGAAAGAUCCGAAGUAAUUCGAGCUGUAAUUGUACGUACAUGUAAAGAAUUCAAAUGCGAAGACGGUAUAAUAAUCCGCUAUGAUGACAAUGCUGCGGUUAUAAUUGAUCAAAAAGGCAACCCAAAAGGAACUCGAGUUUUUGGCGCGAUUGCCGAGGAAUUGAGAGAAUUGAAUUUUACCAAAAUAGUUUCAUUAGCUCCUGAAGUAUUAUAAAUACUAGUAGGCGAAAUUUAGAUCAAAGAAUUAAUAUUAGUAGAUUGUGUUUUACGUAUAUGUUUUAAAAUCCAAAAUGAAAAGAAAAAAAAGAAAACAUGUUGAUUAUAGAAAAAUUAGGAGGAACCUAGAAUUAGAGUCUUAUGGGCAAGGACACUAUUGCUGAUUUACUAACUUCUAUAAGAAACGCGGACAUGAAUAAAAAAGGAACAGUUCGAGUAGUAUCUACAAAUAUUACCGAAAACAUUGUUAAAAUACUUCUACGAGAGGGUUUUCUUGAAAGUGUUCGGAAACAUCAGGAACGUAACAGAUAUUUCUUGGUUUCAACUUUGCGACAUCAAAAGAGAAAGACUCGAAAAGGAAUAUAUAGAACAAGAACUUUUUUAAAGCGUAUUAGCCGACCCGGCUUACGAAUUUAUACCAACUAUCAAGGAAUUCCUAAAGUUUUGGGUGGAAUGGGAAUUGCUAUUCUUUCUACUUCUCGAGGGAUAAUGACAGAUCGAGAAGCUCGACUAAACAGAAUUGGGGGAGAAGUCUUAUGUUAUAUAUGGUAAUCGCCCCGCCUAUAGUGCUCGAAUUCUACCUCGCCCUUCCUAUUUUGAAAAUAAAAAUGGAAAAAUAGGAGAAAAAAAUAUGACAGAAAAAAAAAAUAGGAGAGAAAAAAAAAACCCGAGAGAAGCAAAAGUUACUUUUGAAGGUUUAGUUACGGAAGCCCUACCCAAUGGAAUGUUCCGCGUUCGGCUAGAGAAUGACACCAUCAUCCUAGGCUAUAUUUCAGGAAAGAUCCGGUCUAGUUCUAUACGAAUACUGAUGGGGGAUAGGGUCAAAAUUGAAGUAAGUCGUUAUGAUUCAAGCAAGGGACGUAUAAUUUAUAGACUUCCCCAUAAGGAUUCGAAGCGUAUCGAAGACUCGAAGGAUAGCGAAGAUUUGAAGGAUAGCGAAGAUUUGAAGAAUACCAAAGAUUCAAAGGAUUAGGUUUUUCUUUUUUUUUCUAGGGUAAUAAAUUCUAAGUUCUAAAAUUCAAGCGAAGAGACUUAUUUUUUUCCAAAAUAUUAGAUUCAUAGUUUAAAAAAGGAUACGGAAAUAUGAAAAUAAGAGCUUCCGUUCGUAAAAUUUGUACAAAAUGUCGACUGAUUCGUAGGCGUGGACGAAUUAGAGUGAUUUGCUCUAAUCCGAAGCAUAAACAAAGACAGGGGUAAUCUUUCGAAAAAGAACUUUACUGUCUAAAAAGUAAAAAAAAAGUACCCGCGGAAAUGUUCCAAUUCCAAAUAAAAUAAUUUCAAAUAAUUAAAGUAAAGGGUGUAUUUUACCCUGAAACGGAUAUCUUUGUAUCUUUUUUUUUAUUUCUAACUCAUAUUUAUGAGAUAAUAAAAUAUGGCAAAAGCUAUACCAAAAAUUGGUUCACGUAAGAAAGUGCGUAUUGGUUUACGUAGGAAUGCACGUUUUAGUUUACGGAAGAGUGCACGUAGAAUAACAAAAGGGGUUAUUCAUGUUCAAGCUAGUUUCAACAAUACCAUUAUAACUGUUACAGACCCACAAGGUCGGGUGGUUUUCUGGUCCUCGGCCGGUACUUGUGGAUUCAAAAGCUCAAGAAAAGCAUCACCCUAUGCUGGUCAAAGAACAGCAGUAGAUGCUAUUCGUACAGUAGGUUUGCAACGAGCAGAAGUUAUGGUAAAGGGCGCUGGUAGUGGAAGAGAUGCCGCAUUACGAGCCAUUGCUAAAAGUGGUGUGCGAUUAAGUUGUAUACGCGAUGUAACACCUAUGCCGCAUAAUGGAUGUCGACCACCUAAAAAAAGACGUCUGUAAAAGAAUUAACCCGCUUUCAACUUUCAAGAGAAAUAAACGAUUCAAUGAUAAAAUAAUAAUACUAGUCUAUUAUGGUUCGAGAGGAGGUAGCAGGAUCCACUCAAACACUACAGUGGAAGUGUGUUGAAUCAAGAGUAGAUAGUAAGCGUCUUUAUUAUGGUCGUUUCAUUCUGUCCCCGCUUAGAAAAGGUCAAGCGGACACCGUUGGUAUUGCCUUGCGAAGAGCUUUACUUGGCGAAAUAGAAGGAACAUGUAUCACACGUGCAAAAUUUGGGAGCGUGCCACACGAAUAUUCUACAAUAGCAGGUAUUGAAGAAUCCGUACAAGAAAUUUUACUAAAUUUGAAAGAAAUUGUAUUGAGAAGUAAUCUCUAUGGAGUUAGAGACGCAUCAAUUUGCGUCAAAGGUCCUAGAUACAUAACUGCUCAAGAUAUCAUCUUACCGCCUUCCGUAGAAACCGUUGAUACGGCACAACCUAUAGCUAACUUGACAGAGCCCAUUGAUUUCUGUAUUGAUUUACAGAUCAAGAGAGAUCGUGGAUAUCAGACAGAACUCAGAAAGAACUAUCAAGAUGGAAGUUAUCCUAUAGAUGCUGUAUCCAUGCCUGUUCGAAAUGUGAAUUAUAGUAUUUUUUCUUGUGGGAAUGGAAAUGAAAAACACGAGAUACUUUUUCUAGAAAUAUGGACUAAUGGAAGUUUAACCCCUAAGGAAGCGCUUUAUGAGGCUUCUCGUAAUUUGAUUGAUUUAUUUCUUCCUUUUCUACACGCCGAGGAAGAGGGCACUAGUUUCGAAGAAAAUAAAAACAGGUUUACUCCACCCCUUUUUACUUUUCAAAAAAGAUUAACUAAUCUAAAGAAAAACAAAAAAGGAAUUCCAUUGAAUUGUAUUUUUAUUGAUCAAUUAGAAUUAACUUCUAGAACAUAUAAUUGUCUAAAAAGGGCCAAUAUACAUACACUAUUGGACCUUUUGAGUAAGACUGAAGAAGAUCUUAUGAGAAUUGACAGUUUUCGUAUGGAAGAUAGAAAACAUAUAUGGGACACUCUAGAGAAGCAUCUCCCAAUUGAUUUACUUAAGAAUAAACUCUCGUUUUAAAUCCAUUGCAAUUUUUUUUCUUCUUCUUUUUCGAGUUAGAAUAGAAUAAAAAGAAAAAAGAAAACAAUUUUGCAUCUUUGGUACAAUCUAUAUUUUCGCGAAAUGGAUCAUAAUAAAAUAAUAAAAUGGAUUUUAGGUAUCUAGGGAAGAUUCUACUUGGAAGUAACUAUUUCCUAGAUACCUAUGGUACUUCAUGGUUGAAUGAAUCAAAAAAAAUCUAAAAAAGACCUAAAGUUAACGAUUUAUCAAUGGGUAGUGUUGCUCCAAUACCUAACCAAAGAGCUACUACAGUACCGAUUAAAAAAACGGUCGUAGCUACUGGGCGGCGAAAUGGAUUUUGGAAUUUAUUGACAUUCUCUAGAAAAGGUACUGUCAAUAAGCCUGUUGGCACAGAAACCAUUAAGAGAACGCCCAAUAACUUAUUGGGUACCGUACGGAGUAUUUGAAACACGGGAAAGAAGUACCACUCGGGUAAUAUUUCCAAAGGAGUUGCAAACGGGUCUGCCGGUUCACCAAUCAUUGAUGGCUCGAGAACCGCUAAACCUACAUUACAUGCAAUAGUACCUAGAAUUACUACUGGAAAAAUAUAUAAAAGAUCGUUGGGCCAUGCGGGUUCCCCGUAAUAAUUAUGUCCCAUCCCUUUAGCUAAUUUAGCUCUUAAUACAGGAUCAUUUAAGUCUGGUUUCUUUGUUAUUGGGAUAGGUGAACUCUUUAGGAUCCAUCCCCCAAAGGAACCGGACAUGAGAAUUUAUCAUCAUCCGGCUCGAGCAAGAGUGAAAGAAAUAAGACCGCGGAAGAUCCUUAAUAGAAUUAAGGUAUAUAAUGACUCAAUGACUCUAGACAAAAAAAGCUUUAUCAGAUUCUCUUUUCCAAAGUUGCACCUACCACUACUCAUUGAAAAUAAUCCUAUUCUUAUGGGUAAAUGCUCAAUAUCCAAGUGGGCUUACAAAUUUGAUCAUGAUCAAUUGCUUUGUGGAUUGUCUCAUGUCUCUUGAUUAGUUGGUAUUUAUCCCCUCAAUAUCGCAAGUUUCUUACCUCCAAACAAAAUAUUUACUUGUUACUAAUAAAAAAUCAAAAAGUUUAGCCUACAUUCUUCCUUAGAUCCCUUCUUUUACUCCGAUAGUAUUGCGGAUCACAAUCGAUGCAAAGAAAAUGAAUGCAUUUCCAUACUAUAAUAAAAAGGUAAGUGUAAUAAAUAGAGAAUUGGAUCAUGUCACAUGACUGAUUCCAUUUCCACUCUAUGGGAUCUUACGGAGCCUGUUCAUGGAUGACAUGGUUGCGGUAUGAUCAUAGAAGAUAUUCUCCUCAAGUGAACCAGCCUAUCCUUCCUAGGUAGGGGACUUACAUGUUGAUUGGAUGCGGAGACACCUUUGGUUGUGAAUUCUAAUGUGGCAGAUCCAAUUCUUUAUCUGCAUGGCCAAAUCAAUAAUUCAAGUCACACACUCCCAUAAUCCGCCUUUUUUCUUUCGUAAAAUUAACUUCAACUAUUUGUAUCGUAUAAAAAUACUUCGGAGUUGAAGAGAAGUAUCCAAAUGACAUGUGUUAUUUUACAAUAACCCAUGCUUGUAGCAAUGAAAUACCACAACCUACCCGAUAUGAUAUAUGAGAAUUAGAAUUCUCUAUGAUAUGCCUUCCCUAUAAAGGACCCGAAAUACCUUGCUUACGUAUCAUUGGAAAGUGCAUUAACAUAAAUACGGCAGUAAGCAGAGGCAGUACAAAGGUAUGUAAACUAUAAAAACGAGUCAAAGUGGAUUGGCCCACACUAGCACUUCCGCGUAAUAACUCCACUAAAGGCGAUCCUAUUACCGGAAUGGCGUCAGGUACACCUGUCACAAUUUUGACUGCCCAAUAGCCAAUUUGAUCCCAAGGCAAAGAAUAACCAGUUACACCAAAUGAUGCAGUCAAAACAGCCAAAACCACACCUGUCACCCAAGUUAAUUCACGGGGUUUUUUAAAUCCCCCUGUGAGAUACACACGAAAUACAUGCAGGAUCAUCAUUAAAACCAUCAUACUUGCUGACCAUCGAUGAACUGAUCGGAUUAACCAACCAAAGUUGGCCUCGGUCAUUAUGUAUUGAACCGAGGAAAAAGCCUCUGUAACGGUUGGUCGGUAGUAAAAAGUCAUAGCAAAACCGGUAGCGACUUGUACUAGAAAACAAGUAAGUGUAAUUCCCCCUAAACAAUAAAAUAUGUUGACAUGGGGAGGAACAUAUUUACUAGUUAUAUCAUCCGCAAUUGCCUGAAUCUCAAGACGUUCCUCAAACCAAUCAUAUACUUUAUUGAGAUAGGUAACUAACCCACGCCCCCCUCUAAGAGCCGUAUAUGAAAAUUUCAUCUCGUACGGCUCAAGCAGAAACACACAAAUUUUCAACGAAUAUUAGAAAAAAGGUUCAAAACUUCAUCAGCCACUGAAUCGGGUCGAUUUGCCUUGAAGAUAGCAAAUAAAAAAAAUCCGGAAUAUCUUCUUUGUGAUGAUAAUGCCAAAAAAUCUCAAGUUGGCGCGUCUUUCUUUCUUCCUUUCCCUUAUGUUGGUCAUUAGAGGCUUCUUGACUUUUCUCUUCCCUAUUUUGGAUUUUUUUUUAUGCGUAAUAUAGAAAUUAUCUUGUUGUGAUCCUAUGAAUCAGUUCAAUUAAAACCUUAGAUUCAUACUAGAGCCACGAUGAUUUAGUCUCAAGCUAAACAAAAGGCAAGGGUUCUUCGAAUAAGAACCGCUUGAUAAUCAUUUAUUGAAAUUGAAUCAGUGUAAUGACUCGACAAAAUCGAUAGAAAAAAAGUUGUCUUUUGGGCAAACAAAAUUGUAAGGAAGAAAAUUUCUUUUUAUUUUAUUUAAGAACUACUUGAAUUUUUCAGUCUGGUUGCGAGGUCUUAAUAGUGAGUAUGAAUCAUAGUUCCAUUUUUUUUGAUCCACUCUAUCUAUUUCGUGUUCCAGAUACUAGAAUAAAUAAUAUCUGACGAAUUAGAAUCAUCUUGAUAGAGAUAACAGGCCCUUUCUAUGUAUUAUCAAUAGGAUCAAUUCUAACAAGUCACACACUCAUAUUCCAGAGAUACCGAAACAAAAAAAUUCCGCGGUCGAACUACCAUAAUAUCUAGAAAUGUAGAGCUUAAACUAGAAAGGCUUUUUUGGAUGGAAAAACUCUGACUUCCUAGUUUUAGUUAGUAGAAACCUAAUUGGUUAAAAUUCCAUCCAGUAAAAUGGAAGAAUUAUAAAUUUCUAAAAUGAUAGAUAGGAAUAUAGCGAAUAAAGCCAUUGCGACCCCCAUAAAAGGAGUAGUCCCCCAACCCGGGGCGACUUUCCCAUAUUCCGAAUUCAAGGGUUUCAGUAAACUACCUGCACCAGUUCGUUUUGGCCUAGGUUUAGAACUAUCUUCAACGGUUUGUGUAGCCAUAAAUUAUAUUUAAUCAUUGGUGUUGACUUUGUAUACUAUUCCGUUGUAGUUGUAAAUACACGAUCUUUUCGUAGAUCCAUUGUAAUCUUGAAAUUCUAUAAAAAUGGAAACAGCAACUUUAGUCGCCAUCUCCAUAUCUGGUUUACUUGUAAGCUUUACUGGGUAUGCCUUAUAUACCGCGUUUGGGCAACCCUCUCAACAAUUAAGAGAUCCAUUCGAAGAACACGGAGACUAAUUUAAGUAAGAAGUCCCCCUAUCUGGGAGACUUCUUACUUAAAUGAAAUUAUUUUAUUCUUUUAGUUGGAGUUGGUGGAACCUUAGGUGGUUCUCGGAAGAAGAUAGCGAAAAAAAUUAUCCCUAAAGUCGAAACUAAAAGGAACGUAUAAACCAAUGCUUCCAUAGAUUCGAUCGUGGUUUAUUUACAAUUAUAACUUCCACACCUAUUCAUUUGUCAUUUGGGAGAAUUUCCCAUAUAAAGAAAGAAAAAGAGUCAAAGAAAGGAAUGGGAGAUGUCAAAUCAAAAAAGAGAGGUGAAAGAUACCAUAACAAUGUGUAUCAGACUGCCUGUUUCUUUGUAGUUGGAUCUCCCACUUUUUGGAAUGUUCCAAAUUCCACUUGAGCAUCCAAAUCUGGAUCAAUACCAGCAAAAACAUCUCGGAACAAUGUUCUAGCGCCAUGCCAAAUGUGUCCGAAAAAGAAGAGCAAAGCAAAGGUAGCAUGACCAAAAGUGAACCAACCCCUUGGACUGCUGCGAAAAACACCAUCGGAUUUCAAAGUAGCCCGGUCUAAUUCAAAAAUUUCCCCUAAUUGAGAACGCCUCGCAUAUUUUUUUACAGUAGCAGGAUCAGAAUAAUUUACUCCAUUAAGUUCGCCACCAUAGAACUCCACCGUUACGCCUACUUGUUCAACACUAUAUUUGGAUUCUGCUCUUCUAAAAGGAACGUCCGCUCUAACAAUUCCCUCCUCAUCUACCAAAACAACCGGAAAUGUUUCAAAAAAAGUAGGCAUACGGCGUACAAAAAGCUCACGUCCUUCUUUAUCUCUAAAGACGGGAUGUCCUAACCAUCCAACAGCUAUUCCAUCCCCAUUGUCCAUUGAGCCCGCUCUGAAUAAUCCCCCUUUUGCCGGAUUAUUACCAAUAUAAUCAUAAAAGGCUAAUUUUUCGGGAAUUUUAGACCAAGCUUCUGAUAAACUAAGAUUUUCGGCUAAACCAUUGCUAACUCUUCGAUAUAUUUCUUGCUGAAAGUAUCCCUGAUCCCACUGAUAACGAGUAGGCCCAAAUAAUUCGAUUGGGGUCGUUGCUGACCCAUACCACAUAGUUCCAGCAACUACGAAAGCUGCAAAAAAAACAGCAGCGAUACUACUGGAAAGUACAGUUUCAAUAUUGCCCAUACGUAAUCCUUUAUAUAGACGUUGAGGCGGACGGACACUAAGAUGGAAUAAGCCCGCUAAUAUACCCAAUGUACCCGCAGCAAUAUGAUGAGAAGCUAUUCCCCCCGGAACAAAAGGAUCAAAACCUUCUGCACCCCACGCUGGAUUUACAGCUUGUACUUUUCCAGUUAGUCCAUAAGGAUCGGAUACCCAUAUCCCAGGACCAUACAAACCCGUUACAUGAAAUGCCCCAAAGCCAAAGCAAGCCACCCCUGCAAGAAAUAAAUGAAUUCCAAAGAUCUUGGGCAAAUCCAAAGAGGGUUUUCCCGUCCGCUCAUCAGAGAAUAUUUCUAGGUCCCAAUAUACCCAAUGCCAGAUCGCUGCCAAGAAACACAAGCCAGAAAACACAAUAUGCGUAGCUGCCACACCUUCAUAACUCCAAAUACCCGGAUUUGUUACAGUUCCUCCUGAAAUACUCCAACCACCCCACGAAUCCGUUAUUCCUAAACGAGUCAUGAAGGGAAUUACGAACAUACCUUGUCUCCACAUUGGAUCCAGAACAGGAUCAGAGGGAUCAAAAACUGCUAAUUCGUAUAAAGCCAUUGAGCCAGCCCAACCAGAAACUAGAGCUGUGUGCAUUAUAUGCACCGCAAGCAAUCGACCCGGAUCAUUCAAUACGACAGUAUGAACACGAUACCAAGGCAAACCCAUGGAAAUACCCCUUUAGCAAAGAAAAAUAGACACGAUGUCGCUUUAUUUUAUCGCAUUGAAAAAGAUUAUCCAUUGUACCUAACCCUUCUAGGGGAUUCUGUGUCAGAAAGCGCGAAUAUUUAUUUCAUUCCAUUAAAAAAUAAGAAGCCAAUUCUGUUCAUAAGAAGAAAGAGAAGCAGAUCUAUUCUAUACUCGAUAAGUGCCAAUAUGCAAUGGGUAACUUGGCCAAUUUGGAAAAAACGAAGAAUAGAUCGCUACCCCUCUUUGUUUAGCAUUCGAAUCACCCAUUCCUUUUUCUUUAUUCAAUCUGUCUUACCUUUCUUAUAUGUAUAACCUUUCCAUCUAUGUAUUAAUAGAAUCUAUAGUAUUCAUAUAGAAUAGAAUAAGAAUAAAAUAGAAUAGAAUAAGAAUAAAAAUUAAGACAAUAAACUGCAGAUUCUUUCUUUCUGUUCCAUUCUUACGUUUCCAUAUUAAAGUGUUUCUUACUUAAAUUUAAUAAUAUUAAUCUAAUAUGCCCAUUGGUGUUCCAAAAGUACCUUACCGGAUUCCUGGAGAUGAAGAAGCGACUUGGGUUGACUUAUACAAUGUUAUGUAUCGAGAAAGGACACUUUUUUUAGGUCAAGAGAUUCGUUGCGAGAUCACGAAUCAUAUUACAGGUCUCAUGGUAUAUCUGAGUAUAGAAGAUGGAAUUAGUGAUAUUUUUUUGUUUAUAAACUCCCCAGGCGGUUGGCUAAUCUCAGGAAUGGCUAUUUUUGAUACGAUGCAAACGGUGACACCAGAUAUAUAUACAAUAUGCCUCGGAAUAGCCGCGUCCAUGGCGUCCUUCAUUCUGCUUGGAGGAGAACCCGCCAAGCGUAUAGCAUUCCCUCACGCGAGGAUUAUGCUUCACCAACCUGCUAGUGCUUAUUAUCGGGCAAGGACACCAGAAUUUUUACUAGAAGUAGAAGAGUUACACAAAGUUCGCGAAAUGAUCACAAGGGUUUAUGCACUAAGAACAGGCAAGCCUUUUUGGGUUGUAUCCGAAGACAUGGAAAGGGAUGUUUUUAUGUCAGCAGACGAAGCCAAAGCUUAUGGACUUGUCGAUAUUGUAGGGGAUGAAAUGAUUGACAAGCACUGCGAUACUGAUCCAGUGUGGUUUCCGGAAAUGUUUAAGGAUUGGUAGUGUCCGGAUUUCUUGUAAAGUUAUUUCACAGCUAAAUUCGUGUUUUCCUCGAUUUAAUAGAAAAUAGAAAGACUUCAUGAUGAGCAAUCAUCAGGUUAAGAUGGAUCUAAACCAAUCCAUUUUUUUCUAUAUACAUACAACAUGCCAACGGUUAAACAACUUAUUAGAAACGCAAGACAGCCAAUACGAAAUGCUAGAAAAACGGCUGCGCUUAAAGGAUGCCCUCAGCGUCGAGGAACAUGUGCUAGGGUGUAUGUGCGACUCGUUCAGAUCAUGACUUCAAACAAAUAUAAAAAAAAUUUGAAGUAUCCCUGAUUAGUACCAAUGAAUAGGAUAUAGCUUCUCUAUCCUAGAUUUCUAUGGUAUAUGGAAUUUCUGGUUUCCUUUGGUGCAAAUCGAAUUAUCUAAAUUUGGAAAUAAGAAGCAAUUCUCCCAUUGGUAGCAAAUGGUUAUCCAUUAAGCGGAGGAAAUAGUAAUAAAAAGAAAAAGGCUUAUGCUCUUUUAUCUUAUAAAGAACGGACUAACAGGGUCAGCUACUUAGCCAACUUUCAUAAUUAAAUACCGUCACUGUAUGGAUAACUCUUAUUGUGAAAAGAGCUAUUUACUCUAUAAUGGAUAGGUAGAGCCAAAGAAUGUGAACUAUACAAGUUCGUAAUACUUUUUGAUGAAAGAAAGGGCUCCGGUGUAUAGAGAGGGCCUCACCGUUUAAAAGGGAACCAUAGAAACGAUGGAACCCACUAUUUUUUUUAGUAUUAUUUAGAAUGAAUUUGUUAUUUCGUAUAGAAAUAACUGAACGGAGUGGAAUAAAAAAUCGUGGUUGGGAAGGUUACUAUAGCAAAAGCCAUUGGAAUUAAUAUUUUAUAUAUCGGAAUAAUUAGUUUUGUUAUUAAUGAGAAAAAGGGUGGCUAAAAGAAGAGAAAUCAUUAGUUAUUCAUUAAGGUUAAUUUGAUUCAAUGACCAGAGUUCCGCGAGGAUAUAUAGCCCGGAGACGACGAACAAAAAUGCGUUCAUUUGCCUCAAACUUUAGAGGGGCUCAUUUAAGACUUAAUCGAAUGAUUACCCAACAAGUAAAAAGAGCUUUUGUUUCCUCUCAUCGAGAUAGAGGUAGGCAAAAGAGGGAUUUUCGUCGUUUGUGGAUCACUCGGAUAAACGCAGCAACGCGGGUAUAUAAAGUAUUCGAUAGUUAUAGUAAAUUAAUACACAACCUGUACAAGAAGAAAUUGAUUCUUAAUCGUAAAAUGCUUGCACAAGUAGCUGUAUCAAAUCCAAAUAAUCUUUACACGAUUUCCAAUAAAAUAAAGAUCAUCAAUUAAAGGUAUAAAUAAAGUAAUAUACUGGAAUAAUAAAAGAUGAAUUCCCGGAGAGGGAACUCCGGGAAGAUACAAUAAAUUAAGAUUAAGUGGUAGGAAUCGACGAGCUGGAUUACUUUCUUUAUAAUAUAUAUAGGUCUGGCCCUUGCGAAUUCGAAUAAAACAUCAACAAUCGGAACUUAAGUUCCGGUUGUUGUUUCUUAAAUUUUGGUUGUAGUUUCUUAAGUUUCGAUUGGAAUUGUACUUUUGCGUUAAUUGAGGAAUAUGUCUAUUUUUUCUGGGUCUAGAACCUGUAAUUAUUGAAAUUGACUGGGCUUGAAAUUGUUUUUCGUUCUCAUAGUUACGAAACGGUAAAAAAGAUAAAAUACGAGCCUGUUUUAUAGCAAGAGUAAUUAAUCGUUGUUGUUUCAAGGUUAAUCUAUUUAUUCGUCUCGAUAAUAUUUUUCCUUGUUCACUAAUAAAUCUAUUAAUUAAACUCAUGUUUCUAUAAUCAAUUCGAUCUCCCGGGCCAAUCCGGGGACGCCUACGAAAAGGUUGUUUAGAUUUACGAAAAGGUUGUUUGAAUUUACGAAAAGUUUGCUUGGAUUUACGAAAGGGUUGCUUGGAUUUAUUAAAAGUUUGCUUGGAUUUACUAAAGGGUUGCUUAGAUUUAAGAAAAGGUUGUUUAGAUGUAUACAUGAUUUAUUCCUUAUUUAAUUUAAAAUUGGAAAAUGCACUUCUUUAUUUUAUUAAUUUAGGAUCCAGAAGAAGUAGUUUUUCUUUGAUCCAUAUCUUAUUUGAUUCAUAUUUAUAGUAUAUGAAUACCCUCUAUACAUAUGAAAUAAUAUCGACCGGAAAUCAGAUGAGUUGAUUUGUAUUUUGUAUUCUAUACUAUGUUUUAUUUAUAUAUAAAAUAUGAAGUUCUUACUCUUUCUGUUGUUUGGAAAGAUCGAAUACACGAUGUUCCUAUUUCUUUAUUUCGUGAUGAGUCGUAUGCUUGCGACAAUAACGACAAAAUUUUUUGAAUUCUAAUUGUCCGGGUGUAUUGUGGCGAUUCUUUUGAGUACUAUAUCUAGAAAUCCCCGUCGAUUCCUCAUUGGCACCUUUUCGAACACAACUGAUGCAUUCCAAAAUAACUCUGAUUCUAACAUCUUUUCCCUUGGCCAUGAACCUCCUUUUCCUUUUGGAUUGACUUAAUUUAAUUCUUCUACUUAUUCUUUUAUUCUUCUAUUUUGAAUCCGAAGAAGAAGAAUAAAAUUCAUUAGAAUAAUUUUUUUUUAUUCUUAAAUUAAGUAAUAAAAAAUAGAGAAAUAAUUAAAGAAUACAAUCCUUGUCGAAUUAGCAAAGAUUUUGGUUCGAAAUCCUUUCAUUUAAUUAGUCAGCCCCGCCUUUUUCUAUGCUCUGAUUUCUGAGGCCUGAUUUAGCUUGGGUACCCCUUUAAAUUGAAUUUCUAUUUUUAAAAAUAGGGUUUACCAAAUUUUUAAUGACUCUGAGGUUCAACCCAAUCCAUCUUUUCUUUCUUUUUCCUUCCGAUACUAAAAAAAGAUUGAAAAGGAUAAGAUAAAAUUUUGUCAUAUCACGAAGAAAUCUAUCCCUCCCAUAGCAAUAACUAGAAUUAAAAAAAAGGGAAUGACAAAGCAUCCGGGAAUAAACGAUUAAUUUCUAUCAAUAAACCUGCUAAAGCACCAAACCAUAGAGUACUUAGCACGGGUGCUACAGAGAGAUAUGUUUUUAUAUCCCGCAUUGAAAAUCCUCCUUCCUUGUUGGAAUACAUAUAUGAUCAUAAACUUAUGCUAUAUAUAAACUGAACCAUAAUCGACGAAAUUUUCCGAAAUUGUCCUAUCCCUAAAAAAUAAAAAGAUGACCCCUUCUUCCUAUAUAUUAUCAAGGAAAAGUAAUCUUUCUUUUAUAGGCGAAAUUCUAUUGGAUUUUAGCUGUAUAUAAUUCCUUAAUUAUAUGAGACCAAAAAGAAGAAAUGACACGAGGGUUCUAUAUAUAGAUAGAGAAAGAAUAAGAAAAUUAUGAUGUGGAAAAGAAGACAGGAAUUGUGUACAAUGGCAUUGCACAACAAUUUAAUUUGGAAAAGGGAUGUAGCGCAGCUUGGUAGCGCGUUUGUUUUGGGUACAAAAUGUCACAGGUUCAAAUCCUGUCAUCCCUACCUAUUACUUCUUUCUUCUUUAUAGGCAGUAGCAACGAGAUCAAUUAAAGUAAAGUGGGUAUAACUGGAAUUUGUGGAGACUAUACGUACGUGAGAUACAUUAGGAAUAGAAAAAGAUUUUCUUUUUGAAUGAAUGAAAGCGCUCUUAGUUCAGUUCGGUAGAACGCGGGUCUCCAAAACCCGAUGUCGUAGGUUCAAAUCCUACAGAGCGUGAUUCCAUCUAUCUUAUGUCGAAGCAGAGUAAAAUAAUUUAACAAAAUUGAAUUGUAACUCCAAUUUGACCUCCUCCAGACCAGAGAGGAGGUCAAAUAAAAAAAAAAAAUGACUCAAUCAAAGAUCCAACUGAUCCCCACGCCUGUAUUGCAAAUACGCAGUCACGAAUAAUCCCGCUAAAGUAAUAGGAAUUAGGCCUAAGACGAUUCCAAAUAGAAAAACUUCAAUCAUUUCGAUUUGUUCGGGGGGAUAAAAAAAGAGGUACGAUCUAUCCCUAAAUAGUACUCUAAAUUAUCCACGAAUCUCAAUGACCAAGAAAAGAAUUCCUAAUUAGUCUGGAAAAGAGUCGUAGAAUAUCAGGAAUCCCAAAGAAAGAUUUUGCUUUUCUGAAUUAUUAUUAUUCAGUCAAUUCAAAUAAGACGUAUCUUGUUCAAGCCAAUAAAUAGAGCUGGGGUUAUAGUUAAAGCAGCCAGUAGAAAACCGAAAUAACUAGUUAAAGUAAGCAUGAAAGAGUUAAAUUCCAUUUAUUUUUUUUUACUACACUACAUAUGUUGGUAAAGCAUUUACCUAAGUUAUGGAAAAUUCAUAAUUCAUCAGUUAUUUUAGAUAAUACUAAAAAACAAGAUAGAGUGAGAUACAGAAGUGUAAAAGAAAGUGGAUUCAUCAGAUGAUACAUGAGUCCCUAAUUUCGAAUCAAGAGAUUUGUUAUGGAAUUUUUCAAUUGAGUAAAGUAAUAAUAUUAAGAACUAGAUCAUAUAACCCCAUUGAAUGAAAAAAUGAAAUUGGAUUUUCAGGGAAAUUUCGGAAUAAGAGAUAAAUAAACAAUUGAAUUUGAAAAAAAAACUUCUUUCUAUUUUGGAUAAUUUCUUUUUCAAUAGGACCCUCUUUUUGGACUGAACGAUCGAAUAUUCCCCUAUUCCUUCUUAUUUUAAUUUUAACUGAUUGUAUUCUAUAUGGAAUAAGAGGAGAAGAAAAGCAUUCCACGACCUCCCGAGGGUCUGUUAAAAAAAAAAGAAAGCUCUUCCUUGAAUUUACUUUAUUUUUAUUCCUUUUUCGAACUCCAACCAAAGUAGAUUCGAAGACGAGUCACUUCAAUUAUCCUUUUAAGUUCUAUUCUAUCUUCUGUCUUUCCCUAUUUCAUCUCGUAAAGUUCCACGCUCGCAGUUUGGUCAAGAAAGUUAGACCUAAUCCAACAAACAAGACAAGGAUUAAUUACGAAUUAUGAAAGGAUAAAUUUCACAUAUAUAUACUUGUCCUUGUAUUGUGUCAGUAUGAGAAUAUCCUUCCUAAAUUAUUUAUCCAAACCUAUUGAUCAUUAACUUAGAUUUUCCCAAGAUUUUGGCUGCUAUUCCGAAUUACUCUAUUAUUCCGAAGCCAAGGAAAAUAAAUAGAACCUACAAAAAAGGGGUUUUCUAUUGACGCCUUGAAUAACAUAUAGCUUACCUAUAGACAAAAAAAAGUAAUUAUGUUUCGGAACCAGGCAAAACCAGAUUGCUGUGCCAUAGGAAGGAUAGCUAUACUAAUUCGGUAUACUCAAAAUACACCUUUGGUACAAAAUUGACAAUCUCACAAGGAUGAAAUAUCAGUAAUUUUCUAUUUACUGGUUGAUCCCAUCUUUUACGGAAUCAAUUCCUUUUUUGAAUGUACAAAAAUUUUGGGAGUUCAGCAUGUCUGGAAGCACGGGAGAACGUUCUUUUGCUGAUAUUAUUACCAGUAUUCGAUACUGGGUUAUUCAUAGCAUUACUAUACCUUCCCUAUUCAUUGCGGGUUGGUUAUUUGUCAGUACGGGUUUAGCUUAUGACGUGUUUGGAAGUCCUAGGCCAAACGAAUAUUUCACGGAAAGCCGACAAGGAAUUCCGUUAAUAACCGACCGUUUUGAUUCUUUAGAACAACUCGAUGAAUUUAGUAGAUCCUUUUAGGAGGCCCUCAAUGACCAUAGAUCGAACCUAUCCUAUUUUUACAGUGCGAUGGCUGGCUAUUCACGGACUAGCUGUACCUACUGUUUUUUUCUUGGGAUCAAUAUCAGCAAUGCAGUUCAUCCAACGAUAAACCAAAUUCCAACUAUAGAACUAUGACACAAUCAAACCCGAAUGAACAAAAUGUUGAAUUGAAUCGUACCAGUCUAUACUGGGGUUUAUUACUCAUUUUUGUACUUGCUGUUUUAUUUUCCAAUUACUUCUUCAAUUGAGAGAAAGAAAGAGACUAAUAAGAAUUCUCUUAUCCCAUUUGGAAAGAUACCAUCCUUAUAACUACCCAUGACUGUUUUUGUCUCUAGCAUGACCAAUUGAUAAAAUGUGGAGGAAAGUAGGGGAAAUGGCCGAUACUACUGGAAGAAUUCCUCUUUGGCUGAUAGGUACUGUAGCUGGUAUUCCUGUGAUUGGUUUAGUAGGUGUUUUCUUUUAUGGUUCAUAUUCUGGAUUGGGUUCAUCUCUAUAGUAAUCGGAGGGACCAGAUUGUAAACAUGAAAAAGUAGGAGCUUAGCGGGUCCUUACCCCCUUUAUCUGAUUAGAGCGGAAAGGACCCGCGGAAUUUUUACUCUUAUAACGCGAAUUGAAUCUAUUCGAUUCACUCUUAUGAAGCAACAAGAAAAAGAGAUCACUCGAGGAUCCAAUAUCUUAUUCCACAAAGGAAGUAUCCUGAAAAUCCUUGAUUUAGUUUCGAGUAAUAAACUAAUAAAACCUUAAUCAAAACUAUUCAACUAGCCUAAAAAUAAAAAAAAAACCUUCAAUGGAAGAGUUUACUUUUUUUUGCAAAAUUUCUGUAAGUUUGAAGUUAAACUUAAUUAAACAAGCCAAGCAAUUCUAUUUGCUUACAAUCACAAGAAAUUUGUCCCCCGCCAUAUUUUCUUCCCCUCUGUUUGUCCACUACCUCGGCUAAACCUAAGCAAAAGAAAAAGAGGCCCAAGAGACAGACCCGAAUAAAGAAGAAAUAGUAAAGUAAUCUUUGACGAAUUAGGAAGAAAAAGGAUUCUUAUUUUGAUACAAGAAGAAUCGGCACAAGAAAAAGCCUUUUUCUUGUGCCGAAUAGACGAUUAAGAAGACCUGCAAUCCCUCGAAAGAAAUUUAAAUUUUAUUGUUCUCGCCUUUGCCUUGGAUUCUCUUCUUUUGCAUGAGAUAUAAAUAAGGAAUUCCAGACAUCUCGUAAACAAAAAAAAGUCUAAACAAAAAAAGGAUUUCCAAAAAAGAUCAUAGAUAAUUCUAGCAAUUGCCAAUAAAUCGAGGCUUUUUACCAACUUGAUGGUAAGAAAUUCCGGGACCUAGAAAUUCAUUUCGUACAAUUGAACCUUUUCAAACUGUUUCUUUUUGAGAACCAAAAAAACUUGUGCCAAAAUAACGGAUGCGAAGAAGAACAAAAGGCCUUGGACACGUAAUGGAUCCUGAAGCACGAUUUCUGCGUCCCCCUGACCAAAACCUCCCACAUUAGGAUUGCUUGUUAAUGGUUGAUCAAUCUUGAUGGAUUCCCCCUCUGAAACAAGAAGUUCUGGUCCGGGAGGUAUAAUAUCAAUCACUUGGCGUCCAUCUGAUGCAUCAACUAUGGAUAUUUCAUACCCCCCUUUUUCUUUACGUAGUAUUUUUCUUACUAUACCUGUUGACGUAGCAUUAUAGACUGUAUUGUUACUCUUGCUACCAUCAGGAUAGAUCUGUCCUCUUCCUCGGUUUCCCCCUACAUAUAUAGGAUAUUUUAAGAAAUGAGCAUCUUUCUUCGUAGCAGGAUCAGGGGAAAGAAUGGGAAAGACAAUUUCACUAUAUUUCUUACCGGGAACAGGGCCUAUCACAAGAAUAUUUUUUUUAUCGGGACGAUAACUCUGAAAAGCAAGAUUUCCUAUCUUUUCUUUUAACUCAGGGGAAAUACGGUCGGGCGGCGCUAAUUCAAAUCCCUCGGGCAAAAUAAGAACAGCACCUACAUUCAACCCUCCCUUUUUUCCAUUAGCAAGAACUUGUUUCAAUUGCAUAUCAUAAGGAAUUCGAAGAACUGCUUCAAAUACAGUAUCGGGAAGCACAGCUUGGGGAACUUCAAUAUCGACGGGCUUGCUAGCUAAAUGGCAAUUGGCACAUACAAUUCGCCCAGUUGCUUCUCGUGGGUUUUCAUAACCCUGCUGCGCAAAAAUGGGAUAUGCAUUUGAAAUAGAUGUCCGAGUUAUUACGUAUAUCAUGAUCGAUACAGAAAUCGAUCGAGUUAUCUGUUCCUUUACCCAAGAAAAAGUAUUUCUAUUUUCCAUGUCCAAUCACAGAUCCCAGAAUUUCUACAAUAAAUUAGAUAGGUAGCUAAGCUAAUCUAGUUCCCUAUACACGAAUUUGUUGGCAUUCUACUGCAACAGUUGUACUGCAAUGAUGAAUACCUUAAAGCAGGUAUAAAUAGAAAGAAUUUUGGUAAAAUGGAAAAGGGCUUUCUUUCUAAAGAAAGAUGCUAAUUUGAUUAAUAUUAAUAUCGGGAGAUCAAAUGAAUUUAUGCUUCACUAAUUGAAUGAUAAAUGACUACAAGCGAAGGAGAUAGACGGUUUAAACAAAAAAAGACCCAAAAUUUCAAACAUGUAUCUAGAAUUACUGGAAAACUACAAACAAAAAUAGUGAAAAUAAGCUCAUUAGGAGCCCAUCCAAAAUCGUUAUAGACCCAACGAAUUACUAGUUCCCAACCACGGGUGGAGUGAAAUCCAACAAAAAAAUCAGUAACUAAAAGAAUAAAAAAAGCUUUUAUUGAGUCAUUUAAAUUAUAGAAGAAUUCCUGAACCCAAGAAUUCAAAAUGACAAGUUCCUCUUUACCCAGAAAAAAAGAACCACUUAGAAUAGCCAAACAGAUUAUAUUUGUCGAGAAAUGCAAAAUGAUAUGGAGAUGAUCCUCAUUAUUUAUUUUGACCCAUUGUAUUAUUUCCUUGUGUAUUCCUGUAGGAGGUUUUUGUACAUGUGUCUUUAGUUUCCCUUUUAUCAUCUCGUCCAAGAGAGAAAGUUCUUCUAAUUCUAUGAAUCUUUCUAGAAUCCUUUUCUCUUGAAUAUCAGUUAAGAGAGUUUCGGAUUGCCUGGUAUUCCACCAAUUCUUAAUCCAAAGUUCCAGACAUUUGUUAAAUGAGGAAGAGACCCCCCAAGGCAAAAGUACGAUAAAUACAAGAUAUAGUAAAGAAGGCAAUGCUUUCUUUUUUUUCAUUUUUGAUCUGUAAAUGGAGUUGUUAAUGAAUAUGCUUCAUUCGCUGACUCUAUUCCAUUCCCUGACUCUAUAUGAUGAUAUUUCUAUUUCAUGAUAUUUCUAUUUCUUUGAAGCAAAAACUCUAUAGGUUUGAUACCCUGUAUCUAUUCUUCUUUUUUGUAUAUUAGUGGAAUUUCAGUGCAUUGGGUUCUUUCUUAGAUCUAGAUGGAAUGAAAUAGUGAAAUAGAAUAAAAAAAGCCCUUUCGGGUGAAAAUGGAAGAGAAGAAUAGUAUGCAAUAUAUCUAACUUCGACAAAAAAAAUUUAAAAUAAUUUUAUCUUAUCCUCGUUUGUUCCUUCCUUUAGAUAAAUACUUAAAAAUCCCCUUACAAUAACAAAUCCAAUUUCGAAGGGACUUCCUCCCCAUGUUGAGAAAACUUUUCUUCUUCCAAUUUAUCUUUUCUUCAUUCAAUUCAGUUCAAAAAAGAUACCUCAAAAUACUUCAAUUGGUACGCGCAAGAAAUAGGCCAAUUCGGCAGCUUUUUGUUCAAUUUCUCGUGGAGUAAAAAACUUAUCAUCAGUACGAGUCAAGGGAAUGAUCCCCUGGCCCCGGAUUUCCAUAUAAAGAAUACGACGAGGAUAAAGACCCUCUUUAACCUGAAUUCUAAUUGAUUGGAUAUCCCGCAUAAGGAAUCGAAGGAAGACGCGACGUUUUAUUCCAGGGAAUCCCCAACGAAAAAUGCAAACUAUUCCCUCUUUUCUAUCGAAUCGGUCAUAACCACUACCUACAUUCCACAAAAUAGUACACCACAGGUAGGAGCUAAUGAAUAGGCCUGCGAUUCCGUAGAAAGACAUCACGACCCCCUGCGGAAAAAAAAGAAUUUCUUGAGAUGGAAGUAUAGAUAUAAUAUUCUUACCAAGAUAACUGGAAGUCCCAACCAAUAAGAAUCCUAGUGAACCUAGAAAAAGAAUACAGGCCCAGAAAAAAUUACUCCUUUUUCGAGAACCUUUUAGAAGUUCUACCCAUAUGUGUUCUGAUCGCCAAUUCAUAUUAGAUAUACUAAAUCCAGCAGCGGUCGAUUGAAAUUGAGAGAAUAAGCUAAAUAAUUUUGCCUUUACUUUUUUUGAUUCUGAAAUCGCCUUCAGCAACUAGUACUCCUGUGAAAUAAUAGGUUAGAUACAUUGACUUUCUAUUCAAAAAAUAUUCGUUGAUUCAAUUAAAAUAAAUAAAAAAAAACUCGCUAUACCAAGCUCUGCAUAUUCAUGCAUUUAUGCUCGUAGCCUAUAUCUGCAUCCAUAGCCGUUUUUCAUUUGUGUGUAGAAAGUGUGUGUAGAAAAAGUCACAUACCCUACCAUAUUAUAUUACUUACACUAAAAAAUACUAGACAAUCUUUUUUUUUUGCACAUAAAGAAAUAAAGAAGUCAUUGCAAUUGCCGGAAAUACUAAGCCUACUAAAGGCACGAAAAUAGAAGGUAAGUUUAAAUCCGUCAUGGAAUAGGUGUCUCAAUUCAAAUUUACUAUUUCUAUCUAGUCGAAAAAUAUCUUAAGAUUCUUAUGAUAUAAUUAAGUAUAUCUAUUAUAAGGAAUAUUGACUAUUGUAUUUUUUUAGUUUGCAAAAUAUUCUGUAAAAAAAAUGAUAAGGAUAAUAAGAAAAUUCCAAAAAAGGAGAACUAAUUAAAAAGAUUUUUUUUAUUUUCCCAUCCUCAUGGCCUUUCUAUCUUUCUAAUCUAAUUUGAAAUUGGAUUCAAAAGAAAGCGACUAGAAUUUACUUCCUGCAUACAUACUUCUCUAGAAGCGCAUACAAUAAUGCGUGGUAAAGGCAGAAAAAUAGUAUAUUCAAUCAAAAUCAAAGGGCAAAUUAUCUUACCUACUAUAGAUCCCCUACUACCCUCUUAAGAUCCCCUACUACCCUCUUAAGAUCCCCCCUACUACCCUCUUAGACUUUUAAAGGCGAUAUACCACCCAAAGAAAGGGUAUGAAAAUGCCGGGUGGUGUUAGCUUUUCGACGAAGACCCGUCCUGUGCCGCGAAGUCCUGUUAGUAAGACCCCGCGCAAUAAUGGAUUAUAGAAGAAUAGUAUUCAAAAUACUGCUCUGGACGCAUAUAGUAGCAUUGCGAUUCCUAAUCUUUUUUAUUUAUGAAUAUGAACAGAAAAAAUUCAUUGUAUCGUUGGGUCGGAGCGGAGGUUUGGUCCAGAAAAAUUAGGAACAAAACGUCUACUCUACCACACUGAAGUCUAUAGCGCUGUAUUUCCACGAAAGUAUAAUUCUUACCAUCAGGAUACGCUCCUUUCAACGUCUCUCCGAUGGGUCCAGGUUCUAUGUCCAAUCCCAAAUCAAGGAUUUCUCGCUCUUGAUCGGAGUCAUAAACUAAAACUACCUUUUUAUCCUUUUUAUUAAGGUUAUAGAAAACUUCCUUAUCUAGUUCUAGCAUGUUGACUCACGAUUACGCCUGUUAAAAGUUUCAAACGUCCUCUUUUUUGAAAUUGAAAGAGAGUCUUAUAAAAAGGUCUAACUUCCAAACUAUGUCUUUUUUCAUUCAUUCUCCUUUAGUUUUUUUCUCUAUCUAGAAGUGGAAUAGAAUAACCCGGUUGAAGGGUAAUGAUCAUACGUCUGUAAUGCAUUGUACGGCCCAGAAUAGGUCCUAUUCUUCUACCUUUUCCAGGUAGUCGAUGGCUAUUCACAGCUACCACCUUAAUCCAAAGAAGAGUUUGAACCAAUGCUUUAUUUCUGUCUUAGUGAAUCCCGAUUCGACAUUAAAAGUAUAUUGAUUCUUUCCCAAUAAACGAAGACUUUUUUCUGUAAAUACUGCGUAUUUGAUUCCAUUAUCAUAUGAUACUACUAUAUUUUAUUAUUUUCUUUUUAUUUCUUUAUUGUAUUAUACCUUAAUAUAUAUAUAUAUUCUAGAUAUAUAGAAUAGACGAAUCUCGAUUUGUCAAGUCUCAUGAUCAUAUCAUGAUCUAUUUUUAUUCGGCUCAAUCUUUUUUAUAAAAAAAAAGAUUGAGCCGAGUUUAAUUGCAAUCAAUUAGAAGAAUAAAGAAGAAUUACUGCAUUUCAUAACUUAUUUUUUUCUCUUUUUAUUUCGUUUAUUUUUUUUUAGACCUUCUUAUCGAUAGUAUCUACCGGCUCGAACUCGAAUUUGAUCGCCUUCCAUACUUCACAAGCUGCGGCUAGUUCAGGACUCCAUUUGCAAGCUGCUCGGAUAAUUUCAUUACCUUCGCGAGCAAGAUCACGCCCUUCGUUACGAGCUUGUACACAAGCUUCUAAAGCCACUCGAUUAGCUGCUGCACCAGGUGCAUUCCCCCAAGGAUGUCCUAAAGUUCCUCCACCAAAUUGUAAUACAGAAUCGUCCCCAAAGAUUUCGGUCAGAGCUGGCAUAUGCCAAACAUGAAUACCACCUGAAGCUACCGGUAUAACACCUGGCAUGGAUACCCAGUCCUGAGUGAAAAAGAUACCGCGAGCACGAUCUUUUUCAAUAAAAUCAUCGCGCAAUAAAUCAACAAAACCUAAAGUCAUUUCGCGUUCCCCUUCUAACUUACCUACUACUGUACCGGAGUGGAUAUGAUCUCCCCCAGACAUACGCAAUGCUUUAGCUAAUACACGGAAAUGCAUACCAUGAUUUUUCUGUCUAUCAAUAACUGCAUGCAUUGCACGGUGAAUGUGAAGAAGUAAGCCAUUGUCGCGGCAAUAGUGAGCCAAAGUAGUAUUUGCGGUGAAUCCCCCGGUUAAGUAGUCAUGCAUUACAAUAGGAACCCCUAAUUCUCUCGCAAAUACAGCUCUCUUAAUCAUUUCUUCACAUGUACCCGCAGUCGCAUUCAAGUAAUGCCCCUUGAUUUCACCGGUUUCGGCCUGUGAUUUAUAAAUAGCUUCGGCACAAAAGACAAAACGGUCUCUCCAGCGCAUAAAUGGUUGUGAGUUUACGUUUUCAUCAUCUUUGGUAAAAUCAAGUCCACCACGUAGACACUCAUAACACGCUCUACCAUAAUUUUUUGCGGAUAAUCCCAAUUUUGGUUUAAUAGUACAUCCCAAUAAAGGACGGCCAUACUUGUUCAACUUAUCUCUUUCAACUUGGAUACCAUGAGGCGGGCCUUGGAAAGUUUUUGAAUAAGUAGGGGGAAUUCGUAGAUCCUCCAAACGUAGAGCACGUAGGGCUUUGAACCCAAAUACGUUACCCACAAUGGAAGUAAACAUGUUAGUAACGGAACCCUCCUCAAAUAGGUCUAAUGGAUAAGCUACAUAACAGAUCCAUUGGCUGUCUUCCCCAGCAACAGGCUCGAUGUGAUAGCAUCGUCCUUUGUAACGAUCAAGACUGGUAAGUCCAUCAGUCCAAACAGUUGUCCAUGUACCAGUAGAAGAUUCGGCAGCUACUGCAGCCCCUGCUUCUUCGGGCGGAACCCCAGGCUGAGGACUUACUCGGAAUGCUGCCAAGAUAUCAGUAUCCUUAGUUUCAUACUCUGGGGUGUAGUAAGUCAAUUUAUAAUCUUUAACACCAGCUUGAAAUCCAACACCUGCUUUAGUUUCUGUUUGUGGUGACAUAAGUCCCUCCCUACAACUCUUGAAUUAAGAAUUCUCACAAUAACAGGGUCUACUCGAUGUUAAUUAGGCGUAAAUGAAACUUUAGCAAAAAUCUCGUAAAACAAAAAGGAUAUUCAAUUAAUAUAAUAUCAACUCAUUAAAGAAAAUUGAGGGCAUGCUUAGGUUAAUGAAUAUGUUUCAUUCAUAUAUAAUGCGUACACCCUGUGUAUGUUCUAUCCUAUAGGAAUUCCACUAUAGGAAUUCGAUAGGAAUUGAGUUGUUGUUAUGGUAAGUUAACACGGUUCGUUAUUAAACCAUGGAUUUGAUUUACCAAAUCCAUCAUUAUUGUAUACUCUUUGAUAGGUAUAGCGCAACCCAAAUUAAUCCCUAAUCCUUAUUUUACAAGUUCUUAAUAGGUCUCUUUUCUUAUUUGGAAUGCAAAUACCUAACUAAAUACUAAUAAAAUUCUUUGUUGACAGCAAUCUAUGCUUCACAGUAGUAUAUAUUUUGUAUAUCGAAGUCCUAGAUAGGAAAGUAGAGUAGGCACAGAUCCUCCACAAAAGGCAAAAUGUAUAUGAAAAAAAGAUUGAUUGAACUUUCCAACGGACUCAUUCCAUGAGUAAACGAUUGAAUGGGAUUCGCUUGGGCAACGAAAUCAAGUCCUGGUCCCCUUUUCUCUCUUAUUGAAUUAACUAAUUCAUUUCCUUUUUACUUUUGGAUUUUUUUUGAUUUGAUUUGGCAUUAUUCAACAAUAAAAAAAGAAAAAUUUCGACAAAUUCCUUUUUUUUAAUUAUGUGAUAAUUAUGAGAACCAAUCCUACUACUUCUCGUCCCGGGGUUUCCACAAGUGAAGAAAAAAGUACAGGUCGUAUCGAUCAAAUUAUUGGACCCGUGCUGGAUGUCACUUUUCCCCCGGGCAAGUUACCUUAUAUUUAUAACGCUUUAGUAGUCCAGAGUAGAGACACUGCCGAUAAGCAAAUUAAUGUGACUUGUGAGGUACAACAAUUAUUAGGAAAUAAUCGAGUUAGAGCUGUAGCUAUGAGUGCUACGGACGGGUUGAUGAGAGGAAUGGAAGUGAUUGACACGGGAGCUCCUCUCAGUGUUCCGGUCGGUGGAGCUACUCUCGGACGAAUUUUCAACGUUCUUGGGGAGCCUGUUGACAAUUUGGGUCCUGUAGAUAGUAGUGCAACGUUCCCUAUUCAUAGAUCUGCGCCUGCCUUUAUCGAGUUAGAUACGAAAUUAUCCAUCUUUGAAACAGGUAUUAAGGUCGUCGAUCUUUUAGCUCCUUAUCGACGUGGAGGAAAAAUAGGACUAUUUGGGGGGGCUGGAGUAGGUAAAACAGUACUGAUCAUGGAAUUAAUCAAUAACAUUGCUAAAGCUCAUGGGGGCGUAUCCGUAUUCGGUGGAGUAGGGGAACGGACUCGUGAAGGAAAUGAUCUUUAUAUGGAAAUGAAGGAAUCCGGAGUAAUUAAUGAAAAAAAUAUUGAAGAAUCAAAGGUAGCUCUAGUCUAUGGCCAAAUGAAUGAACCACCGGGAGCUCGUAUGAGAGUUGGUUUAACUGCCCUAACUAUGGCAGAAUAUUUCCGAGAUGUUAAUAAGCAAGACGUGCUUUUAUUUAUCGAUAAUAUCUUUCGUUUUGUUCAAGCAGGAUCAGAGGUAUCCGCUUUAUUAGGGAGAAUGCCCUCCGCAGUGGGUUAUCAACCUACUCUUAGUACAGAAAUGGGUUCUUUGCAAGAAAGAAUUGCUUCUACUAAAAAGGGAUCUAUAACUUCGAUUCAAGCAGUUUAUGUACCUGCGGACGAUUUGACCGACCCUGCCCCUGCCACAACAUUUGCACAUUUGGAUGCUACUACCGUACUUUCCAGAGGAUUAGCUUCCAAGGGUAUUUAUCCAGCAGUAGAUCCUUUAGAUUCAACAUCAACUAUGUUACAGCCUCGGAUCGUUGGCAACGAACAUUAUGAAACUGCGCAAAGAGUUAAGGAAACUUUACAACGUUACAAAGAACUUCAGGACAUUAUCGCAAUUCUUGGCUUGGAUGAAUUAUCGGAAGAGGAUCGUUUAACUGUAGCAAGAGCAAGAAAAAUUGAGCGUUUCUUAUCACAACCGUUCUUUGUGGCAGAAGUUUUUACUGGUUCUCCAGGAAAGUAUGUUGCUCUUGCGGAAACUAUUAGGGGAUUUCAACUAAUCCUUUCCGGAGAAUUAGACGGCCUACCUGAACAGGCUUUUUAUUUGGUGGGUAACAUCGAUGAAGCUAGCACGAAAGCUAUAACCUUAGAAGAGGAGAACAAAUCGCAGAAAUGAAAUUAAAUCUUUAUGUACUGACUCCUAAGCGAAUUAUUUGGGAUUGUGAAGUGAAAGAAAUCAUUUUAUCCACGAAUAGUGGCCAAAUUGGCGUAUUACCAAACCACGCCCCUAUUAACACAGCAGUAGAUAUGGGUCCUUUGAGAAUACGCCUCCUCAACGACCAAUGGUUAACGGCGGUUCUGUGGAGCGGUUUUGCGAGAAUAGUUAAUAAUGAGAUCAUCAUUUUAGGAAAUGAUGCGGAACUGGGUAGUGAUAUUGAUCCGGAAGAAGCUCAAAAGGCACUUGAAAUAGCCGAAGCUAACUUGAGUAAAGCUGAGGGUACGAAAGAUUUGGUUGAAGCGAAGCUCGCUCUCAGACGAGCUAGGAUACGAAUCGAGGCUGUCAAUUGGAUUCCCCCAUCCAAUUGAAGACAAUCCAGUGGUUUAUAGUUGAUACAAAGAAAAAGGGAAGAGGGGUAGAAAAAGUUAUUAGAUAGCGAAGCGAAGUAAGUCCAAUGCUAUCUAGUAAUUUUUCUACCUACUUACCUACUAUUGGAUUUGAACCAAUGACUCCCGCCGUAUGAAAGCAAUACUCUAACCACUGAGUUAAGUAGGCAAUUUAUCACCACAAAGGAAGACCCAUUACUUCGAUCGAUUAUAUAUUGAAUCCCUUUUCUAAGCAAUACCGCUCUGUUAUUGGUCUGUUAUAUACUAAAUACUAAACUAAAUACUAAACAGAUACAGAUCAAAGGGAUAUCCUCUGGCAUUAGAAAAUAUUCAUCUUGACAAGAAAUUCUCUAUAUGUUAAGAUAUCUCUGAUAAGGGCUAUAGCUCAGUUCGGUAGAGCAACUCGUUUACACGUGCGCCAAUGCUUUUCAAAGGAGCUUAUUAUGCAAUGAACAUAAUCGAUCUUAUUGCAAAAUCAAUGUCUUACUUCAUAGAUUCGAGAGAAUAGGAGAACAGUAGCCUGACAAACAGUCGGUUCAGUCCGAUUCAGGUGCCAAUUCAGGUGCCUAAUCAAAUAGAACCCUUAUGGAUUUGCUAGUUGAUAAGGUAAAUAUCCAGCCCACUAAAUGCUAGGCGUAAUGAGGAUAAGGGCCUCCAAAAAACUUCUUUUCGUUCUAUGAACUUUAAGGUGUAUGAAGUCUCAUAGUUAACUCUUGCAGUGGAACGAUAGAGACUCCAUUUCACUUAGGUUGAUUUAAUUUAGACCAGAGGCAGACCUAAGUCAAGGUAAUCCUCCUUUGAAACACUUUGGUAUUGCUCCUAGAUAGAUCAUAAUACAAAAAAUCAAUCAGAGCACAGGGAGCCAUCUCAUUAUCUUUCCGUAAAGAAAAACUAUGGUGGACUAACUGAUCUUUAAAUCAGUUUAUGAAAGAGCCCAAUGCAAAAAAAUGCAUGUUGGGUCUUUGAAACAGUUCAAAUCAUUUCGAUAAUAAUCCGUUUGAUCUGUUUUACCGAGAAGGUCUACGGUUCGAAUCCGUAUAGCCCUAAUAUGCCCUUUUUUCUAUUUUAGGAUCUCUAUCCUAUGUUUUCUUUAGUUUAGUAUAGUUUUCAUUUUCGCAUUAGUAUUUGUUUAUAGACUGGAUAGGCGCCUGCGACAUAGAAUAGAGAUAAAAGCAUUACCAAAGGCUCAUUCAUCGAAAAUCAAAAUCAUACAGACAGGAAAAGAAAAACGAAAAAUAGAAAAAAUAAAGUAAAGAGUAAAUAAGAAAACAGAAUAUUCUGUCUCAUAGUUCUGAAAUAGAGUUCUUUAUUUUUAUUUUUAUAGUAUUACUUCUCAUUAUACUGCAUAGAUUAGUCCUACUAUCUUAAUUAGGUUCUAAUUAUUCUAAUUAGUAGUAUUCUCAUUUUUAUUUAAUAGUCUCUUAUUAUUAUUAAAUAGUAAAUAAAGGAUAGAGCUAUUCUUUUUUUAUAGAGAUUCUAGAGAAAGCGAGACAAAGUGAAACGAUAAAGUUUUCUUUAUAUAAGAAUUAGAUCUACAUACACCAUAUCUAAAUAGAAUGGAAAUCCAAAAGAAAGGGAGUUGGGAUUCCAUUGGAUGAAUCUUUAAAGAAGAUGCAGCACAGAGGAAACAAAGGCUAAACUAAGCGCUUUUGUUUGAACAAAAAAGAUUCUUGUUUCACCGAGGAAAAGAGAGAAGUUCUGGAUAAAUUGACAAUGCUGAAUUGAAUUGACUAAUUUAAGUUCCGCCUAUUCCACAUUAAUGGGAGUACAUUAUGUUUCUGCUUCACGAAUAUGAUAUUUUUUGGACAUUUCUAAUAAUAGCAAGCCUUAUUCCUAUUUUGGCAUUUUCGAUUUCAGGGCUUUUAGCCCCGGUUAGUGAAGGACCAGAGAAGCUUUCUAGUUAUGAAUCGGGUAUAGAACCCAUGGGAGGGGCUUGGGUACAAUUCCGAAUACGCUAUUAUAUGUUUGCGCUCGUUUUUGUUGUUUUUGAUGUGGAAACCGUCUUUCUAUACCCUUGGGCAAUGAGUUUCGACGUAUUGGGUGUAUCCGUUUUUAUCGAAGCUUUGAUUUUCGUGCUUAUCUUAGUUGUCGGUUUAGUUUAUGCAUGGCGAAAAGGAGCCUUGGAAUGGUCUUAACUGAAUAUUUAGACAAAAAAAAAGAAGGAAAAGAUUCUAUUGAGACAGUUAUGAAUUUGAUUGAGUUUCCCUUACUUGACCAAACAAGUUCCAAUUCUGUUAUUUCAACUACACUAAAUGAUCUUUCGAAUUGGUCAAGACUCUCCAGUUUAUGGCCCCUUCUAUACGGUACCAGUUGUUGUUUCAUUGAAUUUGCUUCAUUAAUAGGUUCACGAUUCGAUUUUGAUCGUUAUGGAUUGGUACCAAGAUCAAGUCCUAGGCAAGCAGACCUAAUUUUAACAGCCGGUACGGUAACAAUGAAAAUGGCUCCGUCUUUAGUGAGAUUAUACGAGCAAAUGCCUGAACCAAAAUACGUCAUUGCUAUGGGAGCCUGUACUAUUACAGGGGGAAUGUUCAGUACGGAUUCCUAUAGUACUGUUCGGGGAGUUGAUAAGUUAAUUCCUGUGGAUGUCUACUUGCCGGGCUGCCCUCCUAAACCGGAGGCAGUUAUAGAUGCCCUAACAAAACUUCGUAAGAAGAUAUCGCGAGAAAUAGUUGAGGAUCGAACUCUAUCUCAAAAUAAAAAAAGAUGUUUUACUACCAGUCACAAGCUUUAUGUUAGGCGCAGUACUCAUACAGGAACUUAUGAGCAAGAAUUGCUCUAUCAAUCACCAUCGACAUUAGAUAUAUCUUCUGAAACUUUUUUAAAAUCCAAAAGUCCAGUACCUUCCUACAAAUUAGUGAAUUAGGAGGGGGGGGCUCUUUUGUGUAGAAAAAGAAAAAGCAGAGCAAUCUUUCAAACUUGCAUCCGAAAUGGGAAAUAUUUAUACAAAGAGGGAGAGAUGAAGACAAUGCAGCAGGGUUGGUUAUCUAAUUGGCUAGUCAAACAUGAGGUGGUUCAUAGAUCUUUGGGCUUUGAUCACCGAGGAAUAGAGACUUUACAAAUAAAAGCAGGGGAUUGGGAUUCCAUUGCUGUCAUUUUAUAUGUAUAUGGUUAUAAUUAUUUACGCUCCCAAUGUGCUUAUGAUGUAGCACCCGGUGGAUCUUUAGCUAGCGUGUAUCAUCUUACAAGAAUACAAUACGGUAUAGAUAAUCCAGAAGAAGUCUGCAUAAAAGUCUUUGCCCAAAAGGAUAAUCCUAGAAUUCCGUCUGUCUUCUGGAUUUGGAGAAGUGCCGAUUUUCAAGAACGCGAAUCUUAUGAUAUGGUGGGAAUCUCUUAUGAUAAUCAUCCGCGCCUUAAACGUAUCCUAAUGCCUGAAAGUUGGAUAGGCUGGCCCUUACGUAAGGACUAUAUAACCCCCAAUUUUUAUGAAAUACAAGAUGCUCAUUGAAUGAUAAGAAAUUCGUGCUCACUUAUACAACACAACUCCAGAUUUUAUUCAAGUCAAGGAAUAUUUUUAGGUUCUUUUCCUAGAUGAAACGGAAUACCUAUUUAUAAUUAAUUCCUAUUAUACAAAAGCAUUCCAGAUAGACUGAGCCAAAAAAGGGUUUCAUUUGGAUUCCCCUAUUUUGAAAAUCACAUAUUAAUUUCCUUCAUAUGAACAGAAAAAUAGGAUGACUCAAAGAAGUUCUCUACCAGGAACUUUGUAUCGCGCACAUGACUUAGCACAACUAGGAAAAUAAGAUAAGAUAAAGAUAAGCAAGACUAAAAAAAUAUUCGUCGGAAUAGUGGAAUACAAAAUAAAGAAACGCAAAAAAAUAAAGGGGAACCUAAUCUCACCCCCUUCCUUAUCAUAAAGAAAGGGUAUAUUUUAAAACUUCUCUAAAAAGAAGUGCCUCUAUAUUUAUAUUAUAGAUUUAUCCACUUAGAUGAAUAAAUCAUACUCUAUCUAUAUUAUAUAUUAUUAAUAAAUAUGUAUCACAAUCCAUCUCGAGGUAUUUGGAUCAAUACCUAUUCGGUGGAUCUUUUUUUUUCUCUGCCAGGAACCAGAUUUGAACUGGUGACACGAGGAUUUUCAGUCCUCUGCUCUACCAACUGAGCUAUCCUGACCUUUUCUUGUGCAUCAUCCUAGUAGAGUAUUUGUAUCUAUGUCAAUUAAAAGGACUAAAAAAUCAAUUAAAGUAUUUCAAAUUCAAAAUUUGAAAGGGGGGGGGUAGCCCUAUGCAUUGUGCAUGGUUUACUUAAAUAAUACUUAAAAAUAGAGUGAAUAACCAAGAUUUCUUGCCGAUACUCUAAUAAAAAAGAAAUCUAUUCAAUGAAUAGGAUAAGAUCCAUUGAGUUCUCUUCGCAUUCCUUUCCUUUGUGAAAGAGUAGAAUGAGAAAGCUAAUGAAUCUUAAACCCAUUGAUAAAAAGAAAAAAAAGAGGAUUUGGGGAUAGAGGGACUUGAACCCUCACAACUUAAAAAGUCGACGGAUUUUCCUUUUACUAGAAAUUUCAUUGUUGUCAGUAUUGACAUGUAGAAUGGGACUCUCUCUUUGUCCUCGUCCGAUUAAUCCACUUUCUUUUUAAAAGUUCUCAAAACUUUGAAUUUGAAUUGAAGAAUUUGAUUAUUCAAUAUUCGAAUGGAGUGGAUUCACAAUAAUUCAAAAUAAAAUUAUGAUAUGAGUUUUUUAUUUCAUAAUCAUUUCGAAUUUUAUUUUGAAAUUUUAAAAAAGAUAAAGAACCUAUAUUAUAAUAUGAGUUCUGUGAUUAAUCGUUUGCUAUGUCAGUAUCUAUACGUGUUUAUUAAAUGUAUAAAGUAUAAAACCCCUCUUUCUCUAAUUUAGAAUUAGAAGGAAUUCCACUAACAACACAACGUAAUUAACUCGAUUCGUUAGAACAGCUUCCAUUGAGUCUCUGCACCUAUCCUUUUCCUUUGUAUUCUAGUUCGAGAAUCCCUUCUCAAAACACGGAUUUGGCUCAGGAUUGCCCUUUUUUAAUUCCAGGGUUUCUCUGAAUUUGGAAGUUACCACUUAGCAGGUUUCCAUACCAAGGCUCAAUACAAUCAAGUCCGUAGCGUCUACCGAUUUCGCCAUAUCCCCACUUCCCUCUUCUUUGAGACCAGGAUUCCUUGUGUAAUUUCAUCCAUCUCUUAGUUUUUUUUUGAAUCAUUGAGUUCAUCACUCAACGUAGUCUAGCAGUUCAGUUCGACUCUAUUUGAGAGACCCCGCUUGCUUAUUGCAAUUCUGAAUUACAUUGAUUCUAUCCUUGAUGUAUUUGCAAUUCAAUCCGAAUCAAUAUAUCCAAAACUUUUUAUCUCCCCCACCUCCCGUCUUACUUUUUUAUAGUAUUCGAAAUUAUACUAUAACGCUGGAUAUUUAUUCUUUUUUUCUAAUCAGAAUUAUCAAUUUUAUUUACUCUGACUUUAUGUUCCCCUUAGUGAAAUAUUAAUCCUCAAAUUAUUAACAAAUAAUAAAGUCUAUAAUGAUCGAAUGAAAAUACCCAUAAAGUCUAUAAUUUUCUUUUUAAAUAUCCUAUAGUUAAGCAUAUCAAGCUAACUUUAUCUUUAAGAAGUUUUAGUAUUUUUUUAUUUAGUAUUUUUUUAUAAGUAGAACUUCAAAUUUAGAACUAGUUAAUAGCUAAGAGUAAUAACUAAUAUCUGAGAUUUUACGGAUUUCCUAUACUAUACCUAUUUCUAUUUGUUACACUAUUUCCGUUAUGUAAGCCCACUUAGCUCAGAGGUUAGAGCAUCGCAUUUGUAAUGCGAGGGUCAUCGGUUCAAAUCCGAUAGUCGGCUUUUUUUUUCUCUAUCGAUGUUCUACGAACAAGAAUCUCUUUUUUUCCGAAUUAAAUGGAGAAUCCAGGAUCUUUUAUGUUUUUUACCUUACUAUUUUGCUAGAUACAAAACAAUAAAAUAAAUAAUAUAUAUACAAAAAAUACAAAAAAUACAGAUUUUGAUGAAAUUCCAUUUUUUGUGGUACUUUAGUUGAUUUUACUCUGUUUAUCCUGUAGUUUAAUUCAGUUUUAAUUUCGAUGUAUUCUGUAAUGUAAAUACAAUGAAAUUAAUUGUGUAAAAUGAAAUUUCAAUAAAAAAAGGAGUCUUCAUGUCCCGUUAUCGAGGACCUCGUUUAAAAAAAAUACGCCGUUUGGGAGCUUUACCAGGACUCACUAGAAAAACACCUAAAUCCGGAAGUAAUCUUAAAAAAAAAUUCAAUUCUGGGAAAAAGGAGCAAUAUCGUAUUCGUCUUCAAGAAAAACAGAAAUUGCGUUUUCAUUAUGGUCUGACAGAACGACAAUUACUUAGAUAUGUACAUAUCGCUGGAAAAGCAAAAAGGUCAACAGGCCAGGUUUUACUACAAUUACUUGAAAUGCGUUUGGAUAAUAUCCUUUUUCGAUUGGGUAUGGCUUCAACCAUUCCUGGGGCCCGCCAAUUAGUCAACCAUAGACAUAUUUUAGUUAAUGGCCGUAUAGUCAAUAUACCAAGUUUUCGUUGCAAACCCCGAGAUAUUAUUACUACGAAAGAUAACCAAAGAUCAAAAGGUCUGGUUCAAAAUUAUAUUGCUUCAUCGGACCCGGGGAAAUUGCCAAGCCAUUUGACGAUUGACACAUUGGAAUAUAAAGGACUAGUAAAUAAAAUCCUAGAUAGGAAGUGGGUCGGUCUCAAAAUAAAUGAGUUGUUAGUUGUAGAAUAUUACUCUCGUCAGACUUGAACUUAAUGAAAAAAGGAAAGGUUCAUAGAAUUUUCUUCCCCUUCCCCUUUCCCCGAACUAAAUAGCCCUAAGACCAUUACCAUUAAUUCGUAUUUUCCCAUCAACUAGCUAAAAUUGAUUAACCCUAGGAUUAGGAUCCUUUUUGCUUUUUUCCUCUAUGUUUACAUACCACAGUAAUUUGCUAUAGAGAAUUUUUAAUUUCUAUUAAAUAAAAAUAAGAUAAUAUAAGAUAUUAUUACUGGAAUAAAUUGCUAUUUGAUUUGAUACAUUGUGAUCCUUAACGUUGAUGAAUUAAGAAAAACGGAAAGAGAGGGAUUCGAACCCUCGGUAAACAAAAGUCUACAUAGCAGUUCCAAUGCUACGCCUUGAACCGCUCGGCCAUCUUUCCUACAUAACUUAUUAUGGAAAAUAAACUGAGUGAAUAGCGAGUUUUCUUAUUCCUGCAGUACAGGUACAACCGCAACCGCUCGGGGGUUCCCUAGUUCUAUUGGAAAAAUUCCUUUUGAUCUAGGUGGAAGGAUACAGGAUUUUUUACUAGAAAUUGCGCUCGCUAUAAAAUAAAAGUUUUAAUUUAGGUUUUCCCGCAACUAAAGAAAAAGAGAAUGCAAGAAUUCUUCUUAUUGCAUAAUAAAAUAAAGAAACCUUAGAAUUCCGUUUGCAUAAGAUACGCUACACCAUUGAAAUCAAAAAUAGAGUAUGAGACAAUUAAUAACUUUGAAAACACGAAAUAGUUGAUGACAUAAGUUGUUGUUCAGAAAUAGGAAAGUGGAAUGAAAUCCAGUCUUAGUCAAAUAUUGCAUAUCUCUUCGUGUCCAAGCAGAAGGAAAAGGAUACAAUUUGAGCUGAGCGGAAAAUCCAUAUCUCUCUUAUCCAUUUAAAACAUAUGGAUUUAGAGCAUAUGGAUCAAUCUAUUUAUAAUUAUAAGAAUCGAAUGUGUUUGUUUUUAUGUUAUUUUGUGAAGGAAUGAAAACAAUUCUAUAUAGAAUGGCUUGGGAAUUAUGCCUAGAUCCCGUGUAAAUGGAAAUUUCAUUGAUAAGACCUUCUCAAUUAUAGCCAAUAUUUUAUUGCGAAUAAUUCCGACAACCUCAGGAGAAAAAAAGGCAUUUACUUAUUAUAGAGAUGGUGCGAUUUGACUCUUUUUUUUUUGCUUUUUUUUAGACCUACCUAUACCUCAGUCUUAGGAAAAAGAAAAGGGGUUGGCAUAGAGAGAACCAAAUUUGUAAAGCAAGCAAACCCACGCUUCGGGAAGGUGAGGCGAACUAACAAUUCCUUCCGUCGUGUAUCCUCGAUUGAUGCGGCUUCAGAUACUUCAAUUGUAGAUUUGAGUAUUGAGCGAAAGGUUACACCUACAGGAUAUGGUAUGGUAUGGAUUACAGGCCACUCUAUUAGUAUCCGUAGGCAGCAUAGGGGAGAAAAGCACUACACCUAGAAAUAGGAAUCAACAAGAGAAAAACUUUGGUAGAAAUUACCCCUUUCCUGAUCGGUAUCAGGGCUGGGAAGAAUGGUUGGGAUAACAAACAACCAUCAGGUUUGUACUUUGGAUACCCCUAUAACCAUCAAAGAUCGUUGAAGUAGCUAAUUCCUCUAAAUAGGAGGCGUUGAGAACAAAGAAAUUAUUGGAGCUAUCGUUUUCCUCUAGCAUUAAUAGAAUUCAUUGGUGUUAAGAAAAACCUCUUGUGGGAAGGUUGGCUAGAGAUUUCUUGGAAAAAUACCAGCCCCUUUCGGUUCAUAAUGAGACGGGACUAAUUCUAUUUUGAUUCUAUAGAUUAAGAUUAUUUCGCUUAGUACUAUUAUGUACAGAAGGGAGGAGCCGUAUGAGAUGAAAACCUCAUGUACGGUUUUGGAACGGAGAUUUUUUGAAUAGAAUGAACGACCGUAACGGAUGUUGGCUCAAUCCGAAGGAAAUUAUGCGGAAGCUUUGCAAAAUUAUUAUGAAGCUACGCGACUAGAAAUCGAUCCCUAUGAUCGAAGUUAUAUACUCUAUAACAUAGGCCUUAUACACACAAGCAAUGGAGAGCAUACAAAGGCUUUGGAAUAUUAUUUCCGGGCACUAGAACGAAACCCCUUCUUACCGCAAGCUUUUAAUAAUAUGGCCGUGAUCUGUCAUUACGUGCGACUAUCUCCACUAUAGAAAGACAAAAAAAGAGAGGAUCAAAUUUUCUAGUAAAUACUGGAAAAAAGGGCUUUCUACAUAGGGAUCGUAAAAACAACGAUUUUUCCCUAUCAGCUGUAGGAAGGAAGGACACUUCACGAGAAUCAAAAAACGAAGAAAGUAUGGCCUAUACUACUACUCUAUGGAUAAAGUUUCUCAAAUUGAUAGAGAAAGCACCGUAAAGAUCAAUUAGUGAGCGACUGGGUCGAUACAACUAAAAAAAACUGCUUACUUAUCCCAUGAUAUGGGGCAAAAUUUAGGAAUCCGCUUAUGUAAUAGAGCCGAUCCACUAAGGGAUUAAGCAGCGGUGUAGUAUCAGAUCCCAAAGAUAGUAAGUUCUUUUUUCUUUCUUAUGGAAAAAAGUCUUUUUCAAGGAUUCUAUAGAGAUUUCAUAUAUGAAACCGGGAUAGUUACCUUUCAGAAAAUUUGAACGAAGGCUCUAUAUCUAUCUAUGCUUCAUUCUUCUGAAGGUGGGAAAAAAGAUCAAACUAAUUAUUGAGAAAAAUUAGGGUUUGAAACUUAGGUAAUUAAUUUCUUCUGCUUAACACAAGAACAAAUUGGAUCGAUUUUUGAUAAAUCGAAUUCAGUUAAGAUAGGGGAAAUUAAGAUAGCAAUUUCUGAGCCGUAUGAGGUAGGAAACUCUCAAGUACGGUUCUAAGGGAAGGAACUGCCUAUUCCGACCGAGGAGAACAGGCCAUUCUAGAGGGUGAUUCGGAAAUUGCGGAAGCUUGGUUUGAUCAAGCUGCUGAAUAUUGGAAACAAGCUAUAGCGCUUACUCCGGGAAAUUAUAUUGAAGCACAAAACUGGUUGAAGAUUACGAAGCGCUUUGAAUUUGAAUAAGACCAUGCUCCUUUUUUUCCUAAAAUGGAUGGUUUGGUUGUUGAUCCAUUAAUCAAAUAAAUUAGGUCGUAAGAUCGAAUCAAGAAUUUCAUUAUAUCCAUUUCUUAUACCUUCUAUUUUAUAAGAUAUUUCAUAAGAAUAAACCAUAGGGAUAGGGUCUAGAAUAGAAGUAAUAAAGUGAAUAAAAAAAAGGGGGCCAAUCUAAAUAUUGCUAAUAUAUUAGAACCAUCUUAUUAAUAAUUCUAAUGAGUUAUCUUGGAAUUUAGAAUCAAAUAAAAAAUAAAAAACCCUAUAUUAUGCUCAAGGAAAGUAGAUAUAGAUAGGAGCUUAUGCCCUAAAAAAAAAUACACUAGUUUCUUAAAUUUAAAAUAAAAAAGAUUUUUUCUUACGCCGAGAAAUAUUUGUUUUUUCAAGAUAAACAAUGUCCGUUAGGCACCUAACCUUUAUGUCAUAAUAGAUCCGAACACUUGCCUCGGAUUGACUUUAAUAUAUAAUUGCUCCAGUGAAUAACUAAAAAAAAAGAAGGGUGGUAGUAUAGUAAAGAAAAGAACUAAUCACAAUAUCUAUCUUUCAAAAUCUAUCUUUCAAAAUCUAUCUUUCAAAGAUUCACUAAAAAAAAAGACAGUUGGCGGGUCUCUUUGUAUGUCUUGUCCGGAAAGAGGAGGAGUUAAUGAUUAUUCGUUCGCCGGAACCAGAAGUAAAAAUUGUUGUGGAUAGGGAUCCUGUAAAAACAUCUUUUGAGGAAUGGGCGAGACCCGGCCAUUUCUCAAGAACACUAGCUAAGGGCCCUGAUACUACCACUUGGAUCUGGAACCUACAUGCUGAUGCUCACGAUUUCGAUAGUCAUACUGGUGAUUUGGAGGAGAUUUCUAGAAAAGUUUUUAGUGCUCAUUUCGGGCAACUUUCCAUUAUCUUUCUUUGGUUGAGUGGCAUGUACUUUCAUGGUGCCCGUUUUUCCAAUUAUGAAGCAUGGCUAAGUGAUCCUACUCACAUUGGACCCAGUGCUCAGGUAGUUUGGCCUAUAGUAGGGCAAGAAAUAUUGAAUGGUGAUGUAGGUGGGGGUUUCCGAGGAAUCCAAAUAACCUCUGGUUUUUUUCAGCUUUGGCGAGCAUCUGGAAUAACUAGUGAAUUACAACUCUAUUGUACUGCAAUUGGUGCAUUGGUUUUUGCAGCGUUAAUGCUUUUUGCUGGUUGGUUCCAUUAUCACAAAGCCGCUCCCAAAUUGGCCUGGUUCCAAGAUGUAGAAUCCAUGUUGAAUCACCACUUAGCGGGAUUAUUAGGACUUGGGUCUCUUUCUUGGGCGGGACACCAAAUUCAUGUAUCUUUACCAAUUAACCAAUUUCUUGACGCUGGGGUGGAUCCUAAAGAGAUACCACUUCCUCAUGAAUUUAUCUUGAAUCGGGACCUUUUGGCUCAACUUUAUCCUAGUUUUGCCGAAGGAGCAACCCCUUUUUUCACUUUAAAUUGGUCCAAAUACGCAGAAUUUCUGACUUUUCGUGGAGGACUAGAUCCAGUAACCGGUGGUCUCUGGCUGACCGAUAUUGCACACCAUCAUUUAGCUAUUGCUAUUCUUUUCCUAAUCGCAGGUCAUAUGUAUAGGACCAACUGGGGUAUUGGCCAUGGACUUAAAGAUAUUUUGGAGGCUCACAAGGGCCCAUUUACAGGACAAGGCCAUAAGGGUCUUUAUGAAAUCUUAACAACGUCAUGGCAUGCUCAAUUAUCUCUUAACCUAGCUAUGCUAGGCUCUACAACCAUUGUUGUAGCUCAUCAUAUGUAUUCUAUGCCUCCCUAUCCAUACCUAGCUACUGACUAUGGUACACAACUUUCCUUGUUCACACACCACAUGUGGAUUGGCGGAUUUCUAAUAGUCGGUGCUGCUGCACAUGCAGCAAUUUUUAUGGUAAGAGACUAUGAUCCAACUACUCGAUACAACGAUCUAUUAGAUCGCGUCCUUAGACACCGCGAUGCAAUCAUAUCCCACCUUAACUGGGUAUGUAUAUUUCUAGGUUUUCACAGUUUUGGCUUGUACAUUCAUAAUGAUACCAUGAGUGCUUUAGGCCGUCCACAAGAUAUGUUUUCGGAUACCGCCAUACAAUUACAACCUAUCUUUGCUCAAUGGGUACAAAAUAUCCAUGCUACUGCGCCUGGCGUAACAGCUCCUGGUGCAACAACAAGUACUAGCUUAACGUGGGGAGGCGGCGAGUUAGUAGCAGUAGGUGGCAAAGUGGCUUUGUUACCGAUUCCAUUAGGAACCGCAGUAUUUUUAGUCCAUCACAUUCAUGCAUUUACCAUACAUGUGACUGUAUUAAUACUUUUGAAAGGUGUUUUAUUUGCUCGGAGUUCCCGUUUGAUACCCGAUAAAGCAAAUCUAGGUUUUCGCUUUCCUUGCGAUGGGCCUGGCCGAGGGGGAACAUGUCAAGUAUCUGCUUGGGAUCAUGUUUUCUUAGGUUUAUUCUGGAUGUACAAUGCAAUUUCGGUAGUCAUUUUCCAUUUCAGUUGGAAAAUGCAGUCGGAUGUUUGGGGUACCAUAAGUGAUCAAGGGGUGGUAACUCAUAUUACAGGGGGAAACUUUGCACAGAGUUCCAUUACGAUUAAUGGGUGGCUUCGAGAUUUCUUGUGGGCACAGGCAUCGCAAGUCAUUCAGUCUUAUGGUUCUUCAUUAUCUGCAUAUGGUCUUUUUUUCUUAGGUGCUCAUUUUGUCUGGGCCUUCAGUUUAAUGUUUUUAUUCAGCGGCCGUGGUUAUUGGCAAGAACUCAUUGAAUCUAUCGUUUGGGCUCAUAACAAAUUAAAAGUUGCUCCUGCUACUCAGCCUAGAGCCUUGAGCAUUAUACAAGGACGUGCUGUAGGAGUAACCCAUUACCUUCUGGGUGGAAUUGCCACGACAUGGGCAUUCUUCUUAGCGAGAAUUAUUGCAGUAGGAUAGUGGCUAGGAGGAUUUGAAAGGCAUUAUGGAAUUAAGAUUUCCCAGGUUUAGCCAAGGCUUAGCUCAGGACCCCACUACUCGUCGUAUUUGGUUUGGUAUUGCUACCGCACAUGAUUUCGAAAGUCAUGAUGAUAUUACUGAAGAACGUCUUUAUCAGAACAUUUUUGCUUCUCACUUUGGGCAAUUAGCAAUAAUCUUUCUAUGGACGUCCGGAAAUCUGUUUCAUGUAGCUUGGCAAGGAAAUUUUGAAUCAUGGAUACAGGAUCCUUUACACGUAAGACCUAUUGCUCAUGCGAUUUGGGAUCCUCAUUUUGGUCAACCCGCUGUGGAAGCCUUUACUCGAGGAGGUGCUGCUGGUCCAGUGAAUAUUGCUUAUUCUGGGGUUUAUCAGUGGUGGUAUACAAUAGGAUUACGCACCAAUGAAGAUCUUUAUACUGGAGCUCUUUUUCUAUUAUUUCUUUCUACGCUGUCCUUAAUAGCGAGUUGGUUACAUCUACAACCCAAAUGGAAACCAAGCCUUUCGUGGUUCAAAAACGCGGAAUCUCGUCUCAAUCAUCAUUUGUCAGGACUUUUCGGGGUAAGUUCUUUGGCUUGGACAGGACAUUUAGUUCAUGUUGCUAUUCCCGCAUCCAGGGGGGAGUACGUUCGAUGGAAUAAUUUCUUAGAUGUAUUACCCUAUCCCCAGGGGUUGGGACCCCUUUUGACGGGUCAGUGGAAUCUUUAUGCCCAAAACCCUGAUUCGAGUAAUCAUUUAUUUGGUACCGCUCAAGGAGCGGGAACUGCCAUUCUAACUCUUCUUGGGGGAUUCCAUCCACAAACACAAAGUUUGUGGCUGACUGAUAUGGCUCACCAUCAUUUAGCUAUUGCAUUUAUUUUUCUCAUUGCCGGUCACAUGUAUCGAACUAACUUCGGAAUUGGGCACAGUAUUAAAGAUCUUUUAGAAGCGCAUACUCCUCCGGGGGGUCGAUUAGGGCGUGGGCAUAAGGGCCUUUAUGACACAAUCAACAAUUCGAUUCAUUUUCAGUUAGGUCUUGCUCUAGCUUCUUUAGGGGUUAUUACUUCCUUAGUAGCUCAACAUAUGUACUCUUUACCUCCUUAUGCAUUCAUAGCACAAGACUUUACUACUCAAGCUGCUUUAUAUACUCAUCACCAAUAUAUUGCGGGGUUCAUCAUGACAGGGGCUUUUGCUCAUGGAGCUAUUUUUUUCAUUAGGGAUUACAAUCCGGAACAGAAUGAGGAUAAUGUAUUGGCAAGAAUGUUAGACCAUAAAGAAGCUAUCAUAUCUCAUUUAAGUUGGGCUAGCCUCUUUCUAGGAUUCCAUACCUUGGGCCUUUAUGUUCAUAACGACGUCAUGCUUGCUUUUGGUACUCCAGAAAAGCAAAUCUUGAUCGAACCUAUAUUUGCCCAAUGGAUACAAUCUGCUCAUGGCAAGACGACAUAUGGGUUCGAUAUACUCUUAUCUUCAACGAAUGGCCCCGCUUUCAAUGCGGGUCGAAGCCUAUGGUUGCCCGGAUGGUUGAAUGCUGUUAAUGAGAAUAGUAAUUCGCUUUUCUUAACAAUAGGACCUGGGGAUUUCUUGGUUCAUCAUGCUAUUGCUCUAGGUUUGCAUACAACUACAUUGAUUUUAGUAAAGGGCGCUUUAGACGCACGCGGUUCCAAAUUAAUGCCGGAUAAAAAGGAUUUUGGGUAUAGUUUUCCUUGUGACGGCCCAGGGCGCGGCGGUACUUGUGAUAUUUCUGCUUGGGACGCAUUUUAUUUGGCAGUUUUCUGGAUGUUAAAUACCAUUGGGUGGGUUACUUUUUAUUGGCAUUGGAAACAUAUCACAUUAUGGCAGGGCAACGUUUCACAAUUUAAUGAAUCCUCCACUUAUUUGAUGGGAUGGUUAAGAGAUUACCUAUGGUUAAACUCUUCACAACUUAUCAAUGGAUAUAAUCCUUUUGGGAUGAAUAGUUUAUCGGUAUGGGCUUGGAUGUUCUUAUUUGGACAUCUUGUUUGGGCUACUGGAUUUAUGUUCUUAAUUUCUUGGCGGGGGUAUUGGCAGGAAUUAAUUGAGACUUUAGCAUGGGCUCAUGAACGCACACCUUUAGCUAAUUUAAUUCGCUGGAGAGAUAAGCCUGUGGCUCUUUCCAUUGUGCAAGCAAGAUUGGUUGGAUUAGCUCACUUUUCCGUGGGUUAUAUAUUCACUUAUGCAGCUUUCUUGAUUGCCUCAACAUCAGGCAAGUUUGGUUAAUUUAGUUUGUUUUUUUGUACUGUAUCAGCACCUAGUUCAUUACUCUUGAUAGAGAGGGAGGAUCCGCCUUCUUAAAUUUCUUUUUCUAUUUAUUUUUCCAUCUAGGAUUAGAACCGUAUACUUGAUAAUAAUAGCAACGGCACAUUAUGGCAAAAAAGAGUUUGAUUCAGAGGGAGAAGAAGCGGCAGAAAUUAGAACAGAAAUAUCAUUUGAUUCGUCAAUCUUUAAAAAAAAAGAUAAGAAGCAAAGUUUCUCCCUUGAGUUUGAGUGAAAAAACGAAAAUGCGAGAAAAAUUGCAAUCCCUACCGCGUAAUAGUGCACCUACACGCCUUCAUCGACGUUGUUUUUUGACCGGAAGACCUAGAGCUAACUAUCGACAUUUUGGGCUAUCCGGACACGUACUUCGAGAAAUGGUUUAUGAAUGUUUAUUACCGGGUGCAACAAGAUCCAGUUGGUAAGGAUAAAAUACCCUUUCGUAUUUGUAUGGAUUUCUGGAAUUGAUAAUCAUAGAGGAGCCCUCUUUACCAUUCUGUAUAAAUGGACUAUUCUAUUUGUAUAGAUAUGGUAGAGGGACGUAUCGAACCCUCUUUUAUCCACUAGUUACCCCUCUUUAGUUUAAGAGUAUAGAGCAGUUUGGUAGCUCAUAAGUCUCAUAACCUUGGGGUUGCGGGUUCGAUUCCCACUACCGGCCCCAUACUCCUUCUUUAAUGAUAUAUGCAUGAUAUAUACAUCAUCCAUUUGUAUCUGGAUUUUUUGAUUUCCUAAAAGAGUUUUGGUCUAACAGUUUUUUCUCGGAAGAAGACAACAAAUAAAAGAAAGAAUAAAAGAAAGAAUAAAAUACGAAAGAAAAGCGUCCAUUGUCUAAUGGAUAGGACAGAGGUCUUCUAAACCUUUGGUAUAGGUUCAAAUCCUAUUGGACGCAAUCUUAUUUCUAUCUAUUCUUUAAAUAACUAUACUAAACUAAAAACAAAGAAAACUUUUUUGCAUGAUUCAAAUAACAAGAGUAGACAUGCAAAAUAACAAGAGUAGAUAUGCCAAAUUUAUUUGUUACUGAAGGGAAAACCGUUCCAGCUGUUCCUGAAUAGCUUCCUUCAAAAGGAUUUCCGCUUGCUCGGUGAAUGUCUUGCUAGAAGAUAUAAUUUCUUGGAAUUGAGGUUUAGUAUCUUUUAGGUGUUUACGUAACUCAUCCAGAAAUUUAUUUACCUGUUCGAUUUCUAACGAAUCAAGAUAUCCUCUUGUUCCGGUAUAAAUAGUAGCUAUCUGCUCUUCCACUGGGAGAGGAUUUGCCUGGGAUUGUUUAAGCAAUUCCCUUAAUCGUCGACCCCUUGCCAAUUGAUUCUGACUUGUUUUAUCGAGAGCAGAGGCGAAUUGUGCAAAGGCUUGUAACUCUGCGAAUUGAGCUAGUUCCAAUUUUGAUUUGCCAGCUACUUGUUUCAUGGCUUUAAUUUGAGCCGCGGAUCCUACUCUGGAAACAGAAAUACCCACAUUAAUAGCGGGUCGAAUUCCGGCAUUGAAUAGAUCCGCCGAUAAGAAUAUUUGUCCAUCUGUAAUGGAGAUUACAUUAGUAGGAAUAUAGGCGGAAACGUCUCCAGAUUGAGUCUCAACUAUUGGUAAAGCGGUCAUACUUCCUUCGCCUAAAAGAGAAUUUAAUUUAGCGGCUCUUUCUAAAAGGCGUGAAUGCAAAUAAAAAACAUCCCCUGGAUAAGCCUCACGGCCGGGAGGUCUUCUUAAUAGAAGGGACAUUUGGCGAUAAGCUUGUGCCUGUUUGGAGAGAUCAUCAUAAAUUAUUAAAGUAUGCCGUUCGCGGUACAUAAAAUACUCAGCCAGGGCUGCUCCCGUAUAAGGAGCGAGGUAUUGUAAUGUAGCAGGUGAAUCCGCCAUUUCAGCUACUACAAUAGUGUAUUCCAUGGCCCCCUCCUCAUGGAAAGUAGUUACUACUUGAGCUACGGAGGAUGCUCUUUGACCGAUAGCUACAUAAACACAUAUUACACCUUGCCCUUUUUGAUUGAGAAUUGUAUCUGUAGCUACUGCUGUUUUGCCAGUCUGUCUGUCCCCAAUAAUUAACUCUCGCUGACCGCGCCCUAUAGGAAUCAUCGAAUCGAUAGCAAUAAGCCCUGUUUGAAGAGGUUCGUAUACGGAACGCCUGGAAAUUAUACUUGGAGCAGGAGAUUCAAUUAAGCGAGAUUCGGAAGCUAUAAUUUCGCCUUUCCCAUCAAUAGGUUUAGCCAGAGCAUUUACAACACGACCCAAGUAAGCCUCACUCACGGGUAUCUGAGCAAUUCUUCCUGUUGCUUUUACAAAACUGCCCUCUUGUAUCAUCAACCCAUCGCCCAUUAAUACAAUCCCAACAUUUUUGGAUUCCAAAUUCAGAGCAAUACCCCUAGUACCUUCUGCAAAUUGGACUAAUUCACCCGACAUUAUUUCACCAAGACCUAUAAUACGAGCAAUCCCAUCCCCCACUUGAACUACGCGACCUAUAUUCUCAAUCCCUACUUUCCUAUUAUAUUGUUCAAUACGUUCGCGGAGAAUUUUAUGAAUUUCGUCGACUCGAAGGGUUGCCAUUAGUGUUUCUUGACUCUUUUUUCGAAAGCAAGGGGAAAAAUAAUGCCUAAAUUCUAAACGAAAGUAGAAGUUCAAGGCCUAAUUAAUUUAAUUAUCUCUUCCAUUCCAGGGACCCGAGAAUGCCAAUAUUAGCACGAAUCGUACGGAAAUGUAACUCGGUAUUCAAACAACUAUUCAGAGUUCCUAGAGCUCCUUGUACGGCCUGUUGGAAAACCCGCUGUCGGACCUGAUUCAUUGCCCUUUGUUUUUCAAAAUAAAGGGUUUCGUUUUUAGACUUUUCUAAUUGUUCCAAACUAAUAGAAGUAGCAUUAAUCAAAUUUGCUUUUUCUCGUUCUAUCUCAGAGUAUCCAUUCAUUCGAUACUCAUCCGCUUCUAGUUCGACUUUCUGUAAUCGAAUCCGAGCUUUUUCGAGUUGCUCAAUGGUCCCUCUACGCAAUUCUUCUGAAUUUCGAAUAGUACUCAAGAUCCUCUGUUUUCGAUUAUCUAAUAAAUCUUUUAAUGAAAGUAGAUUAUUUUGUAAGUUUACAACUUUUAUGAUCUCUUCCCGAACCAAACAUGAAUCUUUCGAUUCAUUUGGCUCUCACGCUCCUUUUUUUCUUUUUUUGCUAUAGCAAUUUCCAUAUCUUUUUUUAAGUAUAAGUAAUGAGCCUAUCCUCUAUCUUAUUUUUUAUGUUUAUAUUUCAAUAUACCGAAACCUAUAUAAGACUAGAUAAAUAUUAAGAGGACUCUUCCGCCUAGAUAAAAAUAUAUCAUGGUCAGCAAAGUUGUUUCUUUAUUUAUAUUUGCCCUUUAGUUAAUAAUUUCAAUUUCAUUAAGAAAAACUAACUAAAUAAAUGGAAAAUGAAAAUUAAUAGAAUUCUUUUUUUUUUUCUUCAAAUCCAAAAAAUUUCUCUUUUUUAUACAUAGGUCGUCGAUUCGGCAUUGGUUAAAAAAGGGCAGGGUGCCCCUUCUUUUUUUUCUAGUAAAUAGUUCAAACCAUUUUAUCGAUAUGAGUGUUCUAUAUCAGAUAAAUUUUACAUUAGCUAUUUCCCGUUUAAAUUCGGUACUAAUACUAAUAUAGUUGUAGAAAGAGUACCUCUUUUUGCCUGGACUUCAAGCAGUUUAGCUUUAACCGUGUUAAUGGUCUCACAUUCUUGGUUUAUAGAGAAUCAAAAUUGAUUUACCAAUGAGUCGCGAAAUGCUAUGGUUCUUCCAUAUGAUUUCUGAAUUUAUUCAGAAGUAAUUCGUCGAGAUCGUGCACCCUUUUCUUAUUUAUCCGAAAAAUACUAAAAAAUAUUCUAAAGUGCAGCCGGAUAGAUCCAAUCUAUUCUUGAAAUAGACAACUCGCACACACUCCCUUUCCAAAAAAAAUCAAAACACCAACCACUACAGUUAGAUUUAUUAGAUUUGUUGCUAAAAUAUCGGUAUUAAGCCCGAAACUGCCAGCGGAUGGCCAGUGAGCUAAAAAAACGAAAGAAUGGGUUACAUUUUUCAUAUGCUCUCCUCUUAUAGAUAGGACGAACAAAGAACAAAGUUUUUCGAUCACUUACUUCGCUCGCCCUUUUUUGAUCGGUUUUUUUAAUGCAAAUAGAUUCAAUCUAGUAAUUUCUUUUAGAUUAAGUCUUAGGUCUUGUUUGACCGGUGAAAGGCUUCCUUUGUUGAAAUGUUCCGUUCCCAAAAUUCCUAAAAUAAAAGGAAAAAACUUUCCACUUUCCUAAACUAAGGACGGGAAAUAAGAAGGCGAGCAUAUCUUCUAAAUUAAUCAUACUCAACUCAGCCCUUCCUAGAAUGCGGUAUUAUCUGUCCCGAUAAAUAGAUAAUUCCAGGAGUAAUAAAUAGGAGUAAAUUAAAUAAAGUAUUGAUAUAAUUGGAAUUGCGGAAGCAAAUACCAAUUUACUAAAAAAAGAAAAAAGUAUCUAAUCGAAAUCGAAAGAACUUUUUUUUUAGGAUUAAACAAAAGGGUUCGCAAAUAAAAGCGCUAGUGCCACAACUAGUCCAUAAAUUGUUAAAGCUUCCAUAAAAGCUAGACUAAGCAAUAAAGUACCUCGUAUUUUACCUUCUGCUUCUGGCUGUCUCGCAAUACCUUCUACAGCUUGUCCUGCAGCAGUACCUUGACCAACUCCAGGUCCAAUAGAAGCAAGCCCUACGGCCAAUCCAGCAGCAAUAACAGAAGCAGCAGCAAUUAGUGGAUUCAUGGUGAGUAGUUCCUCGUGUCAAAAAAAAGAAAUGGUUAAGGAUACAAUCAACCAAAAAAUUCUUACUUCUAAGCUCUAUUGGGGAGAAGUAAAGUAACUAAAAAGUACAAAUUGAAAUCAAAUUGAAAUGUGAAUUGUCCGAACUACAUAGAAGGGAAUUCUAUAUCCAUAUAUCGGAUUAGAUAAUGAAUCUAACCUAGGAAUAUAUAAUAUAAUAUCAAUAUCCUAUAUACAUUUGUUUCUUCUAUUUUGUUUGCAUAUUUUCUCAUUUUCUAUUGAAUCGGAUUCUAAAAUCAUUGCUUAAAGUGGAAACCCGCAUAAAAGAGGACUCCACUUAUAGAUAUUAAGGAUAUUUAUUAUAGUAUAGAUCUAGCCUGACUCCACCCUCCUUAAUGCAUAUAUACUUUGAAAAUUCCAUAAUAUAGUCUAUUCUAUUCUCUCUCCUACAACUCUAGGCUAUAUAUUCAUACGCAUUUCUAACUAUUGCAACCAAGCAGAUUAUCUGGAACCAUGCAUGAAUUGAGCUAAGCUGAAAAAAAAAAUACUAUAUUCCAAAACUAGUCAAUUCAAUGAUGACCCUCCAUGGAUUCACCUAUAUAGGCUGCGGCUAAUGUUGCAAAAAUAAGAGCUUGAAUACCGCUUGUAAAUAAUCCAAGAAACAUGACCGGUAUAGGGAUUACUAAGGGGACUAAAGAAACAAGAACAACAACGACUAAUUCAUCCGCCAAUAUAUUCCCGAAAAGUCGAAAGCUAAGCGAUAAUGGUUUUGUGAAAUCUUCUAGGAUGUUAAUUGGUAAAAGGAUUGGGGUUGGUUUAAUAUAUUUCUCGAAAUAGCUCAAUCCUUUUUUGCUAAGACCAGCAUAAAAAUAUGCCGCUGACGUGAGUAAAGCUAAAGCAACAGUAGUAUUUAUAUCAUUCGUGGGCGCUGCUAAUUCCCCAUGGGGUAACUCUAUAAUUUUCCAAGGUAAAAGAGCACCCGACCAAUUUGAAACAAAAAUAAAAAGGAACAUAGUUCCAAUAAAGGGAACCCAGGGACCAUAUUCUUCUCCAAUCUGAGUUUUGCUCAAGUCUCGAAUAAACUCAAGGACAUAUUCAAAAAAAUUCUGCCCGUCGGUCGGGAUGGUUUGUGGAUUCCGAACAGCUAUGACAACUGAACCUAGCAAGAUAGUAAUUACGACCCAAGAAGUGAUGAGUACCUGGGCAUGAAUUUGAAAACCUCCUAUUUGCCAAUAGAAGUGUUGGCCUACUUCUACACCCGAUAUAUCGUAUAACCCCUUGAGUGUUUUAAUGGAACAAGGUAUAAUAUUCAUAUUGUCCUCUGAUAAAAAUUGAACUUCAAAAAAGGAAUUCUUUUGAUUCAACCAUCUCUUUCUCAACUCAGCAACUUGAACUAUUAAUUUGAUAUUUAGGAUACCAAGAAAGCACAUCAGAUCAUAAUAUAUAUCAAUACCCUCUAAUAUAUAUCAAUAUUCCCCUUCUUUUUUCUAUGCAAAACAAAUUCUAUGCAAAAAAAGAUAUAGUAAGUCAUUCCAUAAAUCUACGCAGUUGUCCAAGAAUUCACUAUAUAUUCUUAAUCAACGAUUUCUUAUAUAGAGAGAACGGCCCUCACAAAUUGAAAAUACUAAUUUGUUAAGAAUCAAUCGAAUUGAAGUCAUAGUGUCAUCGUUGGCUGGAAUCGAUAUAUUCGCGAGAUCCGGGUCACAAUUUGUAUCGACUAAAGAAAUAGUAGGAAUUCCCAAAAUGGCACAUUCCCGAAGAGCUAUAUACUCUUUUUGCUGAUCAAGGACGAUCACAAUGUCUGGCAAUCUCGUCAUAUAUUUGAUCCCGCCGAGAUACCUUUGUAAGGUAGAUAAUUUUCUCUUCAAGAUUGCCACAUCUCUUUUUGGGAGAUGGUGGAAUUUUCCCAUUUUUUCUUCCGCUCUUAAGUCUCUAAAUUGAGAAAGUCUAGUUUUCGUAAUCGACCAAUUCGUUAACAUACCACUGAACCACUUUUUAUUAACAUAAUGACAACGAGCCCUUAUUGCAGCUGAUGCUACUAAAUCUGUUGCUCUUUUUUUGGUACCAACAAUUAAGAAACUUUUUCCCUGACUUGCUGCAUCAAAAACUAAAUCACAAGCUUCUGAUAAAAAACGGGCCGUUCUAGCGAGAUUUAUAAUAUGAGUACCUUUACGCUUUGCCGAAAUGUAAGGGGCCAUUUUAGGAUUCCAUUUCUUAAUACCAUGACCAAAAUGAACUCCUGCUUCUAUCAUCUCUUUCAAAUUAAUGUUCCAAUAUCUUCUUGUCAUUUUUUCCACACUUCCUUUUUUUUUCAUCCUAACAUUCCAUUACGGAAUUUAUUUCUUUUUGAAGAUUAAGAAAGAUCCGAAAUAGCUUGAAAUAAAUAAAAUAAUAAUUGUUCUGAGAGAACCUUGUACUAAGAGUUGGCCAUUGAUACAUUGAUACAUGGUAUAAACAAAACCUUAAUUUAAUGAAUUAACUGACUUGUUUUACUUAUUAAAAUAAAAAUCUUAAAAAUCUAAAAUUUAACCUGUUAGUGUUCUAAGUUCAAAAGUCUAGUAAAGUAAAAAAUAUGUUUUAUGUAUCCUUAGGGUUAAAUGUUAAAUGGGGGUUUUUAUGUCUCAUAAAAAUUGUUUGUUACGUCAGAAUCUGAAGAAACUAAUUCUGUAUGGAGAAACAAAAAAUCUCUCAUUUCCGACGCGAAUAGAUUUUUUUUUUUAUUUCGAAAUAAAGGUUCUUGUCUUGUGGGGAACGAUGCACAAAUUUUUGGAAUCCGGUACCAACAGGUAUAAUCCCCCCCAGAACUACGUUUUCUUUCAAGCCUUUCAACCAAUCAAUGCGACCUCGUAGGGCAGCUUUUGCUAAAACUCGAGCAGUUUCUUGAAAACUUGCUUCAGAUAUGAAACUUUGGGUAUUCAGGGAAGCCCUUGUUAUUCCCAAUAAGAUUGCCCGAUAAUAGAUCGAUUCAUCCAAAGCUCGCCCUGCUCGUUCCGCUCGCAAUAGUCCGAUUAAUUCCCCAGGCGAAAAAACAUUAGACAUUCCAUCUUCGGAAACCCGCACUUUUGAUGUUACUUGGCGUAUAAUAAUCUCUAUAUGUCUAUUAUGGAUCUGUACCCCUUGGGAUCGAUAAACCUUUUGGAUUUUAUUAACCAAAGAAAUACGACUUUGGGCUAUGGUUAGCUCAGCUCCAAUCAAGAAUCCCCAAGGGACCCCAAGAAUUCUUGGUAUACGCUCAUUCCAAUCCUCAAUUCUCCUUUCGAGAUUGGGGGAUAAUGAAUCAAUUGAACGCGCUUCAAAGAUUUGUUCCACUUUUGGAAGACCUUGCGUUAUGUCACUAGAUCUCGAUUUUUCAUAUAUAAACGUAACUAACCUAUCUCCCUUGUAAAGGAUUUCUCCAUAAUGACCAUUAACAGUUGCUCCUGUAGUGGCCAAAUAAGGUUUAGCUGCUCUUAUAACAAAGGAAUCCAUAUUUACACUGAAAAUUUGACCAGAUUUUUUUAUGUGCGAUUUAAAUAGACAUACAUUUUCACAAAUAAAUUGUCCAAGGUGAAUUAUUGCCAAUGUCUCUUCCCAAGAAUCAUGAUGGACAAAGUGACAAUUCAAAAGGAAUGGAUCCAACAUUAUGUUACUAUCGAAAUUGGAAAUCCUUUUAUUUUCAUCUAUUAAAGAGUAUUUAAGUUCUUGAAGUACUUGGAAGGUUUGUUUCAAAUUGUCAACGAACAAAUAUUUUUUUAGCAGGAUUUUAUUAUGCGUUAGUAAAUAGUAAGAUGAAGAAAAAUGCGAUAUACUAGCUACAAUAGCCCCUAAGGGCCCAAAAAUUUCUAGAAUAGGAAUUCUAGGAUUCCAUUCUUUUAUCGCAUUGGGAUGUUUUGAAUUCUUGAAUAAACCAAUUCGAGAACAGUUGGAUGCCGACAAAAUCAUCAAAGAUUGGUAUUCUUUAUUUCGAUUCAACAAAGUGCCAAUAGCUUCUUGAUGUUGGCUAAGUGAUUCAAUCUUCGCCUUGGAAUAAAAAGAAUUGCUAUUGGCGCGAUCUAACCUAUUAUGGGGAGUCGGUCCUCCACUUGUCCUAUCAUACCUUUUUCGUGUAUACGAAAUAGUGGACUUGACUAACUCAAUUCUUAGGAAAUCGCGAAUAAGAUCAUUUGCUCUUACCUCAACAAGGGAAGCACCAGCCUUUUCUUUUUCUUCUUGUUCCCAAUUCACUACUAAGCAAGUUCUAACAAAUUGACUAUUUGUGUGAUAAAUUCUUUGAGUUAACUUGCUAUUUUCAUGAUAAAUAAAAUUGACAAGUCGAAUUUGGAGAUUAUUUUCUUCUUGCAAGAGAUCCUGCGGGAAAAGUGUUGCUAAAUUUCUUCCUUCGUCCAUUUCAUAUGCCACUGUAGGGCGAACGGAAACAAAAUACUUUUCCUUGCUCUUGAGAAUUUUUUUCCGUUGAACAUAGACCCAAUUUUUCUUUUUUUUUGAUUCCUUAGAAUCUUUUUUUUGUCUUUCUGGCGGUAUCAAACACCCACCUAAUAUCUUAUCUGCCUCUUCAGGAAAAUGAAUAUCUCCGGAAAAUAUUUUGAGUUCCGUAUGGCUUUUUUUUCUCUUCACUCGGACCAGUCCGCCUAGUCCACUUCUUGUAUUUUUUGUGAGUUGUGUAUCCACUCCAAUAAUACUAUUGUCAAGUAUCUUUAGGGAUGAAGAUCUCGGCAAGAUAUGAAGUUCUUGAAGAAUGAAAAAAAACCGAUCUACUUCUUUUUGGUAUUUUAGACUAAAUUCUUUUGUUCCUCGAUGCUCAAUCAAACCCUCUUUUUUUAAGAUGGAAUCUUCCUCUGGGCUCUCGUAUUCGUCCUCUGAGUCUUCUUCUGAGUCUUCCUCUAAAGUACCAUAUUUUUCCUCGCCGCUUUCCCCGGGGCUGCCAUAUUCGUCUUCUGAGUCUUCUUCUAAAGUUCCAUAUUCGUCCUCUUGGGUCCUAUAUUUGCUCUCUGGGUUCCCAUAUUCCUCUUCUGAGUCUUUCUCUAAAGUCCUAUAUUCGUUCUCUGGGUUCCCAUAUUUGUUUUCUGGGCUCCCAUAUUCGUUUUCUAGGGUUUCAUAUUCGUAUUCGUCUUCUAGGAUUCCAUAUUUAGAUUCUUCUAGGGUUUCAUAUUCGUCCUCUCGGGUCCUGUAUUCGUGUUCUAGGGUCUCAUAUUCCUCUUCUGAGUCUUCCGCUCGAGUCCUAUAUUCUUCUUCUAGGGUCCUAUAUCUAAAUUUAACAAUUCCUGAACCCUUUUUAUCUUUUCUGUAUCGGGGAUCGUCAAAAUAAGCAAAAAUAGUAUUUCUACGUAAAACACCCAUAAAGGGGAUUUCAAUCGAAAUCCCAAAACAGGAUAUUAGUUCUUUCUCUUGUUCUUGAUGAUAUUGUAAUGGAAUGACGAACCUAUUUCUUCGCUUUUUCGCCAACAAAUCUGAAUUAUCUUGAAAAAUAGAAGGAUAGAUCAAAUUCCAAUGGCCAUUGGACAUGAUUCGAUCCGACGUUGAAUAAUCAAGAAUUUCCCUAUCUUUUUUACCAUAAGUAUUCAUUUGAUCUUGAUCCUUGUGGAGUGAAAAAGACGCUAUACUGGAUCUGCACAUACUUACGGAUAAUAUCCAUAAAUGGCUUGUUUUUGGUAAUCGACGAAGAUUACCAUAUUGAUAUUCGGGCGCAUGGUAAACAUCAGUACUCCAGUGCAUUUCGCCGUCUGAUUCAGAAUAAAUAUGCUUUUGUACCCUUUCUUUAAAAUGUAAAGUGGACGUUCCGGCACGAAUCUCCGCAAUUACUUGUUCAGAUUUUACAUAUUGAUCAUUUUGCACUAGAAUCAAGCUUUUUGAGGGAAUAUUCACACUAUAUAGAAUAUCUUGACUCUGAAUAGUUACAUGCAAGUCUAUAUAACAUAGAAAAGCAGGCUGUCCAUGACGGGUACGUGUGGGGUGAACCAAAUUCUCAUUGAAUUGGAUUUUUCCAUUCGAAGGGGAUCGUACAAGGUCGGCAGUACCCCCUGUGAAUACUCCGCCAGUAUGAAAAGUUCUUAAUGUUAGUUGAGUCCCUGGCUCCCCAAUUGAUUGACCCGCAAUAAUACCUACGGCUUCUCCCAAUUCCACCAGAUCACUAUGAGUAGGACUCCGGCCAUAGCAUAAUUGACAGAUCCAAGAAGUGCUUCGGCAAGUAAAGGGGGUUCUAAUAUAUAUUGGUUGUGCUCGAAAUGGUUGUGCUCGAAAGGCAGUUAUGAAUCGAUUGACUAAUCCAAUUCCAAUAUCUUGAUUUCGCGCGGCAAUGCAUCGUGAACCGAUAUAUAUAUCGUCUGCUAAUACACGACCAAUUAGUGUUUGGACAAAAAGUUUUUCCGUCAUCCCAUUUUGAGGACUUACAGAAAUACCUCGGAUAGUACCACAAUCUCUUCUACGCACAAUAAUAUGUUGAACUACUUCAACAAGUCUACGUGUAAGAUAUCCAGCAUCUGCUGUUCGUACAGCAGUAUCUACAACCCCUUUGCGGGCUCCAUAGCAGGAAAUUAUAUAUUCUGUCAAAGAAAGUCCCUCGCGUAAAUUGCUUUGAAUAGGUAAAUCAAUCAUUUGUCCUUGAGGGUCCGACAUUAAUCCUCUCAUACCUACUAAUUGGUGUACUUGAGAUGCAUUUCCUCUGGCUCCUGAAAAAGACAUUAGAUAGACUGGAUUAGAAGGAUCCGUUAUCCGAAAAUUUGAAUUCAUUUCUUGUUUCAAAUAUUCACUUGUCGCAUACCAUAUCUCAACAGAUUGGCGUAAUUUUUCUACCGCGUGUACAGCCCCAUAAUAAUAGUGUUUCUCCAAAAGAAAACUCUGUUGUUCCGCGUCUUGGACUAACCAUCCCUUAGAGGGUAUUGUUAAAAGAUCCUCGAUUCCUAACGAAAUCGAUGUAGUAGUGGCUUGAUAGAAGCCCAGAGUCUUUAGUUGAUCCAGUAUAUGGGAUGUAUAUCCCAUUCCAAAAUGAUCUAUUAAUCUGCUAAUAAGUCGUUUCAUACCAGUUCCGUCUAUCUCUUUAUUAUGAAAGACCAGAUUGGCCCGUUCCGCCAUACAUAAGUACCCCCUUUUCGGCUGAGUAGGAUUCGACAAUUGCUGAGUAGGAUUCGACAAUGGGCCUGAGUCAGUGAUUCGAAAAUUUAAUUAACUUAAUUGCCUCAAUCUCAAUCUGGAUUCGCGUGGCAAAUAAUGAUGAUACUAGGGAAAUCGGAAUGCCCCCCGAAAGCAAAGGGGAGGGGCAUCGCCGAAUCUAACUUUCUUGUUUAGGUAGUGUAUGAAUAGGCCUGACUAAAUCCUUGUACGGCUUCCUCUAUUUCUCUAUAAAAAGAAAUAUGACCAAGAGUGGUUCGAAUGUAUAUCGAACGAAUUUCUUUUUUUCUAUUUCCCAUUAUUAGAUAGUGAGCAUAAAUCUCAUGAUAAGUCCCCAAAGAUUCAUAUUGAAUUUCAAUCGGAACUUCUCUUGACCCAAUGACGCGUUGAUCCAGGUUCCAUCGUAGCCACAAGGGACUAUCUAAACUGAUUAGUUUUUGUCUAUAAGCUCCCAGUGCAUCAUAAGAACUAGAAAAAUGGGGUUCUUUAUCUUUCCUAUACUUAGAAUUAUUAUUAUUGUAAUUGACUUUUAAAUUUGGAUAGUUUCUGAAACUAUUAUAUCUAUUUGCACAAAUACCUCGACGCUUUCCAAUUGUUAAUACAUAAAGCCCGAUAAGCAUGUCUUGGGUUGGUACGCAAAUAGGAUCCCCAAUAGCAGGAGAUAAGAGAUUCAUAUGAGAAAACAUAAGUAAACGGGCUUCCGCCUGAGCUUCCAAGGAUAAAGGUAGAUGAACAGCCAUUUGAUCUCCAUCAAAGUCUGCAUUGAAACCCUUACACACUAAUGGGUGUAAAGAAAUAGUACGCCCCUCUACUAAAGUGGGUUGAAAGGCCUGUAUGCCUAAUCUAUGCAGAGUAGGUGCUCUAUUUAACAGUACAGGAUGUCCCCGCAUAACUUCUUGAAGUAUUUCCCAUACAAUGGGUUCCUUUUCCCAAAUUUUCCUUUUAGCAAUCCUGACAUUAGAAGUGGCGCGUUUCGUGAUUAAAUCGCGAAUUACAAAUAGCUGAAAAAGCUUUAUUGCUAUCUCUAGAGGUAAUCCACAUUGAUGUAAUGAAAGCGAAGGACCCACAACAAUGACAGAACGCCCCGAGUAAUCGACCCGUUUCCCAAGCAGAGUCUCGCGAAACCUUCCCUCUUUACCUUCAAUUACAUCUGAAAGUGAUUUGUAUACUUUAUUGUGACCAUCCCUCGUCGGUUGCCCGCGGGACCCACUAUCAAGAAGUGUAUCCACGGCUUCUUGUACCAAUUUUUCCUGGCACAUUACUAAAUCUGCUGGCGCUAAUUCACUUCUUUUUAAUAGAUAGGCAAGAUUGUUGUUCCGACGGAUAACUCUCUUAUAAAGUUCAUUAAUGUCUGAAGUCACUACUUUAUCUCCAGACCUAUAAACAAUAGGUCUCAAUUCGGGAGGAAGAACCGGUAAUAAGCACAAAACCAUCCAUUCUGGUUCUACAUUUGUUUGAAUAAAAUGUUUCGCCAAUUGCAUGCGUCUAAUCAAAAAAACUUUUCUUAUUCGUCUUUUUCUAUCUUCCCACUCAUCUCCACUAUACCCCUCGUCUUCUAAUUCCUUCCAUUCGACCAAAGAAUUCUCUAUAAUAAUUCGCAAAUCCAAAUCUGCUAAUUGUUCUCUAAUAGCACCUGCUCCUGUCGCAAUUUCCCGAUUUCGAAAUGUUGCAAAGCCUGGGGUAGAAAAAAAGGGAGAAAUGCUGUGGUUACAGGAUGCAAUUUCCUCUUCGAAUAAACCUCGUAAUCGUAAAAAAGUGGGUUUUUUAGUGCUGGGCCUAGCAAAAGAGAAAUCGCCGUAUACUAGGCCCUCCAACUUCUUAAGAGGUUUAUCUAAAAGAUUCGCGAUAUAACUAGGAAGACCUUUCAAAUACCACACAUGAGUCACGGGACAUGCGAGUUUGAUGUAUCCCAUUUGAUAUCUUCGUAUCCGAGAAUCCACAAAUUCUACCCCGCAUUUUUGGCAAAAUCUUUCGUCUUCGUUUUCAGCUCCGCUCGCUCGAGAAUUGCCACAACCGCAAAUCCCGCUUUUUAUGGGUCCAAAGAUUCUUUCGCAAAACAAUCCAUCUUUUUCUGGUUUAUCGGUUUUAUAAUGAAAAGUAGAGGGCCUUGUGACUUCGCCAACGGCUUCUCCAUUAGGUAGGUUUUUGUUAGCCCAAGCCUUUAUUUGUUGAGGGGAAACGAGUCCAAUUUGAAGUUGUUGAUGUUUAUAUUGGUCAAUCAUAAAAUAGAAAUAAGAAAAGAAUUUAUAUUUAUUCCGAUCAAACUUCCUCCCUAUUAACCUGGAAGUUCUUUUCAGAUACAAGGAAAUGAUUCAGUUCUAGAGCCAAAGAUCGUAGUUCUCGAACGAGCACUCGAAAAGAUUCUGGAGGAUCCUCAUGAUUAGGUAUUCUUUUUCCCCAGAUCGUAGCAUUAAGUAUUUCUUGGCGAGCUAUAAGAUGGUCAGAUUUAUAAGUAAGUAUCUCUUGUAAAAUAUGAGCAACACCAAAUCCUUCUAAAGCCCAAACUUCCAUUUCUCCUACUCGUUGUCCCCCUUGCUUGGCUCUUCCUCUAACCGGUUGUUGUGUAACAAGUGAGUAGGGCCCAGUAGAACGCCCAUGAAUUUUCUCAUCAACUUGAUGAAUUAAUUUUAAGAUAUAGGACUUCCCUAUUAGAACAGGUUGCUCAAAGGGGUCGCCUGUUCUUCCAUCAAAUAUUCUGCUUUUUCCCGGGUACUCGGGUUCAAAUACCCAUGGAUUUUUUGUUUCUUUACUGGCUUCAUAUAAUUCUGAAAACACAAGUUUUCUUGAAGCCUCUUGCUCAUAUCUCUCAUCAAAGGGUGCUAUUCUAUAAUGUUUCUUUAGCAGAUCCCCCGCUAAUCCGAGCGAGCUUUCAAAUAUUUGUCCCACAUUCAUUCGGGAGGGUACUCCUAAGGGAUUGAAGACCAUAUCAACGGGUGUUCCAUCUUGCAAAUAGGGCAUAUCUUGCCUAGGCAAAAUUUUGGAAAUGAUCCCUUUAUUCCCAUGUCUUCCGGCUACUUUAUCCCCAACUUUGAUUUCACGUUUCUGUAAAAUAUAUACACGAACCAUUAUGUCGAGGGGGUCCCUUUGGAUCCAUUUCACAUCGAUAACGCGCCCUCUUCCACCUAUAGGUAAUUUCAGAGAAGUUUCUUUUGAAGUGGAAACCUCAAGGCCGAAUAUGGCCCGUAAUAAUCCAGCUUCUGCGAUAUAUGAUGAUUCGCUCGCUAUCUGAGGCGUUAAUUUACCUACUAAAAUAUCACCAGUUUCUACCCAGGAUCCCAACCUAACAACUCCAUUUUUGUCCAAAUUGCGGAGUAAAUGUUCUUCUAGAUGUGGUAUUUCUUUAGUGAUUUUUUCAGCGGAGCCCUGGCUUGUCGUAUCCGUCUGAAUUUCAUAUUUCCGGAUGUGAAAAGAGGUAUAAAUAUCCUCAUAUACCAAACGUUCGCUAAUUAGUACUGCGUCUUCAAAAUUGUAACCUUCCCAUGGCAUAUAAGCUACUAAUACGUUUUUUCCUAAAGCAAGUUCCCCCCCAACUGUAGCAGCUCCUUCUGCUAAAAUUUGUCCUUUUUUAAUGGAUUUACCCCGUGGAACCCGAGGUUUUUGGUGCAUACAAGUAUUUUUGUUAGAGCGACGGUGGUUAACUAAAGGAAUACUUAUAGUCUUCCCACUACUUGAUAAAAGUAUCUUAUGACUAUCAGUAGAAAUGAUCUUUCCCUCGCGUUCGGCUAUAACGGAAACCCUCGAAUCUAGAGCUGUUUGGCGUUCCAAUCCAGUUCCAACAAUGCAUUUCUCGGACCGAGAAAGUGGAACUGCUUGGCGCUGCAUAUUAGAACUCAUUAAAGCCCGAUUCGCAUCAUUGUGCUCAAUAAAAGGAAUGAGAGAACCCCCAAUAGAAAAAUAUUGGAAAGGAAAAAUACUUCUAACAUGAAUCUGUUCCCAUGCAAUAGUCAAGAAUUCUUGGCGGUAUCUAGCUGGAACAACCUGUUCUUCCUGAAUACCUUGAUUCAAGGACAAAGAAUUUCCUGCUGCUAUCAUAUAAUACUCAUCUCUAUUUGGUGAUAGAUAAACCACCUGUCUCUCUUUUUUUUCUUUUGCUUUCUCAGCAGAUAUUUCAUAAAACGGACUCUCUAUAGAUCCCCACAAGUGAUCAAUUCUCGCAUGAAUUGCUAAGGAUCCAGUAAGUCCAACAUUGAUUCCUUCAGACGUGUCAAUUGGACAAAUACGCCCAUAGUGACUCGGAUGAAUAUCUCGGCUCCGAAAACUUGCGGUUCUCCCCGUCAACCCUCCAGGACCUAAACAACUCACUUUUCGCCCAUGAACAGUUUGUGUCAAUGGAUUCGUUUGAUCAAAAACUUGAGAUAAUGGGUAUGUGCCAAAAAAGGUCUCAUAAGUAGUUAUUAAUAAAAUUGAAGUUGAAGUUGGAGUUACCAAAGUUUGGGGAGUCGGUUUCGAUUGACGUAUGAAUACUCUACGAAUAGUUUUUUGAACUGCAUGUUGUAAACGACCAAGAGCCAAUCCGAAUUGAUCUUGUAACAGAUCCGCAACCGAACGAAUACGUUUAUUUUUCAAGUGAUUCAUAUCGUCAUCGUCAAGUAUACCCGUUCCAAAUUUCAUUCCAAUCAAAUGAUCCGUAGCGGCCAAUACAUCUCGUGGUAACAAGAAUGUAUUGUUCUGAGGUAUAUCAAGAUUAAGUCUCCGAUUCAUAUUUCGUCGACCAAUCCUUCCUAAUUCACAUUUUUGUUGAAAAAAUUUCUUUUGUAAUUCCUCGCAUAAGGACUCCGAAAAUACCAGGUCCCCACCUACACAAGCAAAUUGUUGAUAAAACUCCAAAAUAGCUUUUUCUUUUGACUCAAUCCUCUUCUUCUCCUUAGCAUUCGGGAAAGACAAGAAAAUUUCAGGGUAGGAAACAUUAUCUAGAAUUUCUCUUAGAUUCGAACCCAUAGCUGAUGAUAGAACUAGAAUAGAUAUCUUUUGUUUUCUACUCACGCGAGCCCAUAUCCUUUCUUUUUUAUCAAUUGCUAAUUCCGAUCUCCCUCCCCAAUCUGAUAUUAUAGUCCCGGUGUAGAUAGAAAUUCCCUUAUGAUCUAAUUCCGAGCGGUAGUAAAUACCAGGACUUAGCAAUAUUUGAUUGAUCACAAUUCGGUAUAUUCCAUUUAUAAUAAAGGUUCCUAAGGAAUUCAUUAUAGGAAUGUUUCCGAUAGAAAUGGUUUGCUUUUGCACAUCGAAACCAAAAAUUAAUCUCGCAGAUACAUAUAAUUCGGAAGAAUAGGUGAGUGAUUCAUACACAGCAUCUCUUUCUUUUAUCGAGGGUUCUAGCAAUUGAUAUCCUUUCGCAAAUAAUUGAAAUGCAAUUUCGUGAUCUGGAUCUUUAAUUGUUGGAAACUUGUCAAGUUCUUCUGCCAAGGCUUGAUUAAUGAACCUAAAAAAUCCCUCGAAUUGGAUCUGACUAAAUCCGGGUAUUGUGGACAUUCCCUCGUUUCCAUUCCGGAGCAUCUUAAUCUUAAGUUUCCUGUUUAUCAAAGAAAAAUUCCAUUAUCAGCUCACUCUUCAUCAAUCCCUACGGAUUGAUCUAGCAAUCAUGGAAUCUAUAUUCUGUUUACUGAAUCACAUGAAAUUCUAGGGAACUCCACAUACGUAUUUCAUAUAUGUAUUUCAUACAUAUGAAUAGAGACCAUUUCGACGAAAAUUCUAGUUUACCAGGGGUACAAAUGAAAUGAAAAUGAAUUGCUAAAAUAUUCCUACAAAAAAAAUUAUGCCACUUAUACUUUAUAAUAUUCUAAUCAGAUUGAAUGGCAAAGAUUUCUCAUUUUAUCCCCUUUCUAUGAAUGUAAUAAAGCCGUAAUAUAAUACACUAGAAAGUUUUACUUUACUUCGAUUUAGAAUAGCGUGCUUACUUUAAUUUCUAAAAAUAAUUUGAGGGUUCUUUUUUAUUUCGGAUCGGAGUAGUAUAAUUGCUAGAAAAUUAAGUAUUUCAUUGUGGAAUUCUAAAAUAAAGUAAGUCCCUUUUUUAAGUACAUGCCAAUCUAAUUAUCCACCUCUCCCCAUAUCCAUGCUUUUCUUUUAUCGUAAUUUCACUUGGGUAGGCCAAGAUAGUCAGGUUAUACUCUAAUAUCAGAGCAAAUUUCCUUUUUUUAUUCAAGAUAUUUAAUUUAAUACUUUGAAAAAUUAAAGCACGAUUCCCCAUAGAGAUAUGUACAUAAAGGGGAUCUUUGGAUAAUAAUGCUGCUCGGACCUAAAGUUCACCUAUACACGGAUUAAGCAUAAAGCCAUAAUAUUUUAUUAUGCCAUUGAAAUUGAAGGGGGGGAGAUAAUACCGAUUUAAGAGUAGUUCACUACUGCAAUUCAAAAAAGAAAGAGAAUUCUAGUUAAUGGUUCCAAUUUGUUCUGAAUUUUGCAGCCUGUGACUAGAAAUCCACUUUUCUUCUUUUUCAUCUCAAUAGAAAGAAAUGGGAAGUUUUAUUGUGUUAGCAAUGUAUGUUUUAAGAUAGAAUCUAUCGAGGAGAAUAAUCGAAACUGGAUCAAAAAAAGCAGGAGUAUCUUUUUUGAAAAAGAUUGGAAAAAAGUAAGUUUAAUUAUAUUCAAAAUAAAAGAAAGGGGCUUUUCGUAAGAAAACGUGGAUGAAUACUUGCUGUUUUCUAGAUUUUCGAUCGGAUUUUUUGGCGGCAUGGCCAAGCGGUAAGGCAGGGGACUGCAAAUCCUUUAUCCCCAGUUCAAAUCUGGGUGCCGCCUGAUCAAUAAAAUACUUAGGUUUUCUAGUACUGAUCGAAUUCAAUCAAUUUUUACUUCGCAUAAGUUCGGGCAAGAGAGUAACUAAGCCUGCCGAUACUGGGUUUAGAGAAACCAUACCAUAGUUCUAUCCUUAAACUAGGGUUAGGGUUUGUUUUGGCGGUAGUGGCCAAAAUGGUUAUCAAUAGGGGUGAGGUAGUGUUUCCUUAUUCUUUUAUUAUAUGAAUUUGAAUUGGUUCUUAAUUGAUUCGAUUUGAGAAUUUUUAAAUACGAGGAUAAGAUGUCAGAAAUCUUGGUAUCCAAAGAAAGGUCCCUAAGGGGCAUUCUUCUCUUUUUCAAUCUAAGAUUCCAGAAGGGACUCCACGAAAGAAUAUCAAGACUUCCUAAUUAUCAUACAUUUUUUUAUCGUACAUCUUAUGUGACCUACAUACACUAGAGUAACAAAAGGAAUAAAAAAUCUUCCUAUUCCCGCUUCUUCUAUUCAGGACAUCAUUCCCGUACUCUUUCUUUUUUAAGGUAAGGAAAAAAGGGCUUUAUAGUAUCGUAUUUUUAAUGCUCUCUAAUUCUACAAGAAUUCCUAUAAGAAUUUGUUAGGAGUAAAUUCCUUGAACUGAUUGAUCCAUGGCCUUAGGGCAGAAGCCCUUUUUGACUCUGUACCCUUGAUUCCACUAUGAUUAUUGAUCAAUAGUAGAAUAAUCCCUUCAUAGAAAUAGGAGACAUAAUUUAGAUGGAUAUAGUAAGUCUCGCUUGGGCUGCUUUAAUGGUAGUCUUUACAUUUUCUCUUUCACUAGUAGUAUGGGGAAGGAGUGGACUCUAGGGAUACGAUACUACUAAUUGAUUAAGUAAUCAAAUUGUUGUAUCAAUUCUUUUUUUAAUUGAUCGUUUUGCAUUAAUUAUUUUGUCAAACGUUAUUCUUUAAUCUUUUUCUUUAGUUUUGUUUCACUCCUGUAAGAAACUCUUGUAUUGUAAGAAAGAGCCAUUAUACCAAUUAAGAAUUUCUACUAGAAAUGACUAAUGGUUAAAAAAAGUUCUAUACAUAAGAAAAUUAGACUUUCUUCCACGGAACUAUUCACGGCAUAUCACACAUUUUCCAUUUGUUUUAUACUCUUUCUUUAUUCUUAGAAUAAUUUUUAUUCUCUUUUGAAGCAUCUCGCGGGAUAUUUAAGCAUGAAAGAUUCGCUGGUUUUUUCCUUUUACUUUUUACUAUAGUCUAUUCUUAUAUUAUUUUUCUUUCCUUCCAUGGAUUCUUUGGUCAAGAAUUGUCUUCGAUUUUUUUAUUUUGACCUGAUUGAAAUUAAGUGGAUGCAAUGAAAAAAGAAAUUGAAUUAGACUACUUAACUAUUUCAAUCUACUAAUCUAUUCUAUGUAGAUUCAAAGAUAAUAUAAUAGAAAGACUCUAAAGUGUCGUAGAAAAAACUAUAUGUAGUUCUUUCUACCACACUUUAAGAUUCCAACCAGAUCCUUUCAUUUAAGACUUGGAUUUUUUUUAUUUAAUCCCUUUUUCAUUUCUUCAAUGAUUAAUUGGAAUUCCACUUAAUUAUUUUGGCUGACUGUUUUUACAUAAAUAAUAAGUAAAAAAGAAGUAGGAAUUAGAAUGAACAGUGCAGUAGCAAUAAAUGCGAGAAUAUUGACUUCCAUAACCUCUUUAUUUUUUAUUUUCACAAUAACUCGGGAUGUAAUCCCAUGGAGAGGAAAAAGGGGUAUCUUGUAAAUUCAAGGGUAGGGCUUGCAUUCUGAUAAUACUGAAUCAAUUCAAUAUUAUGAAUAUCGGAUCUAUCAAAUCAAUUCAUGGAUGAGAGUUAUAUAGUAUAACAUAGGAAGAUCCUAUAUCCAUACUAAGACCAAAAUGGGUUUUUUGAUUGGAUUAGGAAUUCCCUCUUUUUUAAUCCUUUUUUUUUCUACUUUUUCUUUUCUAUAUCUCUAACCCACGAGCUUUCUUAAUCUUAUACAAUUUCUCUUCCUUUUUCUUAUAGUUAUACAUACAAUUAUGUAUGUAUUAUAUGAGCAACUUUCUAUGGGUCACAUAGACAUCCAAAUAAGCAGUAGAAGUGAGAUGGGGAAAAGAGGUCUGAAAUAAAAAGGGAAUACAAUUUAUGUAUGGAUUCCGGUAAAAUACCGGUACUCUAUUCCAUAACAGUGGAAUAGGAAAUUAAGAUGAGGAUGGUAUCAUCAUAAAGAAAGAUAGAGUAAUAUCCUAAAAUUCUACUAAUCCACAUAUCGUAUGUGUGUCUUUCUUUAUCUUUAUCGAUCGGGAGUAGUGAAAAAAAUUCCUAUACUCCUUCCCUCCCUCUUUAAUGAGAGAUGCAAAAUAAAAAAGUGAAGUAAGGGUGCCCUAUGGGUAUUUGAUCUUGCUCCCUGCCCCUUUUUUUUCAUGGAAAAAGGAAAUAUGAAUUUCUCCAUUCAUUGAACCCUAGUUCGGGACUGACGGGGCUCGAACCCGCAGCUUCCGCCUUGACAGGGCGGUGCUCUGACCAAUUGAACUACAAUCCCCGCGGGGUGUAUGGCAUACCCAUUCUUAAAUAGAACCAUAAGAAGAUUCGAUUCGUCUGUCGUACUCUAAGAAAUAGACGAAUCAUAUACUACAUACCCACAUAUUAAUAUUAUAUUAUACGUGGGUAUAGUGAGAGUGACAUAACUAGUAUGUCGUGAUUUUUUAUCACUAAAAAUGGAUAAUAAUCCACCCUUCAACAAGAAAAACUCUUUUGUUUGUAAGAAAGGAAUGAGAGAGAUAUGGAUUAGAAAAAAAAAUCCCCUUUUUUAUUUCUCUUUUAUUUCUAUAGAUCAGACAUUUUAUUUUAUGGGAGAAAAACAAAAGGAUUUAGUUCAUAUUCACGAAGCCCUAGAUUUUUGGGCCGAGCUGGAUUUGAACCAGCGUAGACAUUGUCAACGAAUUUACAGUCCGUCCCCAUUAACCACUCGGGCAUCGACCCAGGAAGAAUUUAUUCUAGGGUUUUUGCUAAUCUAUGAUUAACCUCCUUUCAUAAUACUCCCUACCCCCAGGGGAAGUCGAAUCCCCGCUGCCUCCUUGAAAGAGAGAUGUCCUGAACCACUAGACGAUAGGGGCAUCACUAGACGAUAGGGCCAUAUACAACCGCUCGUGAUUAUACUAUAAUCAUAGUAUGAGCAGUUUUUUUGAAUUGUCAAUAUACUCGAAAAGUAUAACUAGAUCCAAAGCAAAGAGUUUUUCUAACUUUUCUGCUAUGUUUUCAUCUAGGAUUUUUUUAGUUGAUGGUUAGAUUAAUUCAUGGAUCAUCCUCUACCUUUUAGGGAAAUUCAUUUUAAAUGUAUAGAAUAAGAAUGGAUUACUAAAAGGGAUUCUAGAUUAGUUCAGUACAGGUAGUUAUUUUAUUGAUCUAAGAUAAGAUGAAAAAGAGUCCAAUUUUUUUUUUAUUUCCAUUCCGUGCUUCAUUUAGUGUUCAGACCAAAAAUGCAUUCAUCCCGCACUAAGUCAUAAAAUUCUCUAAAGAGAAAGCUUCAAAAACAAAGAAAAAAGCGAAUCAAUUUAGUAGAAAAGUACUCUAUCAGAUUCGAACCAAUGACUUACGUCUUAGCACGAGAUUACUCUACCACUAAUUUAAAAAGCCCUUUAUCGGAUUUGAACCGAUGACUUAUGCCUUACCAUGGCAUUACUCUACCACUGAGUUAAAAGGGCUUUUUAUUUAAUUCAAAAAUUUGCCACUUUGAUUUCCCAUUAUGGGUCUACUGCAUAAUGUACAUAUUAUAUAUAUAUAAUAUAUAGAGAUAUAGAGAGAGACAUUAUGUAUAGAUUGUAUAUGUAUUGAUAUCUUGAGAGCUCAAAAUAAAAUUAAGAAAAAAAAACAUACCCAACUCUUCUUGGUUCAUGGUUUUCCGUUUCCGAAGGCUAGUAAAAUAGGCGGAUUCUGGAACCCCAAGGAUUCAAUGGUAUAUGGAAAAUAUAAGAUUUCCAAUCCUAGCGGGAAAAGGCAGGGAACAGAUACCCAAUAGGAUAGGAUCCUUGGGAGGAACUUUUGGUAAUGGCCUUGAUCCUCUAUGCUAUUUUUUAUGUGUUCUUAGUUCUAUUGAACUUUUUUGAUUCUUUUAAACAAGAAUCUAAUAAACUAGCAUUGAGUCAGUGGAAAAAAGGAGAGAGAGGAAAGUGUUAAAUGGAGAGAGUCGACUAAUCAUAGACUUUUAGGAUCUUCUUUACAUCAGGUAAAUCUGUCAGCCCUGUCCGUUUUUUUCUUUAAGUUACGACUCUUUAAGUUACAACUCUUUGCUUCUUACUUCUAUCAAGCCAUAGGGAAAGUCUAUGAUGAAUUUGGAAAACUCAUCUCACUCUUACUCUAUGGCUCGGACUUAAUGGGGGAAGAAAACAUCUUCUAUAAUUUCUUUUUUGUUCAAUUCUGGACAAAAAAGAAAAGGAAAAAAGGAAUUUAUAGGGACAGUGUUACCCCCUAUAUCCCCUAGUUUAUAUUGUAGGAAUAAUAAAACAAUUUAGCAGUCUGGCACACUUACGUCCUCGCAAAGUAAAUAAUGAUUAUUGUAGUCGUAACCGUAGAAUAGGAUAGGAUCCUAAUCAAAAUAAAUACAUUUGGUUCAGGCGCUAUUAGCAGGGUAAGAAGAGAUUUAUUUUACAGACCAGAGGGAGAGGGGCUAUCUAAAUCCUAAAGUAAAGGCGCGCGAUCGAAGUAGAAGUACCAAUGGCUCAGUGUCAUGAACCUUCUCCAUCUGAUUCAAUAAGGGGGAAUUAGCCUCCUUGUCAAAUGGCUAUCCUUGACAAAGGGUACCAUUUAUACCAUAAUAUACAAUGUAGCGGGUAUAGUUUAGUGGUAAAAGUGUGAUUCGUUCUAUUAAUAACUGAAUUUGAAAUGAUAUACUUAAGGCAUCCUUAAGUUUUUUUUUAUAUUCCGAUGAAAACUUUAGUUCUUAUAAAGGAUUAAAUCCUUUUCCUCUCAAUAGCAUAUUGAGGAAGAAUAUACAUUCUGGCGAUUUGUACCCAAAAACUAAUUUAAAUUGCAUCCAAAAUAAAAAUUGGAUUAUGAUAUGAGUACAGAGUCGCGAAGCAUAAUUUUGCAUUGGAUUUAAGUAUUCCAAUUUUGAAAAUAUGAGUAAAGGAUCUAUGGAUGAAGAUACAAAAAAGUUGAUUUCCAAUCGUAACUAAAUCUUCUUUUGUUAAAGGAUAAGGAAGCCAAAUAGCUAAAAAACGAUAGUUUUGGUUUACUAGAACCAUCCGCAUAUUGUUUCAGCUCGGUGGAAACCCAAUUCUUUUCCUCAGGAUCUCUUGAAUGAAAUUAGGGAACGAAGUAAGUAGAUUAGAUGGAUUUAGAUAGAAUUUCUAUCUCCUACUCUAUAAGGAUCAUCUAGAAAGCAGAGAGCUUUGGUUCCAUUCAAAUAGAAAAGCUGACAUAGAUGUUAAGUGGUGAGAAUAUCCAUAAAGGAGCCGAAUGAAAUCAAAAUUUCAUGUUCGGUUUUGAAUUAGAGACGUUAAAAAUAAUCAACCAACGUCGACUAUAACCCCUAGCCUUCCAAGCUAACGAUGCGGGUUCGAUUCCCGGCUACCCGCUCCAUUCUGUAUAAAAGGAGUAUUCUAUUUGUCUAGACAUGUUAAAGGCUUGUAUUCAAGCCUUUUUUGUCCACCAGUUUCUGGUACUACAGAGCGGAGUAGAGCAGUUUGGUAGCUCACGAGGCUCAUAACCUUGAGGUCACGGGUUCGAUUCCCGUCUCCGCACUUAGCAGUCUCUAUAAAAGGAGUAUUCUAUUUCUCUAGAUAUGGUAGAGGGGCGUAUCCAACCCUUUUUUAUUCAUUAGUUCCGGGCCCUAGAGGGCAAAAUUGAGCAAUUUGCGAAGCCACUUGCCUUCACAAAAAGAAGGCGCAAGGCUUCUCCCUACCUUGCAGAAAAUAAAAAUGAAAUGAAAGGGACAGUCUACCUCUCCCUUCCUUUUAAAAACAGUUUGCCCGUUGUUUGUCUCAGUUAAUACCCAAUUUUGGGGCUCUGUUGGCUAGUUCUAUUUCUGCCUCCGGAGCGCCCUCUUUUUUUGAGGGGGAUGCAAAGGAAGGGUAAAUAUAGUAAGGGAUACGGCACUAGACUAAUACUUAAUUAAUACUUAAUUUAAUAUAAGUAGUUAAACAAUUAACUAGACUAAACUUUUUAUCAUAGUACUUUGAUAAAUUAAGCGGGCGAGCGGCGGGAAUCGAACCCGUAUCUUCUCCUUGGCAAGGAGAUGUUUUACCAUUGAACUACGCUCGCUACGGUAUAUAUUUUAUAGCGUAUAUCCGCUUGGGUCGACCGUCUAUGUCUGGGUCGACCGUUUCAUUUCAUUUUCUAUUCUAUUAUAUUAGAUAUUAGAGUUUUCCUUUUUUUAUUAUCUGUCAAUGAAUAUUCUAAUGGGAAUUUCAUAAUACUGAAAGAGAAGAGCUAGCAAUUCGGAACGCAAAUUGCGUUUUAAUACGUCUCACUAUUCGAAUUUUUUAAAUGGCCUUUAUUAUUUCUUUUUUAUGGGGUUACUAAAUAUUAACCAAAUUUAAUUUAAGAAAUGAGAGAAUUCAGAAUAGCUACGAGAAAGACUAGUCCAAUCCAUAAUGAUGUACCGGAAAAUACAACAUUUUUAUUAUUUGACCAACCAUCAGGAGAAGCAAAUACAAGGGGUACACUAAUUACUAAGACUGAGGAAGUCGCAAUUAAUGCAAAAACAGCUAAUUGGAAAGCAAUAGUCAUAUUUCUAAUCCUCCAAGCUACCAUCAAAUAAAGUUGACUACAUAUUUGAUCCCUCACUUAACCAAAAUUGUAAAAAAAUACAAGAAGUAGGAGGGGUUUAAUCAUGAAUCCAUUGAUUCUUCUCUUUAAUUAAAAUUUAUUACUUAACCUCUUUUUUAUUUGGAUAUGGGGGUGAGAGGAGGUUAUUUAGUCUUUAUUUCACAAGCGGGUAUAGCGGAUCCUGUAUCCGUGUAUACAGUAUACAGAGAUAUAUCGAAAAGGAACUUGUAUCUGAUAUCUUUCUAGAGGUUAAUAAAUAUUUUUAUUUUUUAUAUGGCUAUGUUCUAUUUGUAGGAGUAAAAUAAGGAUUAGGCGGUGGAGAGAUGGCUGAGUGGUUGAUAGCUCCGGUCUUGAAAACCGGUAUAGUUCUAGGAACUAUCGAGGGUUCGAAUCCCUCUCUCUCCUUUUGCUUAUUGAAUACGUUUGUUUCUUUCAUUUUUUUUUAUUCUGUCCCUUAUCUUUCUUUCAUAAAAAGGAAUGAAUGGCUCGGCUAGAUAGAAUAACCGAGCCAGAACAGAAAAAAAGUAGAACAGGUAUAAAUAAGAAAAUCUUAGUUAAGAGGGUUCAUGUAAAGAACAGGUUCCAAAUCACGAUCGAUUCCCUUUUCAAAACCUGCUGCAGCAGCUCGGGCUCUUCCUGCAUGCCAUAAAUGGCCCACAAAAAAGAAGAAUCCUAGAACAAAAUGAGAAGUUGAUAACCAACUUCUAGGAGAGACAUAAUUAACUGCAUUGAUCUCGGUCGCUACGCCACCCACGGAAUUUAAAGAGCCUAAAGGAGCGUGGGUCAUAUAUUCUGCUGAGCGCCGUUCUUGCCAAGGUUGUAUGUCUUUUUUCAACCUACUCAAGUCCAAACCGUUGGGGCCCCUUAGAGGUUCUAACCAUGGAGCACGAAGGUCCCAAAAACGCAUAGUUUCCCCUCCAAAGAUAACCUCCCCAGUUGGGGAACGCAUUAGAUAUUUCCCUAAACCUGUGGGUCCUUGAGCGGAUCCCACAUUAGCUCCAAGACGCUGGUCUCUAACUAGAAAAGUAAAUGCUUGAGCUUGAGAAGCUUCUGGCCCGGUGGGUCCAUAAAACUCACUCGGAUAAGCUGUAUUAUUGAACCAUACAAAACAACAAGCGAUAAAACCAAAGACAGAUAAAGCAGCUAAACUAUAAGACAAGUAAGCUUCUCCAGACCAUACAAAUGCACGGCGAGCCCAUGCGAAGGGUUUGGUUAAAAUAUGCCAAAUUCCCCCAAAUACACAAAUAAAACCCAACCAUACAUGUCCACCAAUUAUAUCUUCUAAAUCAUCUACACUAACAAUCCACCCUUCUCCCCCAAAAGGAGAUUUUAGUAAAUAACCAAAUAUAACACUGGGACUAAGGGUCAAAUUGGUAAUUUUUCUUACAUCUCCCCCCCCAGGGGCCCAGGUAUCAUAUACACCGCCAAAAUAAAGAGCCUUGAGUACUAGAAGAAAAGCACCUAGACCUAACAAAAUUAAGUGAAUACCCAAAAUUGUAGUCAUUUUAUUUCUAUCUUUCCAGACAUAACCAAAGAAUGGAAAAGAUUCUUCAAGAGUCUCGGGUCCCAGAAGCGCGUGAUAAAUGCCACCGAAGCCUAAGACUGCGGAGGAAAUUAGGUGAAGUACGCCAGAUACAAAGUAUGGAAAAGUAUCUAGAACUUCCCCCCCUGGCCCUACUCCCCAACCUAGAGUAGCUAAGUGUGGAAGUAAAAUCAACCCUUGUUCAUACAUGGGCUUUUCUGGUACGAAAUGGGCCACUUCAAAUAGGUUCAUUGCUCCGGCCCAGAAUACGAUUAAUCCGGCAUGGGCUACGUGAGCUCCAAGUAGUUUACCGGACAAAUUGAUAAGUCUGGCAUUCCCAGCCCACCAAGCAAAGCCGGUGGUUUCUUGGUCACGACCAGCUAAAACGAAAGUUCCAUUAAAGAGCGUUUCCACGUGGUAGAACCUCCUCAGGGAAUAUAAGAUUUUCAUGAGGCUGAUCCUGAGCUGCCAUCCACGCACGAAUACCCUCGUUUAAAAGAAUAUUUUUGGUGUAGAAAGUCUCGAAUUCAGGAUCUUCCGCUGCACGGAUUUCCUGGGAAACAAAGUCAUAGGCACGUAAGUUCAGAGCCAAGCCAACUACGCCAAUAGCACUCAUCCAUAAACCGGUGACGGGUACAAAUAGCAUAAAGAAAUGUAACCAACGUUUAUUGGAAAAAGCAACACCAAAGAUUUGGGACCAAAAGCGGUUAGCAGUGACCAUUGAAUAAGUUUCUUCAGCUUGAGUUGGGUUAAAAGCACGGAAGGUAUUUGCACCAUCACCGUCCUCAAAUAGAGUGUUUUCUACGGUUGCUCCAUGAAUAGCGCAUAGCAGAGCCGCGCCUAAUACUCCGGCAACUCCCAUCAUAUGAAAUGGGUUCAACGUCCAAUUAUGAAAUCCUUGGAAGAAAAGGAUGAAUCGAAAUAUCGCUGCUACGCCAAAACUCGGCGCAAAGAACCAACCAGAUUGCCCCAGUGGAUAAAUAAGGAAUACCGAAACAAAAACAGCAAUUGGACCAGAGAAUGAGAUUGCAUUAUAAGGCCGCAAUUGAACAGACCGAGCAAGUUCAAAUUGGCGUAACAUGAAACCUAUUAGUGCAAAAGCCCCGUGGAGAGCUACAAAAGUCCAUAGACCGCCUAAUUGACACCAACGAGUAAAAUCUCCUUGUGCUUCUGGCCCCCAUAGUAGCAACAAAGAGUGUGCUAAACUAUUGGCAGGGGUAGAAACUGCUGCGGUUAAGAAAUUACAACCUUCCAAAUAGGAACUUGCCAAUCCAUGGGUAUACCAAGAAGUUACAAAAGUUGUCCCUGUAAACCAACCCCCUAAAGCGAAAUAAGCACAAGGAAAGAGCAAUAGGCCAGACCAUCCUACAAAAACGAAACGGUCCCUUCGUAACCAGUCAUCCAUAGUAUCAAAUAGAUCAUUUUCUUCUUUAGGAACUCUACCAAGGGCUAUAGUCAUAGUGAUCCUCCUAUUCAAUUACUUCAACCAUUUCCGAGCACCUCAUAUCACUUUCCAAGGCAUAUGAUAGUUUUAUAUCUGUGGACGAUUUCUUUCUCGUUCAAUGCCCUUUUUCAAUGGUCUCGAAGAGAGAAAUUUUCCAUUUUUAUCUAUGGAGUCACAACCGAGGUCGUUGUAAAUCCAUGAAUUUGAUUCGAUUUGUUUUUCUUAUCUUAUACUUAUAGAAAUAAACCUUUGAAUUCAGCAUUAUUCCAAGACUCCUAUUUCAAAGUCUAUCUUUUAAGGGAAAAAUGAAAAUAAAAGUAACCCCUUUUUUCCCAUUCCCUCUCUAUUGCAUGGGGGGAAGAACUAAAAUGGAGGAUUCUGAAAAAAAAAAGGACCUUCGAAAUCAAUUUUUAUGUGUAGCGCAAAGGAGUUGCGAUUUCUUCUUAUUCCUAUAGAACAUCUAGUAACAAGAAUAUGAAAUCGUAAAUAGCGAAAAAUUCUUGUCUUGCGCGGUCUAAGUCUAAGGAAAUACGAAAAAUUCGCUUAUACAAUUUCAUCUACAUCGAAUUUAUAUAUCAGAAUAGCGGAUAGAGGCAUCAUUCAAGGAGUCAGGUCUACUUACUUUAUGCUUCUUUCCAAUUUUAUGGUGGAUUUGAUAAGAACCCUUUUUGCUUUCUUGAUAAAUAAUCGACAAAAAAAAAAAAGCGUUUUUUUAUAUAUAGCUUGUUUUAUUAUAAUUAUAACAAGUCCUAUAUGGAAAUGCCCGCUAAAGAGAAAAUCUAUUUGAUUGUCUCUCGGUCAAUAUCGAUUUUUACAAAGAAAAAACAAGAAUUUUCUUCUUUUUUUUAUUAACAUUAAGAAAAAAGAAUAUAACUAAAAUGGAAUUGGCAAUAUAAUUUUUAUAGACUUUUGAAAGAAAAAAAGGGGUUUUUUGCAACCGUUAUUUCUUAUUUCUUGCCUAUAUCAUAUCACGGAAACCUUUCGCUUUGGAACGUGGAGAGAUGGCUGAGUGGACUAAAGCGGCGGAUUGCUAAUCCGUUGUACAAUUUUUUUGUACCGAGGGUUCGAAUCCCUCUCUUUCCGCUCCCUUGGAUCAUUUGGGACUUUCAAACUGGAAAGAAUUCUGACCCCCGGAUUUUCUCAUAGAUAAAUGUACGAAACAAAUCCAAUUUGUAAGAAAAAAAAAAAUUGAAUUUUUACUCCUCGCGUCCAGGAUUCCGUCCUGGAUCAUUAGAUAAGAAUCCAAAGAUAAAGAGUGAAACAAAGAAUAUCACUACUGUAUAAACAAAAAGUUUGAGAGUAAGCAUUACAUAAUCUCCAAGAUUUUUUUUAAGGAAUAGAUUACCAGUUUUUCCUUACCACACGGAUCCACUAGGAUGGUUUUUUUUGAUACCUAAAAAUGCAAAAAUGAAUUCUGGAAAAAAAUUGCAAGAAUUCAUUUAUAAUAAGAACUCUUAUCAAUAGCAAAAAUAGGGUUAGGUGGUAUUGAAUAGGUAUUGUGUAGGUACCUAAAGGUACCUGCUCAACCUAGGUGCAGGGGAGUAGAAAGGCUGAUCCAAAUUUAUUGCUGUAGCUACCCAUUCAAUGUAGAAUAAUUUCAAUUUUAGAAUUGAGGGUUCAUAAUAUAAAAAUAUAAAACUUCUCGGCUUUUACCCAUUUUAAUUUUUUUUUGGUAAUGAACACAUCAUUCAAUUUGGCAUACAGAGUACUAAAGAUUUCAUCGAAAACUUACAGCAGCUUGCCAAACAAAGGCUAAUAGAAAAAAGAAUAGAGGUAUAACAGGCAUAAUAUCCACGAUUGGAUUGAAAAUAGCAUAAGCUUCGGGCAAUUUGGCAAAGAAAAAACUAGUAGGAUAAAGAACAGAAUUAAAACAGAUACAGGUUAAACUAAGUAUAUUAGGCAUAACAAGCAUUUCAUUCUUGUAGAGUAAAUAAUUGGAUUUUGAUUGAGUUAUUUUUUUAAGGGAAAGAAGGAAAAGGCAGAUUCAAAAUCUUUUUUUCUUCGGACUUUCCCAAACACAAAAUACCUCCUUGUAUUCGCACUCUCAAAUGAGAGUGGAAUAAAUUCGACUUUCAUAUAAUAUCUUAAUAGAAUUCCAUGUAAUGAUCAAUGCAUUUUUUUGAUUCUAUAUUAUCUGCAUGUGUAGAAUACUAGCAAGAGAAUAUCUCUUCUUUAUUUAUGUAAUUGAAAUGGUAUUGACGAAUAACAAAUAAACAUAAUAGUGUUUAUUAGUGUCGCAUAAAACCCGAAAUGGGGCGUGGCCAAGUGGUAAGGCAGCGGGUUUUGGUCCCGUUACUCGGAGGUUCGAAUCCUUCCGUCCCAGAUUGUUUCUGAUGAAACAAACGGUGAAAUCAUAUAGUACUCCGUAUGAGACAAAAGUUUAUUAAAGAGAAUAAUGAUAUCUUAUGUUUUCUCAGAAAACAUAAUAAAGUCUUAAGUCCAGUCAAAUUGACUACCUUUAUUUUCAUGAAAAAAAUGGGAUCUAGCAGGCACAUUCAGGAUAUGCCUCUACUAUGAUCACUUAAUAAUCACUUAAUAAUCACUUAAUCAUAUUUUUUUCUUCCUUUUGGUCUUCGAGUCGAAGAAGUACCAAAAACAAUUAACUACCAAAAACUUUCAAUCUAUUCAUUGGAAUAGUUUAUUUAGUUAUUAUAGUUAAUUGUUUUUGGUACGGAAAAAAUAUAUUACUAAUAGAAUUCUAAUUCUAGUAAUUAAAUGAAUUAAACUUUUUUGGAGGUUGAUAGUUUAUUUAUUGAGGAAGAGUCAAUCCUUCUCUUCUCACUUCAAGAUUGAUCAUCUCGAGCCAUCCGUUGAGGGUGGAAAUUUAAUAAUAAAUAAGUUUUAAGCAAACUUGUUUAGUCGUCUUUUUCUAUGUUUCAUUCAUAUGAUAGAAUUCGAAUAUGGGUUUAAAUAAAUUGGAUCUUGGCGGAGGCUUCCCGGAUAAAUACUUACUUUCUUUUAUCCAUAUUGCUCCAUAGAUAGCAAGUUUUAAUUUUAAUUAGUAUACAAAAAACAAAACCAAUGACUAUUCAUGAUUCCAUCCAUAUUGGAUCAAUUUUCUAUACCACUUUGCAAUGAAAAGAGGAAUGUUUGUUAUGGUAAAACUUCGUUUAAAACGAUGUGGUAGAAAGCAACGUGCGACUUGAAGGACAUGAUCGAUUGUGGAUUUUGCUAUCCAUCAUUUUCCAUAGUAAUGAAAAUGCUCUUGGCUCGACAUAGCCUGUUCUAUUCGUUCCGAACCAAAUUUGCGCAGGGUUUAAGUAACAUAGUACACGAUGGAGCUCGAGAGGACAGAGUUUAUUUUUUAUCAAGGGAAAGAAUCUAGGGUUAGUGAAAACUAAUAAAUUAGGCCAACUUUGUCAGUCUAUCCUUAAUAUAGAAAUAAAUCGAAAGGUUAAAAUACGAAGAAAGUCCAAUAAAAGUAUAUCAGAAUCAAUCCCCCUUAUUAGAUUUCUAUAGAAGAGAUAAAUGCUUUAUCGAAGGAAAUAAGAAAAAAGGGUAUGUUGCUACUCUUUUGAAAGAAAAAAAUAGGAAUUCCCGAAGUAAUGUCUAAACCCAAGGAUUUCACAAAUCAAAGAUAAAGGAUUCCAGAACAAGUAAACACAAUUUUCAAUUGUCUCAACAACAGAGUUGGAUCAGAAUAAGGAAUAAAAGUCAAUUCGUUCGAAAUGAGACAAAGAAAAGAGUUUAAAGACGACUCAAAAAUUUUUGAAGGAUUUUGCCUUCGAAGUUUCUCAGGCAGAAUUAGCCAACUUGAGUCAUGAGUAUAAAUGAAAUUUGUUUUUUCUGUAAGGAAAUUAAUGGACGUCAUAGUCUAAUUUCUAUUAUUAUCGACAGAAAUUCGAAUCAUUUUCUCGAGCCGUAUGAGGAGAAAACCUCCUAUACGUUUCUAGGGGGGGCGUUGUUUAUCUACAUCUAUCCCAAUAAGCUGUCUAUCGAAUCGUUGCAAUUGAUGUUCGAUCUCGAAGAGAAGGAAGAGAUCUUCGAAAAGUAGGUUUUUAUGAUCCGAUAAAGAAUCAAACUUGUUUAAAUGUUCCAGCUAUUCUCUAUUUCCUUGAAAAGGGUGCUCAACCGACAAGAACUGUUUAUGAUAUUUUAAGGAAGGCGGAAUUCUUUAAAGAAAAAGAAAGAACUUUGAGUUAAUUGAAGAACUAAAUGAAUAAAAAAGUAGGAUAGGAGAAGAUUAUUAGUAUUCCUCGUUGUCUAAUUAUUUAGACACAAUUUACCUCUUUCUUAAUCCUAUUUGGAUUUAUAUCGUGCCAAUCCAACAUAAGCCCCUAUUUUAUUUACUUUUUCUAUCUAAUUUGUUUUCUUACCAUUGUAUUUCCAUUGACAAAGGUCUAUUGAACAAAUAGAAUUUGUAGAUAGAUGGGUCUCUUUAUCCUCACUCCAUAUUUAAUUUUUCUGCUUACACUUCGCUCAAAUGAUAAGGGUGUUCCUCUUGCAUGUAUUCUCAUACAAUAUAAUAUAUAUUUUUUUAAUAAAAAUCGCUAAAAAAAGGAGAAUUUGGCCAUCGUGAUUAGGGUCGCUCUUUUUUUUCACUUUAGUGGAAUUUAACCGGACCUGUUCGUUUUGCCAUUUGAGUGUUUUUCAUGGUCGAUAAAAUCUUUCUUUUGAUGUCUUGCUAGUUCAAUGUUUUGACAGAAGCGCGCGGUGUAAUUCCAUUGAUUUUUGGAUUUCGAUCGUAUCUAAGAUCCUUUUUUUAUCUGGGUUGCUAACUCAAUGGUAGAGUACUCGGCUUUUAAGUGCGACUAUGAUCUUUUACACAUUUGGAUGAAACAACAAAUUCGUCCAGACUCUUGGUAGAGUCUAGAAGACCACGACUGAUCCUCAAAGGUAAUGAAUGGAAAAAAUAGCAUGUCGUAAUAAAAUCAAUCUUUUUUGAAUGGAAUCCAAAAUUACGAUUUUCUGGGUCUAGUGAAUAAAUGGAUAGAGCCUGGCUCCAAUUCUGGUAAAAUAAAAAGCAACGAGCUUAACUUCCUAAUUGGAAGGAUUCCCCGCUCUAAUUAGACGUUAAAAAUAGAUUAGUGCCGGAUGUGGGGAAAGGUUGGGUUUUCCUAUGAGUGGACCCUUUAUUUUUUCUUUUUUUUUAGAAAUCCUAAUUAUUCUUGAUUAUGGAUUGAAUAAGGGAUGUUAUGGAUUGAAUGUGUAAAAGAAGCAGUAUAUUGAUAAAGAGGCUGUAUUCCAAAGUCAAAAGAGCGAUUGGCCUGCAAAAAUAAAAAACUUGUUCUGUUCUUUUUUGUAAUUUAGAACAAACAUAAACUAAUUCGGUAGAAAAGGAGCGGAAAAAGAUCCGUGGAUUAGACUCCCUUUCUUUCCAGGGUUUGUAUUAAAAAUGCAACACCCUGUUCUGACCAUAUUGCACUAUGUAUCAUCAUUCGAUAAACCGAGAAAUGCUUCUUCUCUCUGAUUCAAGUAGAAAUACAAAUGGAAAAAUUCGAAGGGUAUUCAGAAAAACAGAAAUCUCGUCAACAAUACUUUGUCUACCCACUUCUCUUUCAGGAGUAUAUUUAUGCAUUUGCUCAUGAUUAUGGAUUAAACGGUUCUGAACCUGUGGAAAUAGUUAGUUGGAAUAACAAGAAAUUUAGUUCACUACUUGUGAAACGUUUAAUUAUUCGAAUGUAUCAGCAGAAUUUUUUGGAUAACUCGGUUAAUCAUCCUAAUCAAGAUCGAUUAUUGGAUUACAAAAUUUUUUUUAUUCUGAGUUUUAUUCUCAGAUUCUAUCUGAGGGGUUUGCGAUUGUUGUGGAAAUCCCAUUCUCGCUACGGGAAUUAUCUUGUCCGAAAGAAAAAGAAAUACCAAAGUUUCAGAAUUUACGCUCUAUUCAUUCAAUAUUUCCCUUUUUAGAAGACAAAUUUUUGCAUUUGGAUUAUCUAUCACAUAUAGAAAUACCCUAUCCUAUCCAUUUGGAAAUCUUGGUUCAACUCCUUCAAUACCGUAUCCAAGAUGUUCCAUCUUUGCAUUUAUUGCGAUUCUUUCUCAACUACUAUUCGAAUUGGAAUAGUUUUAUUACUUCAAUGAAAUCCAUUCUUUUUUUUCAAAAAGAAAAUAAAAGACUAGUUAAAUUCCUAUAUAACUCUUAUGUAUCAGAAUAUGAAUUUUUCUUGUUGUUUCUUCGUAAACAAUCUUCUUGCUUACCAUUAGCAUAUUCUGGAACUUUUCUGGAACGAAUCCACUUUUCUAGGAAGAUGGAACAUUUUGGGAUAAUGUACCCUGGUUUUUCUCGGAAAACCUUAUGGUUCUUUAUGGAUCCUCUUAUACAUUAUGUUCGAUAUCAAGGAAAGGCAAUUCUUGCAUCAAAAGGCAGUUUUUUUUUGAAAAAGAAAUGGAAAUGCUACCUUAUCAAUUUCUGGCAAUAUUAUUUCUUUUUUUGGACUCAGCCGCGAAGAAUCCAUAUAAACCAAUUAGCAAACUCUUGCUUCGAUUUUAUGGGAUACCUUUCAAGUGUACCAAAAAGUCCUUUGUUGGUAAGGAAUCAAAUGCUGGAGAAUUCAUUUCUCAUAGAUACUCGAAUGAAAAAAUUCGAUACCAUAGUCCCCGCUACUCUCCUCAUAGGAUACUUAUCAAAAGCUCAAUUUUGUACUGGAUCGGGGCAUCCUAUUAGUAAACCCAUUUGGACGGAUUUAUCAGAUUGGGAUAUUCUUGAUCGAUUUGGUCGGAUAUGUAGAAAUCUUUUUCAUUAUCAUAGUGGAUCUUCGAAAAAACGGACUUUGUAUCGACUAAAGUAUAUACUUCGACUUUCAUGCGCUAGAACUUUAGCUCGUAAACAUAAAAGCACGGUACGAACUUUUAUGCAACGAUUGGGUUCGGCAUUUUUAGAAGAAUUUUUUACGGAAGAAGAGCAAGUUUUUUCUUUGAUGUUCACCAAAACAACUCUUUUUUCUUUCAGUGGAUCACACACUGAGCGUAUUUGGUAUUUGGAUAUUAUAGGUAUCAAUGACCUGGUCAACCCUCUUAAUUAAUCAUUAGACAAAACUAAUAAACAGGAAAGGGUUGAUAAAUGAUCAAGAAAAAACUUUCAUAUUUUUCAUUCUGAAAUGUUCCUUUUAUUAUAAUAAAGAGUAGGUGAAUCAACUUACUAAUUAAAAAAUUAGUAGAACUUCCUCUUUGGAAUAGAAUAUUGGCUAUUUCUACAUAGGGAAAGUCGUGUGCAAUGAAAAAUGCAAGCACGAUUUGGGGAGGGAUUUUUCUCUAUUGUAACAAGGAAGAAUUAUCUACUCCAUCCGACUAGUUCCGGGUUCGAGUCCCGGGCAACCCAUAUAGAAAAGACCCAUCAAAGUUUUUAACUUUUACUCACUUCAUUUACAAAUACAAAAUUAUUGGUUUGGUUAAUUUAUUUAUAUGGAUAGCCAAUCUUUGGGCUGACUUGGUUGACAUUGGUAUAUAGUCUAUGUUAUACUGUUAAAUAACAAGCCUUCUAUUAUCUAUAUUCUAGUUAAUACGUGUGCUUGGGAGUCCUUGCAAUUUGAAUAAACCAAGAUCUUACCAUGACUGCAAUUUUAGAGAGACGCGAAAGUACAAGCCUGUGGGGUCGCUUCUGCAACUGGAUAACUAGCACUGAAAAUCGUCUUUACAUCGGAUGGUUCGGUGUUUUGAUGAUCCCUACCUUAUUGACCGCAACUUCUGUAUUUAUUAUCGCCUUCAUCGCUGCCCCUCCAGUAGAUAUUGAUGGUAUUCGCGAGCCUGUUUCUGGUUCUUUACUUUAUGGAAACAAUAUUAUCUCUGGUGCUAUUAUUCCUACUUCUGCGGCGAUCGGAUUGCACUUUUACCCAAUUUGGGAAGCUGCAUCUGUUGAUGAGUGGUUAUACAAUGGUGGUCCUUAUGAGCUAAUUGUUCUACACUUCUUACUUGGUGUAGCUUGUUAUAUGGGUCGUGAGUGGGAACUUAGUUUCCGUCUGGGUAUGCGUCCUUGGAUUGCUGUUGCAUAUUCAGCUCCUGUUGCAGCUGCUACUGCUGUUUUCUUGAUUUACCCUAUUGGUCAAGGAAGCUUUUCUGAUGGUAUGCCUUUAGGAAUCUCUGGUACUUUCAACUUUAUGAUUGUAUUCCAGGCAGAGCACAACAUCCUUAUGCAUCCAUUCCACAUGUUAGGUGUAGCUGGUGUAUUCGGCGGUUCCCUAUUCAGUGCUAUGCAUGGUUCCUUGGUAACCUCUAGUUUGAUCAGGGAAACUACUGAAAAUGAAUCUGCUAAUGAGGGUUACAAAUUUGGUCAAGAGGAAGAGACUUAUAAUAUUGUGGCUGCUCAUGGUUAUUUUGGCCGAUUAAUCUUCCAAUAUGCUAGUUUCAACAACUCUCGUUCUUUACACUUCUUCUUGGCUGCUUGGCCUGUAGUAGGAAUCUGGUUCACUGCUUUAGGUAUUAGUACUAUGGCUUUCAACCUAAAUGGUUUCAAUUUCAACCAAUCUGUAGUUGAUAGUCAAGGUCGCGUUAUUAAUACUUGGGCUGAUAUCAUCAACCGUGCUAACCUUGGUAUGGAAGUAAUGCACGAACGUAAUGCUCACAACUUCCCUCUAGACUUAGCUGCUGUUGAAGUUCCAGCUAUUAAUGGAUAAGGUUUUUCUGCUAACAUAUAAGAAUUUUUGAAGAAAGAAAAGACAAAAAUACCCAAUAUCUUGUUCUAGCAAGAUAUUGGGUAUUUUGAAUCUUUUUUUUCUUCUUAAUCUUUCUAUUCAGAAUUCAGUUAACGACGAGAUUUAGUAUCCUUUCUUGCAUUUUCAUAACUCGUAAAAUGCCGAGUAGGCACGAAUUCUCCCAAUUUGCGACCUACCAUAGGAUUUGUUAUGUAAAUAGGUAUAUGUUCCUUUCCAUUAUGAAUCGCAAUUGUAUGGCCAACCAUUGUGGGUAGAAUGCUAGAUGCCCGGGACCACGUUACUAUUGUUUCUUUCUCCUCCUUCAUAUUGACCUUUUCUAUCUUUGCCAAUAAAUGAUGAGCUACAAAAGGAUUCGUUUUUUUUCGUGUCACAGCUGAUUACUCCUUUUUUCCUUUUUAAAGAGUGGCAUUCUAUGUCCAAUAUCUCGAUCGAAGUACGGAGGUCAGAAUAAAUAGAAUAAUGAUCAACGGAAAAAGAAAAAAUCCUUUAGCUGGAUAAGGGGCGGAUGUAGCCAAGUGGAUCAAGGCAGUGGAUUGUGAAUCCACCAUGCGCGGGUUCAAUUCCCGUCGUUCGCCCAUCGCAUUAUUGCAAAUUCCAAAAAUGCAAUUUUCCAUAUUCCUAGUUACGUAUUUACUUACGGCGACGAAGAAUAAAACUAUCGCUAUAUUUUUUCCUUUUUCCUAGUUCUUCUUCCAAGCGCAGGAUAACCCCAAGGGGUUGUGGGUUUUUUUCUACCAAUGGGAGCUUUCCCUUCACCGCCCCCAUGGGGGUGGUCCACAGGGUUCAUAACUACCCCUCUUACUACGGGGCGUUUACCUAGCCAACACUUAGAUCCGGCUCUACCCAAACUUUUUUGGUUCACCCCAACAUUACCCACUUGUCCGACUGUUGCUAAGCAAUUUUGGGAUACUAAACGGACCUCCCCAGAUGGUAAUCUUAAAGUGGCCGAUUUACCCUCUUUUGCAAUGAGUUUCGCUACAGCACCUGCUGCUCUAGCUAAUUGCCCACCCCUUCCACGUGUGAUUUCUAUGUUAUGCAUGGCCGUGCCUAAGGGCAUAUCGGUUGAAGUAGAUUCUUCUUUUCUCUCAAAAAACCCCUUCCAAACUGUACAAGCUUCUUCCAAAGCAUACGGCUUUCUAKWUGUUUAUAAUUCCUUCUAAUGACUUAUGCGUUCUGUUAUCAUUUCCAACUGGAGGAUCCCUUAAUUCAAUUAAAGGAGGAUUAUAAAUGGAUAGAUGUCUUCGAUUUCCAUUGGAGAUUGGGAAUCGAUGGACUUUCAUUAGGAUCCAUUUUAUUGACAGGAUUUAUCACUACUUUAGCUACUUUAGCAGCUUGGCCAAUUACACGGAAUUCGCGAUUAUUCUAUUUCCUGAUGCUCGCAAUGUAUAGUGGUCAAAUAGGAUUAUUUUCUUCGCGAGACCUUUUACUUUUUUUUAUCAUGUGGGAGUUAGAAUUAAUUCCUGUUUACUUACUUUUAUCCAUGUGGGGGGGAAAGAGGCGUCUAUAUUCAGCUACAAAGUUUAUUUUGUAUACUGCAGGCGGUUCUAUUUUUUUCUUAAUCGGAGUUCUGGGUAUGGGCUUAUACGGUUCCAACGAACCAGGAUUAGAUUUGGAAAGAUUAAUUAAUCAAUCAUACCCCGCAACCUUGGAAAUACUUUUAUAUUUUGGCUUCCUUAUUGCUUAUGCUGUCAAAUUGCCGAUUAUACCCCUACAUACGUGGUUACCAGAUACCCAUGGGGAAGCACAUUAUAGUACAUGUAUGCUUUUAGCGGGAAUAUUAUUAAAGAUGGGAGCAUAUGGAUUGAUUCGGAUCAACAUGGAAUUGUUACCUCAUGCUCAUUAUCUAUUUUCGCCCUGGUUAGUAAUAAUAGGAGCUAUCCAAAUAAUCUAUGCAGCUUCAACUUCUCUUGGUCAACGAAAUUUCAAAAAAGAAUAGCUUAUUCCUCUGUAUCUCACAUGGGUUUCAUAAUUAUAGGAAUUGGUUCCAUAACCAACAUUGGACUCAAUGGAGCUAUUUUACAAAUAUUAUCCCAUGGAUUUAUUGGUGCUACACUUUUUUUCUUGGCAGGAACCGCUUCUGAUAGAAUGCGUCUUGUUUAUCUCGAAGAACUGGGAGGAAUAUCUAUCCCAAUGCCUAAAAUUUUUACCAUGUUUAGUAGCUUUUCAAUGGCUUCUCUUGCCUUACCAGGAAUGAGUGGUUUUGUCGCAGAAUUAGUAGUAUUUUUUGGACUAAUUACUAGUCCAAAAUUUUUGUUAAUGCCAAAAGCACUAAUUACUUUUGUAAUGGCAAUUGGAAUGAUAUUAACUCCUAUUUAUUUAUUAUCUAUGUUACGCCAGAUGUUCUAUGGAUACAAGCUAUUUAAUGUUCCAAACGCAAAUUUUGUGGAUUCUGGACCACGAGAACUCUUUAUUUUAAUCUGUAUCUUUUUACCAGUAAUAGGAAUUGGUAUUUAUCCAGAUUUUGUUCUCUCCCUAUCCGUUGACAGGGUAGAGGCUCUCUUAUCCAAUUAUUAUCCUAAAUAGGUUUGGUUUUUUUUACUAGUCUGCUCUAUUAAUGCAGAAAUAAGUAAAAAAGUAUAAUUAGAUCUAUCUCGAAUUUUUGAGAACCCUUUGAGAAGGCGCUCAAGGGGUUCUCAAAUAAAAUAUAAAAGUAAAAACGUUCAUUUCAUGAACGUUUUUUUUUAUGUAAUCAUUUAGGUGUUAAUGUAAACGAACCAUAACUAUGUAAACCUAUUCCUAAUAGAUUGAUACCAAAAUAACAAAUCCAAAUUAUAAGAAAUCCUAUCGAAGCUAUAAGUGCAGAAUUCGUACCCUUCCAAUUUGGAUUUGUUCUACUAUGUAAAUAAAUUGCGAAUAUGGUCCAAGUAAUAAAUGCCCAAGUUUCCUUAGGAUCCCAAUUCCAAUAGGAUCCCCAGGCCUCAUUAGCCCAUACUGCUCCACAAAGAAUACCUAUGGUUAAAAGGGUAAAUCCUAGGCUAAUGAUACGAUAACUCCAAGAAUCCAAACGCUCCGUUAAUUGAUAUUUGUAAUAAUUUGGAAAUGAAGGGACAGGGGCGCUUUUUAAAGCACUUCUUUUUGCAUAAAAAAAUGCAAUCUCACUAAAGAAAAAUGUUUUAUUUAAAACAUUUUUUUUCUUUUUAGAAAAGAAAUGGAAAUUAUUUCGAAAUCUAAUGAUUAGAAUAGCGGCAGAUAAUAAGGAUCCGCACAAAAGAGUUGCAUAACUUAAUAACAUCAUACUGACAUGCAUCAUUAACCACUGAGAUUGUAGAGCAGGUACUAGUAUCGUGGAUUGAUGCAUUUCAGUUAAAAGACCCGACGUGGCAAAGCCUUGCGUUAAAAUAGUACUUGGCGUAGUUAUUGUGCUUAAAUCAUUUUUAGAGUUCUGUAUUUUAGGAAUGGUAUGAAGAAUAUACAGAGCCCAUGAAAGGAAGAUCAAUGACUCAUAUAAAUUACUUAAUGGAAAAUGUCCCGAAGAAACCCAACGAGAAACUAAGAAUCCUGUUAUAGAGAAAAAAGUAACUAUCAUUCCUUUUUCUGACGAAUCACGUAAUCUCCCAAGUUCACGAACUAAUAAGGUUAUCAAAUGAAUCGUAAUCACAAUUGAAAUCGUUGAGAAAGAGAUAUGAGUUAGUAUAUGUUCUAAAGUUGCAAAUAGCAUAAGGGGAAGGUCCCAUUACAAAAUUGUAAAUUUCGAAUUGAUUUCUAAUCUAUUGUAUUCCUUUUCAAGAAUGCCGCCACUCGGAUUCGAACCGAGAUGCUUGAGCACUGCUUCCUAAGAGCAGCGUGUCUACCAAUUUCACCAUGGCGGCUAACUUCAAAUAAUAGGUAACUUAAAAGAAUAAUAGCUAUUAUCUCGGGAAUCGUCGAUAUUGGGAAAGUCCAUAAAAUUUAGGAACAUUAGAGUUUUCAUUAAAAUGGACUUCGUUUGGUAGUAUCGUUUCCAUUUUUUUUUACAAUAAACUCUUGCUUUGCCCAAUAGAAACACUGGUUGAAAGAGUUGGAACUUCUUUUUUCUAACUUGCAAUUAUAGAUAUAGAACUAAUUUUUUCUAAUUAAUUUAUCGUUUAAAUUUUGAAAAUUCUUUCAAUACAAUGAAAAAAAUCCAAAAGGGUUUCUAUUUAAUGAUGAAAUUAAAAUGGAUAAAUAGAAAAGGCUUUUUGGAUUUUUGAAAAAUUUCUAGAAUGAAAGUCUUUAUGCUCUUAUUAAUAAGAUUUACUAACCUUAUGAUUUUGGAUAAGAUAGGUGGAAGUUGUAAGUCCUAUUGUAAGAAUACUCCACUUUUCAUAAUUUUCAUAAUAAAAUAUGAGCAUUCUAUUAUGAAAAUUAUGAAAAGUUCAUUGAUAGGAAAAGAAUACUUAGCACACAGUAUACCAAACAAAACUUUUUUUUAUUGUAUAUAUAAGAGGGGUUUGUUAUAAGAAUAUUGUACCGAAGUAAUUCGACACAUAAAAGUACAUUCAAAGAAGAAUCCAAAUUAUUAAAUAAUUGGAAUUCUUUUUUGAAAAAUCAAUUCAUAUUAUUCCAAAAUCUUAUUAUUUGUUUGUUUGUUGCCCAGAAAAACCCUUUGGUUUUGGAUGCUCAUUACCACUGGAAAAUGAUCUUGAUUUUACUAAAGAAUAAGAUUGUACUAUGGAAAAAUAAGUCUUUUUCUUCCAAAUAUUUUUACGAAUACGCUUUUUUGACAUUGAAGUACGUUUUUUUUGGAACUGCCAUUCAAAAAGGAAAUUACUUUUUUCUAGUUGUAUGUGAAAGACAUCUAUUGCUGCAAAUCAAUCCUUCUUUCUUGUUUUUAUUAGUAUUUAUACUUAGAUACUGAAAGAUACUGAAAUUGUGAAUUAUUUUUUACUUCAUUUUGUCUAAUGCGGAUAAGACAAGAAUUUUUAAACAUUUUUUCUGUAUAUAUUUUAUACUUUGUUUUAAUAAUAUAGAAUAUAUAGAAGGGUUUCCCAUUUAUAUCUAUUUAUAUAUCAAGUAUACUCCAUAUAUAGAUAUAUGGUAUGGAAGCCUAUCCCCCGGGGGGAUAAAAAGAAGGGAAAAUUCAAAUAGUUAAUUAAGCUCAGAAUGAUAUUGUAUUGUAUUCCAUAAAGGAAAGGAAUUCUAAUCAAAAACAAAAAAUACUGAGUCUCUUAAACAAGACAUUCUAAAACUUAGGUAAUUUAUAGUCAUAAGGACUAUUCGAUAAUUUCUUAUAAACAUAGAUUUUCAUUGGAAUUCACUCAAUCAGUUAUGGAACAAGAGAGCUGUUUCAUCUUUGUUUUAAAGAAAUAUAAAAAUGAAUAGAAAGUAAAAAGUAAAACGAUUCCUUUUUUUUUUUGUAAAUAUCUUUAUUUAGAUAAUAACUAGGUAACGAAGUUAUUUGAUUAACUUUUUGAAUUUAACCAACUAAACCCAUUCUUCAUUUUUUAUUAUUUCAAUGAGAUAAAUUUUUAAAAAAUGAAGAAUUCCAGUAUUUUUUCUUAUUCUUUUUAUUUAUUCUUUCAGAAAGAGAUAAGAGUUGGUUUGGUGAAUCGGAAACAAUUUUAUAGAAAAAUUGAAGUAAAAAUCGCAAUUUCUUUUCUUAUGGAACAUACAUAUCAAUAUGCAUGGGUAAUCCCUCUUCUCCCACUUCCAGUUAUUAUGUCAAUGGGAUUUGGCCUUAUUCUUAUUCCGACAGCAACAAAAAAUCUUCGUCGCAUAUGGGCUUUUCCUAGUGUUUUACUCUUAAGUAUAGCUAUGGUAUUCUCAGUUCAACUGUCUAUUCAACAAAUAAAUGGAAGUUCUAUCUAUCAAUAUCUAUGGUCUUGGACCGUCAAUAAUGAUUUUUCUUUAGAAUUUGGAUACUUGAUUGACCCACUUACUUCUAUUAUGUUAAUACUAAUUACUACUGUAGGAAUCCUGGUUCUUAUUUAUAGUGAUGGUUAUAUGUCUCACGAUGAAGGAUAUUUGAGAUUUUUUGUUUAUAUAAGUUUUUUCAAUACUUCUAUGUUGGGAUUGGUUACUAGCUCCAAUUUGAUACAAAUUUAUUUUUUUUGGGAACUCGUGGGAAUGUGUUCUUAUUUAUUGAUAGGCUUUUGGUUUACACGACCAAUCGCAGCGAGUGCUUGUCAAAAAGCUUUUGUAACUAAUCGUGUAGGGGAUUUUGGUCUAUUAUUAGGAAUUUUAGGUUUUUUUUGGAUAACAGGUAGUUUAGAGUUUAGGGAUUUGUUCCAAAUCGCUAAUAACUGGAUUCCUAAUAAUGGAAUUAACUCUUUACUUACUACUUUGUGUGCUUUUUUAUUAUUCCUUGGUGCAGUUGCGAAAUCCGCACAAUUCCCUCUUCACGUAUGGUUACCCGAUGCUAUGGAAGGACCCACUCCUAUUUCGGCUCUUAUACACGCAGCAACUAUGGUUGCUGCGGGAAUUUUUCUUCUAGCUCGACUUCUUCCUCUUUUCAUAUCUUUACCUUUGAUAAUGAGUUUUAUUUCUUUAGUAGGUACAAUAACACUAUUCUUAGGAGCUACUUUAGCUCUUGCUCAGAGAGAUAUUAAAAGAAGCUUAGCCUAUUCUACAAUGUCUCAAUUGGGUUAUAUGAUGUUAGCUCUAGGUAUAGGUUCUUAUCAAGCUGCUUUAUUCCAUUUGAUCACUCAUGCUUAUUCAAAAGCUUUAUUGUUCUUGGGAUCUGGAUCCGUUAUUCAUUCAAUGGAACCUCUUGUUGGGUAUUCACCAGAUAAAAGUCAAAAUAUGGUUCUUAUGGGCGGUUUAAGAAAAUACAUUCCAAUCACAAGAACUACUUUUUUAUGGGGUACACUUUCUCUUUGUGGUAUUCCACCUCUUGCUUGCUUCUGGUCCAAAGAUGAAAUCCUUAGUAAUAGUUGGUUGUAUUCGCCCUUUUUUGGAAUAAUAGCUUCCUUUACUGCAGGAUUAACUGCCUUUUAUAUGUUUCGGAUAUAUUUACUUACAUUUGGUGGGUAUUUGCGUGUUCAUUUUCAAAAUUACAGUAGCACUAAAGAGAGUUCCUUGUAUUCAAUAUCCUUAUGGGGAAAAAGGAUACCCAAAGGAGUGAAUAGGGAUUUCGUUUUAUCAACAACGAAGAGUGGAGUUUCUUUUUUUUCACAAAAUAUACCCAAAAUUCAAGGUAAUACAAGAAAUAGGAUAGGAUCCUUUACUACGUCUUUUGGGGCUAAAAACACUUUUGCCUAUCCGCAUGAAACGGGAAAUACUAUGUUAUUUCCUCUUCUUAUAUUACUACUUUUCACUUUGUUCAUUGGAUUCAUAGGAAUCUCUUUUGAUAAUGGAGGAAUGGAUAAUGGAAUAGCAGAGUUAACCAUAUUAUCAAAGUGGUUAACUCCCUCAAAAAACUUUACCCAGGAAAGUUCUAAUUCUUUUGUAAAUUCAUAUGAAUUUAUUACUAAUGCAAUUUCUUCUGUAACUCUAGCUAUCUUUGGUUUAUUCAUAGCAUAUAUCUUCUAUGGAUCUGCUUAUUCUUUUUUUCAGAAUUUGGAUUUAAUAAACUCUUUUGUAAAAAGAAAUCCUAAAAAAGAAUUUUUGGAUCAAGUAAAAAAAAAUAUAUACAGUUGGUCAUAUAAUCGUGGUUAUAUAGAUAUUUUCUAUACUAGGGUCUUUACCCUCGGUAUAAGAGGGUUAACCGAACUAACGGAGUUUUUUGAUAAGGGUGUUAUUGAUGGAAUUACCAAUGGAGUGGGUCUUGCUAGUUUUUGUAUAGGAGAAGAAAUUAAAUAUGUAGGGGGAGGUCGAAUCUCGUCUUAUUUAUUCUUUUUUUUAUGUUAUGUAUCUGUGUUUUUAUUCUUUUUUCUUUCUUAAGUUAAGGAAUUCAAGUCUCUUGCAAAAAUAACUAUCCUACCCCUUUCUACAAUCUCUCUAUAAUCCCACCUUGUUACAUAAGGUAAGUAUUGUAUAAUCGUUCGGUUUUCCGCGAUUUUUUCCAUUCCUCUGUGUAAAUACCCUAAUAUGGGUUCACAAUCAAUAACAUCCUCACCAUCAAGAGUAACGAUCAGUCGAAGAACACCAUGCAUUGAUGGGUGUUGAGGGCCCAUAUUGACUAUCAUGAGAUCUUUUUUUGUAAGCGGUAGACUCAUAUCCUUUCUUCCUUAAUUCAUUAUUCCAUGAAAAUGGAUUAUUCCAUGAAUUCCUCAAAGUGAGGCUCAUCAAAAUGAAAAAUCUAAGACUACUAUAAAGACUACUAAAAAAAUAAUAAAACAAGAAAAAAAUUUGAAGGAUUAAAUUACUGCUCCCGAAUAUUCAACUGACCGAUUAAUUUCUUAUAACGUACUCUAUUUUUCUUUGCCAAAUAAGCCAGCAAACGUCGACGUUUUCCCAAAAGUCUUCGUAGACCUCUUUCCGAUGAAAAAUCUUUUUUGUGUAAUUCCAAAUGUGAAGCAAGUCUCCGUAUCUUAUUGGUGAAACUGAAUACUUGAAAUUCAACAGAACCCCUGUUUUCUUCUUUUUCUUCUUUAACCAUAAAUCCUAAAAUUUUUCUACCUCCUUUCUUUUUCAUGUAUUUUUCUGAUCAGGAAAAAUAAAAAAUUAUGUCAGUUAUUUUGAAGUUAUUCUAAUCUCGUACACACACAAAUUUGCAAUUAUUCAUCUACUACUGGAAUUUGGAUUUUUUUUAUCGAUGCAAAUUGGAUUUGGAUAGAAGGGUACAUUCUUUCUACUAUUUUAGAUAGAAGAAAUGUUUCUUCUAUCUAAAUAUAGUAGAAAGAAUUUUGCUGAUUUAUUUAUUGCUAUAUGCAAUUUAUGGAAUUGAUACACCAUUUAAUUGAUAUCAUUUAGCAAAAUGAAACACAGCAUAGGCAUCCAUCUUUUGGCUCGAGAAUUUCACGGGAUAGAGAUAUGGUAUAAGAAAUAGACUAUUAAGUAACUCUAAAUGAAUUGUGGAUACAUCUGUAUCCUUAACAUACUGAAACGAUUGCCAUUAUUCGUAUCAAACCAAUAGCGAUUCAUACAAGCUAAAUCUUCUAAUCAAUGGUGGGCCAAUAAUGAAUUUUUUUGCAUAUGUAUUAAGACGCUUGGCCUGAUUUCGAAAUUGUCCAGAGUUUUAUAUGUUGUUUUCAUUGCAAAAUGAUGGGUCUCCUUCCAUAACUUUCCAAUUACGAGUACGAGAAUUGAAAGACAUAAAUAUUCUAAAUUCUCUACGGCGUCUAGUAGAUAGAUAGAAUAUUUUCAGGAACAAGAAAAUCAGAAGAAUCUUUCUCUCUAUUCACUAUCAUUCCGCGUCUUCGACUUCUAUUAGUUUCUUUUCUUCUUUAAUGCAAUAGCUAUAGUUUGAUAUAAGAAUCCAUUUCUCAAAGUAAUGGAAACCAUUCUCUUAUAGGAAAUGGUUCGAAAAUCGCUAUUCCACCUUUUAGGUAUCGUGAAAAGUGAUACCUGUGAAGAUCGUGCAUUUCAGUCAAAUUCAGAUCCGUUUUUCGAGUCCAUGAUAUAAUAUAACCAAAUUGGAUAGAUCUUCCACCUGUUUAGCUAAGAAAGAAUAGAUACAGAGGUGGAUAAUAGAUCGAUAUGAAGAUCAUGAGCUGCCCCAUAAUGAAACCGCCAGUAGUCGCAAAUAUCUCCUUCUUCCCUAAUCCAAGAUUGGAGAAAGAAGAUCUAAGAGGGACCUAUGGAGAAUGUAGUCAGAAAUCCAUAAUAGAGUCUGACCACAACGACCGAAUUAAUUAUCCUCAUCGAGAAACUUAGACUACUAAAUAGAAAAGAUUUGAAAAUCAUGGCAUGGGUCUCCUUUUUUUCUUUCUUUAGAGUUUUCUAUAUGCACAAUUUCUCGAUGUUUCGAUGAGAAUUUCUUGACUUUCCAUAUAUAGAAAGAGAUAGACUAUAAAUGACAUCUCUUAUGUCAAUAAGACCAAAGGGAUGGAUAUUAAAUGAUAGGAAGUGCUAGGAAGUGAAAUAGAAUGAAAUAGAGCCACUUUGGGCUUCCCUAUGAAAUGAGGCAUGGAACGGAGCCACUACGAAGAAAUUAUGGGAGUUACGAAAGAAGCUUCGGACUCAUAUUGUU